GCCAGCUCCACCUCCAAAACCAUUGUUGGGGAAUAAUGGGUUGCGGAGAAUGGGGCCUGGAAGUUCAAACAGUGUGCGGAUUGGAUCUUCAAGAAGGCCAGUAGCUUGGCCACCAGUGGUAGCCCGGACAUCUGCUUCAGGUUCUCGGCCUUCUUCGCCUAGGUCACUCGUUGAUGGUGAAGGUUACAAUAGUGCUGAUGAACAGGGCCCCUGUUACCCCUCGAGUUAUGAUGAUUCGGUAUGAUUUUCAUUUCUUGUUUUGCUUUUUAUAUGAGCUUUAAUCCCUCCUAUGACAUUUACAGCAGUACUAUAUUCAUCACCAUUUAUUAUAUAUAAUUCUAGAUGUUUAGCAUCUUUGUAGUUGUAGUUAGAAAAUAUGCUCCUAGGUAGCUUGGCUGUGUUUUCUAUGUGUAUGAUGAUAAUUUGAAUAUGAAUUUUAUAGUUCCUCCUGAUGACAGAUAACAGAAGCAUUAUUCUUACUUUAGCUACUUUUUUUUUGUGAACAUAGGAAGGCACAGCUCUUGGUCAAGAAAGCUCGUUUUUUUCUUGCCUAUAUAGUAACGGUUUAUGUCGUGUACGCGAGUCAAUUUAAUAUUAUACGAUCAUAUUUUUCGCAACUUCUCAUUUAAUUUAUUUUGUGCCUCAGGAAAGGGAGCGUAUGUUUGAGCAUGACCUAAGGCGAGUGAAAGGGUUGGAAAUCAGAAAGAUGGCCGAAGACGGGAACUGUCUAUUCAGAGCUGUUGCUGAUCAAGUAUAUGGAGACGCAGAAGCUUAUGACAUGGCUAGGCAGAUGUGUGUUGAUUAUAUGGUAGGUUUCAUCUAUGCAUCCAGCAGUAAUCUUCUAGUUUAUAUCCUGUUAUUAGGAUAGACUUUUGCUUACCCAGUUCUUUUAAUUAAUAAAUUAAUUAUCAAAGUUCUGACAUGUCUUGCCAUUUUUGCAAACCGUCUUAAUAUAUUGCACUUAUUUAUGAACAUUAAAUCCUUAACUUCAUUAGUUUUUACGCCGUCGUGACUCGCAAGUUUCUUAAGGUGUCGUCUAGUUGUUGCCUAGGCGUCUGGGUGAUUUUCCAAGUGUGCUGUCGGGCUUGCCGUUGCUUCCGUGCUUAUGGUGUCGCCUCACCCGCCAAAGCGUCGGACGGAUGCUGCACGCGCGGGAGGAAAAGGUGCCACGCGGGGAGGAAAAGGCGUCACAUGCGGAAGAACGGGUGCAUGGGAGGAAAAGGCAUCGCAUGCGGGUGGAAAAGGAAGGGCACGUGGGGGGAAAUGAGGGGAUCACGUGCCUACUCCUUUACCAGGAGGUGCCUAAUCUGGAAUCUGCGCCAUUUGAGACUGGGAGGGAAAGAGAGGAGAGAGGGAAAGAGAAGAAGAAGGCGGAGCACCCGGAACCCGGCAGCAGAGCAUUUCGAACCUGGCGGAGGCACCUGUGCACCUCCAUCCAUGACCCUGGCUCCUUCUCCUUGAUUCACAACGCCUCCACCGCCUUAUGCUCAUUUUCCUUCUUUUUUCUCCCCUGUUUGAUCUUCCUUCCCGAUCCUUCCUCUGCUCUGUUCUGCUCUGCUCAUUCCUUUGCUCUGCUCUGCUUUGCUCAUCCCUUUGCUCUGCUCUGCAUUGCUCAUUGCUCUGCUCUGCUCCUUCCUCUGUUCUCUGCCCCCUCCUUCCUCUACACUACUGGGCUGCUCUGUUCUGCAGUUCUGCUUAUGCUGUGUGAGUGCAUGUCUGGUGCUCUGUUGAGAGAUGAGAGACUAAUUUAUUACUUUUGAGAGUUGAGGGAUUUUAGAUUUGUUAUUUUGCUACUUUAUGUUGUGCACUAGUACUUAAUAGCACUAUUUAAUAUGGUAUAUUGGUAUUACAUGCUAGGAAGUGACAAGAUUAAGGUAUUAUAUAUUAAGAUGUUUGUAUGGAGUUGCCUCGCCGCGUGCUUAAAUGCCUAGGUGUUUGGAAGGGGGUGGCUUGCCGCGCUUUGCUGUACUGCCUUAAUAACCUUGGUGACUCGUGAGACAAUUGAUGUGAGGUAAACAGUGCGCUGAGAAGUUGGGACGACCAAGUUUGCGAUCAGACUGAUAUGAAAAUGGUUGCCACCUGGUUCCAUGCUUCCAACUGAUAGCAAGUGAUUUCUGCCUGGCUGGUUAACCGGCUCCAGCUCUAAUCUCUAGGUAGGGCAUGGAUGUUUGCAGAGGUGGUUUCCCGCAACUUGACCCAAAACUAGGUAGGGCAUGGAUGAGCCAUUACAAAAUUGAGGUUAUGCCCGUUCCCAGAAAAAAGUUUCUGCUAUUUUCGUUACAUUUUGGCAUAUUAAGAAUAUUGUAUAUUACUAUACUUUUGUGUAAAAACGAUGCAAAACCUUGCUAAAUCCUAUGAAUCUUCUGUCUUGAGUUAACAAAGAAAGUUCCAACUCAAGCCUCAACGUAUGGGUGUGUAUGGCAUAUCCAUCUUUUCCUGUCUUGAUUCGUCUCCACUUCAGUUUUUUGUGCUAUUUGCCCACUUGUCUCCUUUGAUAGUCAGCCAUUUGGUAUGUGAUGGAAUCAUUAAGCAGUAAGGAUUCUUAUGUCUUUCUAUGUGACCAAACAUUAUUGUCAAUGUGGGUCUGCGUGUGUAUUAUUUGUGGUAGGAGAUGAAAAUGGUGCGGAUAAUCUUAUUUGUUUCCAAAUCAUUUUUCAAAUUUAUGACAUCAAUCAUUUCCGAUUGUUUCGUAUUUGUAGUAUCAUUUCUGAUCAUUUCAUCCUUAAUGUAACCAGAUAUCUCUCUCCAUGCAUUACCAUGAAUUCUCAUUAUCUGUUACUCUGUUAUCCAUGCAGUCGAAACACUCAUUGCUGUUUUCUAUUCCAUUUUCAGGAAAGGGAACGGGAUCAUUUCUCUCAGUUCAUAACUGAAAGUUUUACAUUAUACUGUAAGAGGAAAAGGAGAGAUAAGGUUAGUUACUAAAUAUAUGCUAUGUAAAUUAUUUGCUUCCCACCUCUUUAUUAGUUCAUUUCUUUCCACAACCAUCUAAUUCAGUGCGGGUAACCUUAUAUGGUGGUAUUAUGAUGUGAUUGUGUGCAGUACUUUUAUAUAACCUUGUGAGUUGUAAAACCUAUAGAUUUUUGGUCAAACAACUGUUGUACAUAAUUUUUUUCUUCUCCUGGCGCUUUCUUGUCCCCUGUGAAGCAUCGUGGACCUAUUUGGAUCUGCAUUAAUAUUUACUAAUACAUGCCUACAUGCAGCAGAGCAUUGAUUUAUUCCUAACUUUGGAAACCUUUCAGCGAUAUUAAAUAAGUGCUUAAUUGGAUACAGUGAGCAGCUGCCUUUACAAUAUGACCUAACAGAAUAGGAAAUUCUAAAAGGAGAAAUUUAGCAUUGUUGCCCAUUUCAUUUCAAAGCUCUUAUCUUAAUUGGUUGUUCGUUUCUUUAAGGUUUAUGGCAACAAUGUUGAGAUCCAGGCAUUUGCAGAGAUGUACAAUCGUCCCAUUCACAUAUAUUCCUACGGUGCAGGUAAGCUUUGCUCAAUCAUUUGAAGAUUUUUUAUCCUUGUUGCUCAUUGUUUAAUGGUAGCCAGUAUCAGCUCUUUAACAUGUUUGCUGUUAUCGCAGAGCCCAUUAAUAUUUUUCAAGGAAGCUAUAACACAGACGUUCCUCCAAUUAGGUUAAGUUACCAUCAUGGUAAUCAUUACAAUUCAGUGGUUGAUCCCCGCCGACAGACAGUUGGGGCAGGCCUUGGAUUUAGCUCCCUUAGAGGGGUAAUUCUUUACUCCACUGAACUUUUUUUUGUCUGCAUGUAGUAGUCAGUAAACAUUUAGUCAUUUUCUGGAUAUAAAUGGUUAUGUUGUCAAUCAUAACAGUUUACUGUGUCAGGUUGGUGGCCUUGUUAAAUAAUCUUUUCAUUUCCCUUUUUUGUAGACCAAUAAUGUUGACAGGGACCAGGUGAAGGCUGCAAUAAAAGCUCAGCAAGACCAGCAAAUUGAGAAUGUAAGUACUGCGAGUUAUUUCCAUGUGUUCUUGCCAUCCUGAUAUUCUCACAAGUCAAACAAUCCUAUCAUCUAAAAAUGUCAUGAUAUAUACUUAAUUCUUGUUUUGGCAUUGUCAGGCACUUUUGGCUGAAGGGCGAUUCUACUCCGAUCUGGAGUUAACAGAGAGGGAAAUAGAACGGAUGGUGAUGGAGGCCUCGCGUUCAGAAUAUCUGGCCAAGGAGAAAAAGCUUAACAUUAGGGAGUCAUCGACAUCAGGGGCAGAGCCAUCGUCAUCUGCCGCAAGUAAGGCCACCUUUUUAUUUUUUGGAAUUUUGAGAACUCUUCAGUGUACUGCCAAUCAGUUUGCUUGAAACUGGCAUGUUUUGCUGUUCUGCAGUUAGUGGUUCCUCCCGUUCAGUUGCUGGAGCAGAUAGAGGCAGCGAGGACUACUUUGUGCUCCCAGACACUGUACUAACUCGCAGCAUGCAGUUGCUCCUGGCAAUGGGCUUCAGCUACAUCCAGGUCAUGGAGGCCUACAGCAUAUUCGGCGAGGACGUGGACUCCAUGGUCUGCUACCUGGUGGAGACCGGAGGCACCGGAGCCUCAGCAGGUGGUAGCAAUCGCCGGAAAGGAAAGGCUGCUGAGUGAUGUGCGCACCUUCAUUGCUGUGAAUGUAAUUGUUGUUGAUCGAAAUCGUUGGGCAUAAGUCAUACUGACAGUCUUGUGAGUUGAGAUGUCGAUAUACCUGCUACCUUAUGGGUGAUGAAUAAAUGGAACUCAUGACUUGAGACUUUUCGAUGCCGUCUAGUGCUUAUUGAUGGCAGUUGUGGCUGGGAUUCUGUGAAAACUGUUGGGUCACGCUGGUGCAUUGUGUGAUCCUUGCGAGUUGUCGUGGAUGGGCGACCUGCGAGAAAUUGUCUUUAUGGGAUGCCAACAUAAAAUUUUUCCACAUAACAGCUAGUGCGCGACGGAGAAAGAAUUACAUACACUGUCUACAUACGGAUGACGGGAUAGUGUUUGCUCAUGAAGAAAAAGAAAAGGUGAUAGGGGACUACUUUAAAAAUCACAUCUCCUCUGCAGUUCCGAGAGCCACAGCCAUCAACUGGCAAUCUAUCGGUUACACUCAGCAUGAUCUAUCGGACAUGGAAGCUCCUUUUUCCCAAGAAGAGGUUAAGAAUGCUAUAAAUUCCAUGCCUUCCGACAAAGCGCCAGGCCCAGACGGCUUCACUGGUGCCUUCUUCAAAGCAUGCUGGGAAAUCAUCAAAGAUGAUAUUAUGGCUGCCAUAAACAGCCUAUUCACAAUGAACGCCCAGGGUUUUGAAUGGCUAAACUCGGCAUGCAUCGUCCUUCUGCCCAAAAAGGAGGGUGCAACAAGGGUCACCGAUUUUAGGCCCAUCAGCCUCAUCCAUAGCAUUGCAAAGAUCUUCUCCAAAUUGCUCGCCAACAGACUCGCCCCUCGUUUGAACUCCCUCGUCUCCAAUUGCCAGAGCGCGUUCAUAAAAAAGAGAAGCAUCCAUGACAAUUUUCUUUAUGUCCAGGGCGCAGUGCGAAAGCUACAUAGACAGAAGAUACCGUCCUUGUUCAUGAAAUUGGACAUCCACAAAGCUUUCGAUACGGUAAAUUGGGGGUACCUGCUUGAAAUUCUACAAGCUCUGGGCUUUGGACCACGCUGGCGUGAAUGGGUCUCUAUUCUUUUCCGUACCUCCACCUCAACAAUCUUGCUCAAUGGUCAGCAAGGACCCACUUUCAGCCAUGCCAGAGGCGUCCGACAGGGUGAUCCGCUGUCACCCAUGCUCUUCAUCUUGGCUAUGGAUCCUCUCCAACGCCUGCUCGAUCAAGCAACCCAGCAUGGGAUACUGACCCCCCUACCCCUCAUGGUGGCAAAAUGGAGAACCUCUAUGUAUGCAGAUGAUGCGGCUAUUUUCAUCAACCCAAUAAAAGAGGAUGUGCAAGCUAUCAAAAUUAUCCUACAAGCCUUCGGCACCUUCUCAGGACUCCACAUUAAUCUACAAAAAAGCUCUGUGCACCCAAUCAGAUGUGACAAUAUCAACCUUGACCAAGUCCUAUCACCCUUCACCGGUAACAAAGGUACCUUCCCAUGCAAAUAUUUGGGGCUGCAACUCCACACCAGAUCGCUCCGAAAGGUUCAUGUACAGCCUCUCAUCGAGCGUAUUGGACAAAGGCUACCCAAAUGGAAAGGAAGAUGGUUGAACAAAGCGGGGCGGCUCACUCUAGUAACUUCGGUCCUAUCCUCCAUGCCAACCUACCACCUUACAGUGUUCCCAUUGGCGGCAUGGGCCCGAAGGAAGAUUGACAAAAUCAGGAGAUCCUUCUUGUGGAAGGGGGAGGAGAAUACCAAUGGUGGACACUGCCUGGUUAACUGGCCAACAGUUACAAGACCUAAAGACCUUGGUGGCUUAGGUGUGCCUGACCUUGAAAGGUUUGGAAGAGCCCUCCGGUUGCGCUGGCUAUGGCAAGAAUGGGUGGACGACUCCAAACCGUGGAUCGGCUCGGAGCUCCCAUGUAGUGAUGUUGACCGCCUACUCUUCAACUCCUCAACCAAAAUAACCUUGGGUGAUGGCGCAAAGACCCGUUUCUGGCACCAUAACUGGCUAGAAGGAGAAUCUCCAAGGAACCUAGCCCCGAAUUUGUUUCGGCUUGCUUCGAGGAAAAAUCGAACGGUGCAGCAAGAACUCCAGAACAACAACUGGAUGCGCUCGUUACGGAGGAAAAUCUCCUCAGCUGUCCACAUAGAGGAAUUUGUGUCUCUCUGGAUUCGAAUCCAGGAUAUACACCUACAGCAGGGCGUCCAGGACUCCAUCUCCUGGCGCUGGACCCUGGAUGGGACUUACUCCGCCCGUUCCGCCUACAGGAUACAAUUCAAAGGCUCCCUCGCCUUGUUCCAAUCAGAACUCAUUUGGAAAGCUCAAGCGGAGGGCAAAUGUAAGCUCUUCGCCUGGAUUCUGGUGCAAGAUAAAAUUCUUACGGCACGCAACCUACAAAAGAGAGGGUGGCCACACCAAGACCACUGCGCGAUGUGCAACGGUCCCUUGGAAACUGGCCUUCACCUUUGUUUACUGUGCCCUUUUGCUAAAGCAGUUUGGGAUCAGAUCCUCUAUUGGGAAAACUUCACCCAACUACAACAACAGCUCCCGGCCGACCCCGCACAUAUCAGAGCAUGGUGGGAAGAGGCGGCAAGGAAAGUGCCCAAAUCAGAGCUUAGACGGCUGAACGGGGUAGUAAUCUAUACCUUUUGGAAUAUUUGGAAGGAGAGAAACAGGAGGAUUUUCAACAACACGGUACAAACGGCGUCACAAGUGGCGGAUAGAAUUAAGCAAGACAUAGAGCAAAGGAAGAGGGCUUUUGCUUUUUCUUAGGGGAGGGUCUUUGUAGGGUCUUUGUAGGACCCCGGGAUCCAUUCAAACCUCCUUUCGAGUGUCUCUGCUUGUAUAUAACUCUCUUUUCCUAUCUUAAUUGAAAGGCAGAGCUCCUGCCAUUGUUUUCAAAAAAAAUGCUUUGUGUGCAAAACCUAUAUGAUGGAUCUGCUGGGCCUAUAAAAAGAUAGGAAGUUUAAGACAUCUCUUGUGUAGCUACUACUAAAUCAUCUUCUGAUGCCAGAGUCGGGUCAAAUUCAGGUCGCAUAAAAUUCAGGGUCAUCUUCUGAUGCCAGAUUUUUUUUUACAAGUAAUAAAUACAUUAAACCAUCAACAGCAAAUAACUGCUAGUAAGAUUACAUGAUGCAAGUCUACAGAUUGUAGAGCUUGUAGAAUAAAGCAAUGUCCAGAGGCAUGCUGGUUAGAGCAGCUAGAAAGAAGCUAGAAAGAAGCUCUAAGAGCAACUCCAACAGAUAUGUUAUCCAUGUUAUCUAUGCUAUUUUUAUAUUUUUAAAGCAAAAUUUAAAGUCUAACAGGUGUGCUAUCUGGUUUGCUAAAAUAGCAAGUUUGCUAUUCCUAAAUUUUUGCUUGUCAUAUAUAGCAUGUCGUCCUCACUAGCUAUCAUAUACAAAGACUAUUGUGAAACUCUAUGCUUUGAGUGAGUUUUUUAUUUUACACAAUGGUUAAAUCUUGUAGUUUAGAAUAUAAUUUGUCUAGUCUCUUGGAGAUGCUCUUGGUGAGCUAAUCCAUCAGCCAAGAGAUUCAAAUUUCUACUAAUUUUACACAAUCUAGCAGAGCUCAGCUGACCCUGGACAAAUUUGUAAAAUUUUGCUAAGAGUUGAUGCCAGACAUGCGAAACCCUCGGCUGGUUUUAAUAUAAAGAUAUACGUUUUGCAUAUGUAUUUUUGACGAUUGCGUAUGCCUUUUUCACCUACAUAUUAUUUUGGUGCGCCCAUAGGCGAAUACUUAUUGCGCUUUAUCCAAACUCUGACGGGAAAUCGAAUGCAUUUGCACAAAGAAAGUCUAUUUUAGACCGGUCUAAGUCAAAAUUUUAUUAGUGUUUCAUUUGCAUUUAGUAAGCUGUCACAUAAGAGUUUUUGACGAUGUGGCGACGUUUUUAAGAAGAGAGAGAAAAGGUGAGUUAUGAAGAUGAAAUCCUUUUGACACGACUAGAUUUAUGAAAUUAAAUAUGUAUGAAACUAUAAAAUGAGCUUUUUAUUGAGAUUGGGUGUUUUAUUUUAUUUUAUUUUAUUUUAUUUUACAUGGUAAUCUUGAAAAAAGCAUCAUGAACUCCUCUUAAGACUGCCUUGCCUCACUGAAUUAUUGUUGAUAGUCUAAUUUUUCUUUCCAAACUUCAAAACUAGGUAUCUUACCUAUAAACUCUCAAAAUUAUUCAAAUUACCUCACUGCCCUAGUUUGAGAUGGUUUUGACCCUAGCUUGUCUUCUUUAGUUAAAAAUCUGUUUAACACUUGAUAAAAGUCUUUAAACUACAAAAAAUGUCUCUAAGCAUCUAAAAUUUUUGAAAAAGUAAUAAGAUAGAUUGGCAUACCAAUAAUCCAAAUAUAGUAUUUAUAACUCAUGAAAAUAUGUCUAUAAUAUCCAAAAAUCUAAAAAAAAUCCUAGAACAUAUAUUCGAUGUUUCAACAUGUUUUAAAAAACUUCACGUAGCAAAAAUAUGAACACCCAACAUGAAUGCAACAUGCAUUAAUGCUGUACAUUUGUAUGACUGUGUCUUAUGUUUUUAUUGUGCAAAGUUUUCAUAACAUUUUUAUAGGUCAAAUAGAAUGUUUUGGGAAACUUUCUAGAUAUUUCUCUCAUUUUUCUAGAGUUAAAUCUAAAUCUUAGAAACUUGUAGAGAUAUUUUCGCUAGUUAUAAAUAUUUUCUUUGAUUAUUUAUAUCCCAAUCUAUCUUUAUGAUUUGUUGGAAAGUCAUAGAAGUUUGGAGAUAUUUAUGUGGUUUAAUAAUCUUAUCAAGUAUUUACUAUUUUUAAAGUAAAUAAAAAAAUAAAUCACAUUUUAAACCACUCUAAAACAAGACACAGAGAUAAUUUGAAUGUAUUUUAAGAGUUCAUACGUCUGGAGUGUUCAUAUUUUGAGAGCCCAAGCCGUGCUUUGCCUGUGCGCCGUCUCGUCUCGUGCCCUACUACGCCUCGCCUCGCCUGGCCUCCGUGCUUCCGUCUCACACGCGGCUCCAGACUUCCGAAUAAAAGGGGCAGCCAUGGCCAUGGCGGCGCUGCGGGAGGCCUCCCGCUGCCUGGCGUCCAGGGGGAGCCCUGCGGCCGCGCGAUCCAUGCUCCUCGCGCAGUCGCGCGGCAUCACUUACAAGCUCUUCGUCGGAGGUUGGUUUUUGGCCUUAAUUGCCCAUUUCCUCCCCCCAGUUCUCAGUCCUUACGCGCGCGUCCCUCCUACUUCAUGACCAGUCGAGUGCUCUGCUCCCUCUCUUGCAUUUCGCUGUCGGAGGGAAACACAUCUGUUGAGUGCCUGAUUCGUCGCCAGGGCAUGCGUGCCGAGUGUUCGACGAAAUGCCCUGCCAGUACAGGCCGGGCGGCUUGGUGCCCCAUUGAUACCAUUUUUAGUUACACUGUUUUUUAGUUUUUAACUGAACGCAGUCUGCAAAAAACUAAUUUAGUCGCAACACCAAAAUCAAAAUCAUAGGAAAGUAGCGCCACAUUGUGAAAUUUACUCCUACAAUUUCGUACCACAAAAUACGCAAAAUCAGAAACAUGCAGUUUGAAUCUUGAAAUGCGUUGCAGCACAUUGAUUGGGUCUCUGCUGCUUGUGAGAGAUUAGUGUAUCUCAAAGUCUCUGCCUUCUAAGAGCAUGGCUAAUAAUUGAACUCAUUGUUGGCUACAUGUACAUUUUCGACUCAUCUAUGAAAUUUUCAUCGUAUAAUAGUGUGCCAACUAAGCAAAAUAGUGAUGUGACAUUGAAUUUAAGAAAGAGAGAGGUAGAAAUGGUUAUAGUACGAAAUUAUGUCCGCAUGAGAACCAAUGAGAUGUGAUAGGUAGAUGAUAGGAGAGAGAAGACAUGAUUUGACAAAAAUCUAUCUUGAGAAAACCAUCCAUUAUGAAUAUGAUUUUUUUUUGUGUAGUGCCAACAUGACUCAAUAUGGAAACUGUCCAAUAGUUUCUAGGUUGGGUCUCACAUAAAGUUUCUUAGAGAUUGUGCAUCAGCUCUGCAUUCUACUUCUCUACUUUCUCCUCUCUCCCUUCCACCUAGCAUAAAUCCCACUUAUAGCAAGUAUAAUAAUGGUCUUGUAGCCAAUUUAAUGCUGAUAUAGAGGAGAAGAGAGGAGAAUUUGGCUCUCAUGCAAGAAACCAGCAAGACACGAUGUCUAGGCAAUAGCAGCCAAGUAGCAAGUAUAUGUGAGGAGAAAUAGGAAGGAAUAUGAGACAUGGUACCACAUAGUAAUAGUAAUAAAAAAAUGUAGAUAAAUAGGAGAUACUGAGACAGCUAUUGUAUAAGUUGACUUAUGAAAAAUAUAUUCUACUAUUAAUUACACAUUGUAAUUUGUAAGUAUUGUAAUUCUUUUUGUGUAUAUUUAGUUAGACUUAAACUGCUAACAUCUUUGAUCAGAAUGAUCUUUUGUGUAACAACAUAGGUUUUGGUGUGGGUUUGUGUGUCUAAGGGAUUUUCCCCUGUUUUUGUUCUCUUUUUAAUAAUAAUGAUACACAGCUCUCCUGCGUGUUUGAGGAAAAAGAAAGUAUAUACUCCAAAUGUGGGCACCCUUCUAGAAGGUCCGCCUGUUAUCUAGGACUGGGACAGUUAAUUUUAGUGGUUUAUAUGCCUUUAUGCCUUAUAGAAAUAAAUAAAUUACAAAGAGCACAGUUUAAAGUUGUCAAUGUAAAAGGAGUAUAUUACUGAGCAUCGGAACUCUAGUAGAUCCCAACUAACUGUUUAGGUUUAUAUUGCUUCUUCUUUUUAUUAAGAAAAUAAAACUGCCAUCCUUAGAUAUUCCAGCAAGGGUUCGUAUAUUGUUAAUCUAUGCUGCCUUACUCUUAGCUAUGCCAAAUUACUAAGUUCACAUAGCACACUGAUACCAGUUGCUAGUAAUGUUCUUGCAAGUACACAUUGUUAAUGUUAUUCAAAAUAUGAUACUGAUAUUGCAUGAGCUCUACCUGAGCUAAGUGGGAGCUAAAGCACUAACACCGUACAGAACUGAGAAUCACGGGGACCAUUGGGCAACUAUCCACAGCUAUUUAUAACCUCAUCCGAGUCCUCUGCCCUUUUGCAGGUUUAUCACAAUUUGCAACGGAGGAAAGCCUAGCAGAAGCAUUCUCACGUUACGGACAAGUAAUAGAAGGUCUAUCCUCGUCACUUGCCAUUUGCCACUUUGCCAGAGCGCAUUUCUGUUGGUACCUAUAGUUAUUCUGCCUGCUGUUGUUAUGUGUCACCAAAGCUGGGCUUCUUCUUGCUUGAGUGCAGCUACCGUCGUCAGGGAUAAGGUGACCGACAUACCAAAAGGAUUCGGCUUCGUGAAAUUUGCCUCCCCGGAAGAAGCCAAUAACGCGAGGGAAGAGAUGAACGGCAAGGCAAAGAUUUACUCCUUAAAUACAUAUUACUGUUUGUUGCCUUUUUUUUCCCCUUCUUUGUGCCAUCUGGAAAUUUAAAGAGCUGAGCAAUGUGAGCUCCUGACAGGCAUUGAACGGCCGGGUCAUAUACGUGGACAUCGCAAAGGCCAAACCGGACCGUGCUACAGAUGCUCUCCCAAUAGCGAGAGGUCCUCCUAAGCCAAUUAGCAACGGCUGAUAAAGGAAGGCCCUGGUUUGUAGUUUACAUACUUCCUCAGAUAUGGAUACUCUUAGAUGAAACGUGAAGUGCAAUAUUCUGCAGAAUUUCGAGGUUUUGCUUGAACAUAAAUAAAGUUCAUUUACACAUCCUGGGUACUCGUAACAUGCUUGUCCGGAUGAGAUGCUGUGUGUUUCUUGUCAUGACAGGUGCUGCUUUAAAUCCGUAAUGCCAGCGGCCACGAGACAUCUACUAGUAGAUGUGGUUGCGGAUGGUAGUUGCAUGUCGUCUUGAAUCUGUUCUAUUCUAGAACAGUACGUUGCCCCCGUUUGCACUGUGUUUGGAACCAAUGCUUUGCAGUUCAUCUGUACCUUCUCUAUGGUCGGUCCCUGGAAAUUCCUUUUUCGUUUUGCCGAUCCGAUCCAUGGAAGUUGGGAAUCUGGAUAGUGAAUAAUAAUGCUCUCGACUGGGGACGUUUUCUUCUUGUAUUGUCGUCACGUUGUUUGUUAUAGGAUAAUAUAGGAAAACGAUGCACAUCAGUGCUGGACAUGAUGGUGUACAGUUCCUAACUGUUACACGAAAGAUCGCUACUCGAUGUUGUACGCUAACGCUAAUACUCCUGAUUAAAUGACACGUCUUGUCUGCACUUGUGGCGCCUUGACGGUUAAUCAAGUUCGCGCUCGCUCGCUCGUCCGUCCGGCCGGUCACCGGAGCGCUACAGCGGCGAGGCAGGUGAGCACGACGACAGCGCUGGCAGCGGAGCAGCAGAGGUCCACGAGCGCCUCGCGGCGCGCCUUGCUCUCCUUCCUCCCCUUCUUGCGCUUCACGAACUCGAGGUACCGCCUCUUGGCCUCCUCGGGCUCUCUGGCCCCUCCCUUCCGGGGCGCUUCCAUCGCGGCGGCGAGGAGCCGCAGCGCACCCUCGCCGCUGACCGCCGCGCCGUCGGCGUCCUCCACGGCCAGGGUGACCUCGCUGACGACGUGCCCGCCAGCAGCCCCCUCGGAGUCGGAGCAGGCGACGGUGGCCUCGAACUUGCACCCUCCCAGCACCACGGCGAACCGCGCCAGCGUCUCGCCCGUGUACCAGUGCCGGUCCACCGCCACGGGCCGCCGGCUGGAGACGUUCACGGCCCGGCCGCGGGACGGGUCCACGACCACCCAGCUCAGCUCCAGCUCCGCCGGCGAGAAGGGCGCCGCGGCGGCGGCCUCCGGCGCCGGCUUCUUCCGCUCGACGGCCUCCACGCGGAACGGCGAGGCGAGGAACCACGACGACGACGCGGGCGUCUCCACCACGCGGGAGAGCAGGGGCGCGCCCCUGUAGUAGACGUCCACCGCGGAGACCAGCGACAGCUCCCCUGCGGGAACGGGGAGAGGGAGGAGGCCGCACCCGCCGGCGCCGGCGGCGGUCGGGAACGGGUGCGCGUCGGCGAAGAGCCGCUGCGGCGGGAGCGCGGCGAGCUGCUGUGCCGGCGGCAGCGGCAGCGCCAGCGACGGCCACUCGGCGAGGCAGAGCGCGCGCCAGGUGUCCGGGUCCGUGGCCAGCGCCCGGAGCGCGGCCGUGGCGCAGCUGGCCGCGGCCAGCGACCGCCCGUCCAGGCGCCGCAGCGCGCAGCCCAGCACGUCGGCGUGGAGGUCCUCGAUCGUCGUGGUCACCAUCUCCCCCACGACCACUAGUGUGUGAGCCUGUCUCAGUGUCUCUCUUCUAUACUUGGGCGUGGAGGCUCGAGUUUAACUCUGGCUUAUGUUGUGGUGAGACGACGCUUUAGCCCCACGGGAUUUAUAUAUAAGCUGCUGGGACAACUCCGGUCAAAGCGAGGCCGUGCUCUGCCCUCCUCACCCUCAUUUACUGCUCCUGCCGCCUUUUGUUUCCGCAAGGAGUCUUUCCGCGAAAACGACGGGGGUCCAGCCCUAGCACUAGCAGCAAUUUAUCCCGUGUCAGGGUGGCGCUGCCGCGGCGUCGACGGGAACGCGGCACGCCCCGCCUCCGCCUUGCUGUCCCUUAGCGUGGCGGCACCAAGGCUGCGCGGCCGUGCGGUCUGCGGAGCGGGAGGGACGCGUGGUGGUGCCGGCGGGGGAAUCACAUUCACGCGCGCGGGGCUCGCACUCGCACGUUCUGCUUGCCGCGCUCCGGCAUAUGGACAUGGGGGCCGCGCGUGCGCGUUCCUCCUGCUGCCGUUCCGUCCGGUCCUCUCCUCUCCUCUCCUCUCCUCUCACGCGGCCCGGGGCAGGAGCAGGGCGCGUCCGCGUCGGGGCGGGCGGGCGGGCGUGCGACGCGCGUUUUCGCCGUGCGGAGGGCGCAUUUCCCCCCGGGUUUUUCCCACGCUCGCGCCUGUUGUCCUGUGCCAGGGUCCCCGGCGGAAAGGGGAGGAGGAGCACUGGAGUGGUGUGGUGCCGGUGUACGCCCCUGUUGCUGUUGGAUUCCCCUGUCGUCUCCAAUGGAAAUACAAGGGUCCCGGUCCUUUUCACGUGUCGGGCAAAUCCCAUCCGUGGCGCGCCUGCCGCGUACCACGUACUGCGUUACGACACCACACCACACCACACACACAGCAUCUCAUGCUAGUUUGUAGUAGGAGCCAGCCGUGAGCCAUCGGGGGGCGUAAUUGCGCCAGUAGGCCAUCGUUUUCGCGAACGGCGAUUGCCCGCUGCACCGCUGAAAACAAGGUGCGGUCCGUGGAGACUGCAGGGUAGUAGUAUAGCUGUCCUGCGGCCUGCGGGCGGUUUGAGGGGGGUUAUAUCAUGCACGGUCGUUUAGGAGGCCCAAUCUAUUGUGUAGUAUGGUUAUUUUUUUAUUUUUUUUGGCGAGAUUAUACUGUACAGCAGGCUAAAAACUAGCCUGCACGCUACCACGGCUGUGUGGUCGCUGGUUGGUCAGAGAUCUCAUAUCGCCACAAGCCCACAGUCCAUGCAUGGAUGCUUCGUGUCAACGUGCAUGUCCUCCCCGGUCACGUGAAGAAGCUUGUGCUGCCUGGGAGUGGCCUGUGGGGACCUGCGGGUACCACCGUACGGCUCACGUACGAUCCAAUCUCAGAUGGAUUAUGGGUAUCCUACGUUCUGCAAGAUCUGCCGUCUGAACUAUGUCAUGUGAACUUGUGUGCUGAGCUGAGUGCCGCCCAACAGUUCAACCGUCAGCUUAAAACUUGAUUUCGAAGCUGACGUCUAGUAAGUAUUUUGCGUUUUUUUUUUUGGCCUUGUUUAGUUGUAGAAAAUUUUACAAAAUUUUUCAGAUUUCUCGUCACAUCAAAUCUUACGGCACAUGCAUGGAGUAUUAAUUAUAGAUUAAAGAAAUAACUAAUUAUAUAGUUUACAUGUAAUUUACGAGACGAAUCUUUUGAGCCUAGUUAGUAUAUGAUUGGACAAUAUUUGUCAAAUACAAACACUACUACAGGAUUGAUUAACCGCAACGAGACCAUUUCCACCUCCGUGGCGGGCACAGUUUUUGCCCGCCACGGUUAUUCAACCGCACGCGUAUAGACCCGACCACAGGAAAGCCCGCUGCAGUAAACGAUUAACCGCAGCGGGCAUCUUAAAAAGCCCGCUGCGGUUAAUCUUAUUAACAGAAGCGGGCAACAUAAACUGCCCGCUACGGUUAAUGCUUUUACCGUAGCGGGCAUGUUACGUCGCCCGCUUCGGUUAACCGACAUUAACCGUAGCGGGCGGCUUAUGAAGCCUGCUUCGGUAGUUCAUUGGCUGUAUAAAUAGCAGCCAGCCCGACCCCUUCUUCUUCCUCACAGCUGCUCUCUUCCAAAUCGCGGGGAGAGUGGUUUUGCCCUAAAAUUUGACCAAACAAUUGAAUUGUGGUUUAGAACUUUGAUUUGGUGGAGUAGGACAUCAUAAGAGGUACAUAGGAACUCCCUCCCCUCUUUCUCUCACUUUUGAGCAUUCCUUUAUGUCUAUAUAUAGGUAGAUCUAGAUCUAGAUCUAGUUUCAUGGAGGAGAGAGAAAGCUAUGUUUUUUUGUCUAGAUUCUUAAUGGAUGCAUAUGAAACCUUCUUUGUUCGAUGUGUAACGGUUCGCAGGCACGAGAUGGAUAGGUCGGAAUGGAUGUAUGGGAUGAAUCGGGUGCUUGACCCGCGGUACCUUGUCGAAGUGAGGAAGUUUAUUGCCACGAGCUCACCGUGAGAGAUCGAAGCGGACGACAACCAUAUGUCCAUGUUCUCACUGCAAGAACCUCACAGCCUUCACGAAAGACGGUACGGUGCAGUCUCACUUGAUUCGGUUUGGUUUCAUGGAGGGUUACAUAGUCUGGACUCAUCACGAUGAAAGAGUGGACCCCAGUGGCGAUGCAUCUGGUUUGAGCUCGACGUCGACGACCAUGAACCAAGAACCUAUAGCGCCCAUGUCAUCUCCAGCGACUGCAGGGCCAACCUGUGGCAACAAUGACAGUGCUCGUGAUUACACGAUGGAGGAUAUACUCGACGAUGAAAAGUGGGAUACAAGGAAGUUCCACCUGUGGUAUAUGGAAGCGGCAAAAGCCGGGAUGAGAGGUUUCACCAUCAAGAUUCCCUCGGAGUUGUUCCACUUGCCCCGUGCCGAUAUUCAGCUGCCUGUGGACUUCCAGGACAUGUACAAUCUAUUGCGGGAAGAAGACCUUGACAUCGUCCAAAUCACCUUAUUCUCUCUGUAAGUGAUGAUUGCGACCUUCAUAGACCAAUCUCUACAUUUGUAUUGGAGAACUAUAUGAUUUUUAGGACACGAUGACUUGUCCGUGCAGGUUGACGGUCACUAUUAGCAACAAAAGGCACCAUCCUAUCCUAUACCUCUCUCCAAUGCAUAUUGCUGAGAGAGUGAUCAAGGGUUUCCAGAUAACGGACCCAGAGUUGACCGUGCGGCAGAGGGAAAAGAAGUACGAAGAAAACAUGAAAGAGGAGAAGAAGAAAUUGUCAAGGUACAUCUUUGAGGUAAUGAAGAAGCUCAACCCGGAUGGGCCGCAUUGUAUUAUGGCUGCCUACCACUUUGGGUAAGUCGAAAACAUCUAUGUAAAGCAAAAGUGGCUAGGGUCAUGCCUUCUCGUUGACAUAACCUAUACUUGUUUCAAUGGUGUAGAAAUGACCUAGCCGGCGGCCACUGGGUUGCCUUCCUCGUCUAUCCUCAAGAUGGCCGGGCUGUUAUAUUUGACUCGUUACAGGUACCGAACAGAAAGGGGUACAAGGCCUUCGAAGACUGCUUGAAAAAGUAAGCCACCGAGCUUCUUGAUCCUUUACGGUUAUCGUAUUCAAAUUGACGCUAACACUAAUACACUUCGUGCAGCGCUUAUAGUGCAUAUCUCAAGGAUCCGCAAUGCUGGGAUCGGAGAACGGAGAAAUUCAAAAAGAGGCAUAAGAACCACCUCAAAAUCCGACGCGAUUUCCCCGUAAGUAUAUUUUAAAGGUACUUCAAUUAUGCUUUUGGUAUAUAUGUGCUCUAAUGCUUUUGUAUCGAUCCUGCAGUGCGCCAAACAACCCUUGGGAUCAAAGGCAUGUGGCUUGUACACCUGCGAGAACCUAAGGGAAAGCAAGGAGUACACCAUCAGCUGGAAGAAGCUCAAAGAAGCAGUGAAGAAUCGUGGAGAGACAAUGAAGAAUGAACGCCAAGCUUUUAAGCAAAUCAAGGCAGACAUCUGUAAGUUCAUCCUAGAGAAAUGCGUGCUCGAAGGCGAACCAUUCUUUGACAAUGAAGGUGAAUUGGCAGUUCGACCAGAGUUCGAGAAGCUUAGGAGAUGGGACACCAUGCUACGGCCGACCGAUUACACCCACGCAGUAGAAUUGUGAUGUGUAGCGGAUUCGCGGGUUUCAUAUGUGUAUAUGUGGAUGAUGAGAACAACUAAGUGGAUUUAUAUAUUAUGUCGUGUCUUAUGUAUUGAACUUUCAGUCAUAUGUGUGUCUAUAUAUAUAUAUAUAUAUAUAUCUUCUGUUUCUGAAAUGAAAUCUAGAUUCUGGAAUUUGUAAAUUGUUUAAAUUCAUUUGCAGCAAUGGUUCUGCAAUGUGUUUUUUUUAUUUAAAAACACUUAACCGUGGCGGGCAACAUAAAGUGACCGCUACGGUUAAUAGCAGUAUCCGUAGCGGGCAACAUAAAGCGCCCGCUGCGGUUAAUCUAUUAACCGUAGCGGGCGACGUAAAGAGCCCGCUGCGGUAAAUAGGAAUUAACCGUAGCGGGCGCUUUAUGUUGCCGCUACGGUUAAUCGAUUAACCGUAGCGGUCGGCGGCGCCCGCCACGGAAGUGGCCACGAUUUACCGUGGCCUUAUGGCCGUGGCAGACGCGUUUGCCCGCUACGGAAAAAGGAAAAUGCCCGCCACGGUUAUUCUUUCUGCAGUAGUGAAACGAAAAUGUUACAGUAUCUAUUAUGCAAAAAAAAUUAGAAAAACUAAUAUUAGAAUAAAAAUAUUAUCUCUUUCAUUUUUACUGUACACACGUUUCUAUUUCAAAUCAACAUCCAUCACAGCUCAUACUCCUCCCAUUUCACUCUUACUAUACACAUUUUUUUUCUAUUUCAAAUCAAUAUCUCCAUCACACCCCCUCAUUCUCCUCUUAUUUUCACUCUUACUGUGCACACGUUUCUAUUUCAAAAACAAUAUCCCAUCGCAGCUAAUUCUCCUCUCAUUUCACUCUUAGGCCGUAUUUAUAGGGGCUUUUUCUUGGUUUCGGUUCCUCGGCUAUAGAAGUGCUGUAGCGAAGCCAAGAAAAAACUCAAAUACUCGUAUUCUCCGGCUCCUCUCUUUCCUAGUGCAUCUUUAGAUAAGUUGGAGUUGUUUUUGUUUAUGCUACAGUAUGCUACAGCCCCGAACAAUGCUACAUGGUAUUUUGGGGGUUAGAGCCGAAGCAAUCUUAAAGCUCUUCCAACCAGGACCUAAUUACUGUCCACACAUUUCUGUUCCAAAUCAACAUGAAACCAAGUUUUCAACCUAAAUCCAACACAAAAACCUCAAAUAGUGAGUAUCUAGAGUCCAACUCUAAAAGUUAUUAGAAAUCGAUGACUAUUGCUAGAUCUAGAAAGAUAAGGCCGUGUUUAAUUGGUGAAGGAAAAAAUUUCGUGACACUGUAGCACUUUCGUUUGUUUGUGGUAAUUAUUGUCAAACCAUGGACUAAUUAGGCUCAAAAGAUUCAGCUCAUACAUUUCGACCAAACUGUGCAAUUGAUUUUUAUUUUCGUCUAUAUUUAAUAUUCUAUGCAUGCGUUUAAAGAUUUGAUAUGACGGAGAAUCUUGAAAAAUUUUGGAUUUUUGGAUGGAAGUAAACAAGGUCUAAGUUAGGAAGGAUUUUCCCAUUAUAUUCUAUAGAUAUCCCUAGCCCCCUCUUUCCAAUCUUAUAUGGGUAUCAUUUUGUAGGGGUUUAGAAGGGACUCUAUGCUUGAAGUAGAGAUAGCGAGGGCUCAAGCUCAUUCCACUCGGGUGUUACAUCUGCCCUCUAGAUGACAUGAUUGCUAUAUAAAUCUUCAAGUUACAAAUUGUCUAGAUGAUCGCAUAAUAAACUAUACAGUUUGUUACGACGAAUACCUUCUAUUUUCAGGUUUAAUUAAAGCCAAGGUGGUUUACUAAAAAUGUUCGUUUCUAGCCUUCUAUUGAAGGGUAGCUUUUGCUGCAACAGUCGUCGCAAUUGUUACACCUAUGUAGCACUGUGUACAGCUGUAGUGCAGACCUGUGGCUGUUAUUGUUGAACUCAACGUGUCCUCGUUAAGACUUAGAGCACCUCCAGUGUUGGUUAGAAACGCAGACGGAAGAAGAAACCGAACUAGGAACAUUGGAGCAUUGGGACAUUCGGUAUCAAAACCAAAAUUAGAGUUUGCAGAUGAGUCAUACCGAGAGGAAUAAAAAAAACUGUUUUAGAUGUGUCGCCGCCCAGCAUUCCUUUGCUCUCAUUCAAAUAAAGAUGUUCUUUUAAUCCAUAUGGACGCACAAGUCGCUGCACUGGACACACCGAACUCUCCUUUUGUUUAACUGUAUGGUUCGACGAGACAUUGUAGGUUCCUUUAGGAAGGAGUGUCCUUUGUUAGGUUCUUUUUGGCACAUCUCAAAAAGUGCUUUGGCUUCUCUAACAAAACACUAUAGCCUUACUACUUGAUUACUGUAAUGUUGAUGAAGUCGUUUCCAACCAAAUAAACUAGGUAGAUGAUGAAGUCAACAUUUGGAGCUUCAAUCGGCUCCUACUGUAACAGUUACACUAGUCAAACAGUGUUAAAGCUGAAGCCGGUGCAAACCCUACCGAAGAGGUAUUCUCGUCGUCCCAUAAAAAAUGAUUUUCUUACUUUUAAGUAAAACAUUUACAACUUUAACUAAAUAUGUAUAAGAAAAAUAUUAAUAUUUAUAGUAUAUAUAGUUAGUAGAUACUCCCUCUGUCCCACUAAGAUUGACGUUCUAGCAUUGCAGCGUUGUCCCAGUAUUAAUGUCGUUUUAGGUGCAGUAUGCUUAUCCACCCCACUGUCCAGCUAGCUUGUAGCACGCUUAUCCAUGGCUGAGAAGAGAAGCGCAAGAGAUGAGAGAGCACUGCAGAAUAGGGGUACGUUGGUAUUUUUUCUAAUGUCUUGGUAGCUGUGUCCCAACCCAAAACGUCUCUUAUUUUGGGACGGAGGGAGUAGAUCAUUAAAUAUAUUUUUAUAAUAAAUUUAUCGAAAGAGAUAAAUGUUGUCAAUAUUUUCAUAGACUUAAUAAAUUUUAGGCCUUGUUUAGAUCCAGAAAGGUUUUAGAUUUUGACACAUAUUUGACAAUUAUUGUCAAUCAUGAAGUAACUGGCUUUAAAAGAUUCAUCUCGCGAUUUACAAACAAACUGUGCAAUUAAUUUUUGUUUUCAUUUAUAUUUAAUGCUCCACGCAUGUGUCGUAAAAUUUGAUGUGACGAGAAAUUUUGAAAAGUUUUUGAUUUUUGAGGUGAACUAAACACGGCUUUAUUUUACCACCACAAAUUCUAUAUAUAGCGACGUUUUUAUGUAACGGGGGAGUACAAAGUUAGGAAAGAAAGACAAAUUCUAGGCUUCAUCUGUUCCUGUAGGGCAUGGCAGGAACAGUGACUGUCAGAAUUGCCUGAGAAAUUGAAGAUUAUUCAAAAUCCCUAUUGGUUCCAGAUCUGCCUCACAGUUUUAAAAAAUACAAAACCUUCGACUAGUAUCUCUGGGAUGGGUGUUGCGAUACUGUUGCCUGUGCGGUGUCCGGCGCCCUGGCCGACCAUCAUAUGGGCUCGCUAAUCUCGCGUCAGGAUCUGGGGGCCCAAACGCUUCAGGCCUUGUUUAGUUUCAAAAUUUUUAGGGAAAUCGACAUUAUAGUACUUUCGUCUGUAUUUGAUAAAUAUUGUCCAAUCAUAAAUUAACUAGGCUCAAAAGAUUCGUCUCGUCAAUUUCGAUUAAACUGUGCAAUUAGUUUUUAUUUUCGUCUAUAUUUAAUACUCUAUGCAUACGUCUAAAAAUUCGAUGUGAUAGGAAAUCUAAAAAAUUUUAUAAAUUUUUUUUGGAACUAAACAAGGCCUCAUUAUAUUGGAGGUCUGAACUCCGAAGGAUACAUAUGUGGCGUUCUCUUGUUCAUACACGUCUAUAGAUGGUCAUGUAACCCGAGGCACGACGGCCCGGCCCACGGCACGACAUUUUGGCCCGGGUGCUCAGCUCGGUAACUUGCGGGCCCGGACCGGCCCGGCCCAGUGGUGCAGUUCAUGCUUGGGGCGACCUCUAGGCCCGCGGACUGGCCCGGCCUGAGUUUUAGAGGUCGGUCCGGCAACGGCCCGGUGCCACCCUCGCGGGCAUUGCACAAACAACUCAUUUUUACAUCACAUGUUUUUUUUACGUUAUUUCUGAUCUAAGAUUGAAAUUGUGAAUCUGAGAAGUUGACAGUUGUAAAAAAUUGAUUGCAGCAUUAUGCUAGUGAAGUAAUCAUUGUUAUUGUGUGGUUAUUUUGAUUUUUUUUUACAAAACUGGAUUGUGGGCCGACCCGGCCCGUCGGGCUACGCCGGCCACGAAGUCAGCCCGUAGACCCGUGCUUAGGCCAAAGGCCAGACACGCGGGCGACUGAGGCACGAUACGGCAGGUGCCCGGCCCGAUGGCCAUCUGUAUACACGUUUUGGUGUAUGUACGAACAGCAUUUGUUACUGCACAAGCACAACGCACAUUAUUGCUUUGUCAUAUGGUACCUGGAUGCUAGUGAUUUUGACGCUGGUACAGAACCUUUGGAAUUUCAGUUAGAAUCAUUUAAGCCCGAAGAAUCGGCCCUUGUUUAGUUCACCUCAAAACCAAAAACUUUUCAAGAUUCUCCGUCAUAUCGAAUCUUAUGGCACAUAUAUCAAACAUUAAAUAUAGAUAAAAGCAAAAACUAAUUGCAUAGUUUGUCUGUAAAUCGCGACACGAAUCUUUUAAACCUAGUUACUCUAGACAAUGUUUGUCAAAUAAAAAACGAAAAUAUUACAGUAUCAAAAUCCGAAAACUCUUGGCAUCUAAACAAGGCCCAGUGGAUUAUAUGCCCGCAAACGCUGUUUUCCACAGUUCCUUUGUCGGGCACAGGUUUUCUCCUUGAGUGAGCACUCUUAAGAACAACUCGUCGAUCUGUUUUUCAGCACUAUUUUAAGGAUACUUUUCAAGAAAUAACAAUAUUUUUUUUGUUCGCAAUACAUUAGCAUCUUCAGCGAGCCGAACGGGCUGAGCGCGUGGUGCAUGUAUCUACCUGCAGGAAAAGGCCGUCAAGCAUAAGGGCCAUGGACAACCUACGACAGCCUAUACGUGGAAAGCCUCACGCAAGAGCCAGAGAGAAAGAGCCAUCACAGUCCACAAGGUGCCUGCGUCCUGUGGUUUCGUUCAAUGAAUCGCCGUCGGAGUGAGCUGGUGACCGCAAUUCCUGACCAAAGUCUCAACACUUGUUCUCGUUUACCUUCCCGUCACUGUCGUUCCGUUCCUUUUUUUUUUCAAGAUUCAAGAACCGUUCCCCUAUUGCUUUUGCCUUUUGGCACCAGCAACUGAUCGAGGAUCACUCGGGUUCCGCUUCCAUGUACUAAGUGUAACUAUGCAUGCAUUUUAUCAAUCCGUGGGCUGGUUUUGCCUGGAUUUUUCAAGAUCACCGGCCGGCGUGCGUUGUCCUCGUGCGGCGGCUGUGCCUGCACCUGGACGCAUCUGGUUUGAUUGGAAUAAUUGGAUGGAAAUCAGCUACAGGAACACGUCUGCGGCCCUGUUUAAUUGGAGAUAAAAAAUUUUUGGGUGUCACAUCGCAUAUGUCGUAAGGAUAUCGGGAGAGGUUUUUAGGAACUAAUAAAAAAAUAAAUUACAUAGUUCGUCACGAAACUGCAAGACAAAUCUAUUAAGCAUAAUUAAUCUAUCAUUAACACAUGUGAGUUACUGUAGCACUUGAGAAAUUGGUUAUUAUAGGACUCCAAAUAUUGGGUUUCUCUAUAAUAGGACUCUUAACGUUAGUUUCUCCUAAAUAAGACUGCAAAUAAUUAUAAUCAGCUCUAAUGAUAUUUUGUUUCUUUUAUAAUAUCUUUUGUCAUCUAAAAAUACAUGUAUUUUUCGUAUUGACCCUAUUAUCCUUCAGCUAUCAUAUGGUACUAAAUUCCAUCGAUUCAGACGCUCCUCCUCGCAUAGUGGUGUCAAUUAGCUUGGAUUUUCUUAUUUGCGCCCUUUCGCAAGACCUCAAUUUCAGAUCAGAUGGCUUAAAAGGCGAGCAUGACUAAUUUGCAUGCCGCUAAUCUUUGUUGGAAAGCUAAGAAAUAUCGAUGCAGUCCUUUCUCCUUUUUCUAAAACCUGCACUUAUGCAGUAAAAUAAGUGCAGUAAACUGUGGUCGGCCGGGAAUUUGAUGAAAUUGGAGGGCUUGCAGCCUUGCACCAUGAGAUCAUUGGCGCUAGAUUUAUCGGAGAGGGUUCGAGCGAGCCGAGGGCACAUCUGCACAUCCCUGUCACCAAGCAGCCAAAUUCAGCAGUGCCGUGCCGGUGCGGCGGGUGACGGGGGAGCAGAGCAGCCGAGCUGCCGAUGCCGAGAGCAGGGGAAACUGAAAAGAAAGGGAAGCUGCAGGGGAAACUGGAAAGGAAGGGAAGCUGCUCGUCUCGGUGGUGUUCACGUGUGAGGAGGAGCGUCGUGCGGCAUCUCGUGUCUGGUAGAUGAAUUGAUGGAAUUGAGUACCAUAUGAUAGCUGAAGGGUAAUAAGGUUAAUAUGAAAAAUACAUGUAUUUUUAGAUGAAAAAAGACAUUAAAAAAGAAAUAAAAUGUCAUUAAAGCUGAUUGUAAUUAUUUGCAGUCCUAUUUGAGAGAAACAAACGUUAAGAGUCCUAUUAUAGAGAAACCCAAUAUUUGGAGUCCUAUAAUAGCCAAUUUCUCGUAGCACUUAAAGCUAAUCAUGGAGUAAUUAGGCUUAAAAGAUUCGUCUCGCGAUUUUCAACCAAACUGUGUAAUUAGUUUAUUUUUUUAUAUAUAUUUAAUGUUCUAUGCAUGUGUCCAAAGAUUCGAUGGGAUGGAUGAAAAAUUUUUAGAUAGAAAACUAAAUAAGGCCAAAAAAACUAAACUUUUGCCAACUAAACAGGCCUCAGUUUCUCACACUGCAGUCUUUCUUUUGUGUUGCUGUACGUACGGUAGAAGAGACGACGCAGAGUCGGACAUUGCUAGCUGGGCCCUUUUGGACUGGACGUGGACGGGGUUUGACGAAUGACGACGCCCUGUUUGUCCUUGUAAGGCAGGCGACGGCGAAUGUUUGGUGCCACAGAACAGAAGCUCCUCCAGCCGGACACGUCCAUGUCCAGAUAAACUCGAUCCUUCAUCCUUUUGUCCGCCAAACGGGCAUUUCAGAUGGAAAAAAUGUAGCAGCAUUGCCGCAUUGGCCGCGAGCGUCAGUGCACGACAGCUAUCGACGAUCCAUGCGUCCCGCCCGCUUCCCGCACAGCCGCCAAGAACCUGACAGUAGAAUGCAUCCGAGAGCAUAAAGCUUAAGUUCUGGUUAGUUCCGGUAAAAUUUAACUCUUAUCGCAUCGAAUAUUUGGACACAUAUAUAAAGUACUAAAUAUAGACUAUUUACGAAACUAAAAAUAUAAUUAGAGAAUAAUUUACGAGACAAAUCUUUUAAAUUUAAUUAGUCUAUAAUUAUAUAUUAAUUAUAAAAUAAAACAAAAGAUACUAUUAUAUCUAUUAAACUUUAACACCUUCGACCAAAUAUCCACUUAAUUCUAUCACAACUUGUACUGCAUCGUUAUUCGUAUCUAGCUUUGCCGGGGCCGGAGGUGUGAUGGAGACAUUGUGGUUGGGUGUCGGCAGGCAUCCGAGUCCCAGUCGAACUCUUCCACCUCUGUAAAACCAGCAACGCCCCUAUGCCCCUAUCUCCCUGGUUUCUUCUGCUCGUCUGUACUGUACUACUGUAGUACUAGAGAAGAACAUGCUAAACUGAGCAUAGGAGCAGGCUAAAGAGCGGAACGACCAUAGAUGAAAUUCAACAUAUCUAUGAUGGAGACCAAAUCAACAUCAAAGGUCGUUUGUGAAAAACUAAAAUAAUGAAUUCAAAAUUGAAGAACUUAAAACACAUAUUGGGGCCUCUAAACGAUCUUAGAUAAAGAAAAAUUGUCAACUAUGAAGUUACAAAUCUUAAUAGGAAUAUAACUUUGGUAUAGACUAUAUCAAUAUCCGAGUCAUUUGAUUUUUUCUAAAAAAUAAUUUUAAAAUCUAGUAACUUAAAACAAAUAUUUGGCCCUUUUCAAAUAUGUUAAAUAAUAAUGAUAUCAACUACAGAGUUGUAGGUCGUGUAGGGAACUAGGGAUACAACUUUGAUAUAAAUUUGUAUUCAUAUGAUUUCAUAUGAAAGGUAGACAAAUGAUAUGUGGGCUCCAUGGUCAUGUCACAAAAUCACCUAAGAAACACUUUAAAAUUGUCAAGGAGAUAUGUUUCCAAAUUUUAAAAUUAAAGAUGCGUAUGUUAUCCAGUAUUGAAGUUUGAGAGGAUCUUCCAAAUUCAACGACUAGUUUAGGGGGAUUAAUCAGACUUACAUCACAUUGAGCCCUCCACAAUCUGAUACUAAUGAACUAUCAUUGUGAUAUGAUUUUCCUCAUCAUACUUCAAAACUUGACAUCUUACCCUCCAAACUCUCAAACCAUCCAAAUUAUCUCUCUGCCUUGAUUUGUAGUGGUUUUGAAGCCAGAUUCAUAAUCUUUAAUUAAAAAAUAGGGUAAAUACUUAUUACAAUUUUUAAUCAUAGAAAACAUCCAUAAGUUUUAAAAACUAAUAAAAAUCCUAGGUAUGGAUGGAGAUACAAAUAAUCUAAAUAAAAUAUUUAAAGCUUAUGAAAAAAUUUUCUGACAUUUCUAAAAAUAUUUAGAUACAGGAAAAAGAGAAAAUAUCAAGACAAAUGUAAAACGUUCUAAUUGAUGUAUAAACAUGUUUUAAAAAAAUCACAACAAAACAUAAUAUGCAAUAUAGAGGAUAAAUUCAUUCAACUUGCAUUCAUGUUGCUUGAUCAAUAAUUUUUCCAUAGAAAGUUUUUAAAAUAUAUUCAAACAUAGAAUGUUUUUGGAGUUUACUAGUUUUUUAUAUUUAUACCAUUUUGUAGAGCUAAAUUCAAAUUUUUUAAAACUUUUAGAGAUAUUUUCACGAGCUCUAAAAAGUUUAUUUGGGUUCAUAUCCCAAUCCAUCUCUAGCAUUUUUCUCAUAAUAUUUAAAAUCUUAGAGAUAUUUUUGUGGUUAAAAAAUCUUAUCAAGUAUUUAUCAGAUUUUUUAUUAACUGAAAACAAGACGAUGCCACCUUUAAAACCACUUCAAUCUAUAGCAAGAAGGUAACUAGAUUUUUUUGAGAGUUUAGAGUUUAAGAGGUCUGAUUUAAUUUACAGCUCAAUGAGAAAAUUGAGACGAUAAUUUAUAGAGAUAAAAUGGACUUUUUUUUUCAAAUGAAAAUUGCAGCCCAACCCAGUGGUGUCCGUCUGUUGCAAGCAAGCAAAGCAUUGCUUAGCCAAGGCCGUCAGGUGAAUCAGGCCUACACAAAGCAGAGUCCCGAACCCAGCAAACUGAAGUUCUUAACAGCCCAAGCACAUGACCAAGGCCCACGACCAGUUGUCCCACUGUAGAGACUGUUCCCAUGAUGCAACCGCGAGUACAUGCCACAGUGGCGAAGCUAGAGCAAAUUAGAGGAUGAUGCACUUGCCUUGUGGGUGCAUAGACUUGUGCUAUACGUGGUGCAUAUAUGGUGAAAUUUUAGAAAAAAAUAUUGUUUUUCCAAAAUUUGGGUGGUGCAUUUGCACCCACUAGCUUGUAGCUAGCUUCGCCCCUGACAUGCCACGAAUUCAUAGUAACCAUCUAAUGUAUGAGAGAGCUGUAAUUGUUCUUUCCAACUAUCCCUACUUAAUAAUUUAUAUAGUUAUAUCUCAUAAGUUGGAUGAUUAUACAUAGACAAGUGGCAUAAAAGCCAUGACACACACCCACAAUUACAUCCCCACCUUAUUUUUCCACACACGUGGCGUGUACUCCCUUCAUCUCAAAAUAAGUGCAUUCUAGUUAUGAACCUAGAUAAAAUUGUCCAGAUUUCAUAUAGCUAAUAAAAGGUCACUUAUUUGGAAUAGUUUGGUAACCACUUCAGUAUUUCCAGAGUAUAUCAUUCUGUAGUCGUCCUCUGUACAGAAUGGGAAUUCCUUAAAGCCAAUGAAGAGUCGGAACACCGGAUAAUCCAUUUGGUACGGCACAUGACAUGACUAUCAAGCAAGCCACAAUAAUAUAUACCGGGUGUACACAUGUUGCCCCUAGCACAGAAUCACAACAGGAAAAAAAGUUGCAUCCUCCCUGAUCCACACAAUUUGGAGCUUGGGGGUCGUAUCGUAUUGCUUUGAGCGAUCGAGCACACUUCCUGCAAUGCAAUGCAAUGCAACGGCCCCAACUACAACUGCCACGGUGUAGCAGUAGUAGAAUAUAUCUUAUCCAGACAUAUCCAAGUGUAGCGCUCCCAUAGGCGGGGUUGGCCGGCGACGAAUCUAUUCCAUCCACUGCAGGUGAUCCACAUCACAACAAAUCCACGGCGUCUCAUCCCGUCCUCUCGCCGCGCGUCCCUGUCCGCGCCGCGCGCCUUCUCCGCACCACAAAACCAGGGGCAGCGCAGCCACAAAUCCCCAUUGCAGCAGCUGACAGACUCAACCGACCGACAGACAGACAUGGCCGCCUCCACCGUCUCCGGCCUCGCCGGCGCCUCCUCCCUGGCCAGCCGCCCGGCUUUCUCCACCAGUAAGUAACGUCGUCCCUCCCAUUAAUUCCAUCGUCGUCUGCAGAAUAAUGCACCUUCUAUCUUGCAGUUGCAUCACUGACGAAAAAUGCUCCUUCUUGCGUCGUUGCAGGCUUCACGAGGGGCAGCCGGGUGUCGGCGAGGAACCCGCUGAUGACGAGGAACCUGGAGAGGAACGGCAGGAUCACCUGCAUGACGUGAGUAAUUAACUGGACACUUAAAACGAGCUCUCGCUCUCGCUCUCGCUCUCUGUGAAAUACUCGUGGAGGAGCUGAUGAUCGCGGCGAUCGAUUUCUAGGUUUCCCCGGGACUGGCUGCGGAGGGACCUGAGCAUCAUCGGGUAUGGGCUGAUCGGCUGGAUGGGCCCGUCCAGCAUCCCGGCCAUCAACGGCAACAGCCUCACGGGGCUCUUCUUCUCCAGCAUCGGCGAGGAGCUGGCGCACUUCCCCACGCCGCCGCCCGUCACCUCCCAGUUCUGGCUGUGGCUAGUCACGUGGCACCUGGGUCUCUUCAUCGUGCUCACCUUCGGCCAGAUCGGCUUCAAGGGCAGGACAGAGGACUACUUCGAGAAGUGAUCAGCGCGCGGCCACGAUCGAUCAAGCUCCGAUCCAUGCAUCGUCUCUGAUAUGAUGCUGCGUUGCGUUCCGCUGCGUGCGUGCCGCAGCAACCAGCAAUCGAUCGAACCUUUGCUGUAUAAUAGUAUAUGAUGGUUCUGAUUUGGUUCAAAAAUGUGUGAUAUGCUACUUUUGAGCUCAAAAAAUGUAAAUCUAUGCCGCGCGCCCCCUGCACGCUCUGGUUCAAUUUGAUGAAUCUAUAGCAAGCUAGUCUUCUCUCAAAUACUCCCUCUCGCUCCGGUCACAGAAACAUGCAUGCAUGUGUUUGUUUAGUAUAUACAAGAUUUGAUCAAACGUUAAAAUUACAAGCAUCACCACCUUGUCCGCCAUCCCAGUGCACGUCUCCAUCUGCUGCUCCCUCUCUCCCUGGGCCAUUAGGGAGAUCGACAAGCGGCGCAGGGUGUUUGUUUGGGCAGGCACAGACACGGUCUCGGGCGGACGUUGCCGGGUGGCUUGGACGGUGGCCUGUUCACCGCGGGACCUUGGCGGUCUGGGCCUCCCGGACCUGCGCACCCUUGGAUUCGCACUCCGCCUUCGCUGGGAGUGGCAGAGGCGGUCUGACAUUGACGCGCCAUGGGCGCUGCUGCCUUCACGCGCCGAGAAGGCCGUCGCAGCCAUGUUCAGCGCAUCGGUCUCCGUCCAGGUUGGCGACGGCACGCGUACCCUCUUCUGGACCGACUCCUGGCUGCCCGACGGCCCGAUCGAGCGGUCCGCGCCGACUCUCUUCGCCCGUGUUGGCCACCGACGUAGAAGAAGAACGGUGAAGGACGCCCUCACCGCCCACCGAUGGGUACGAGAUAUCGCUGGGGCUCGUACCCAGCCGGUGAUGCUUGCGAUCCUCGACCUCGCGGACAAACUAGCUGGGGUGCACCUCACACCGGGGCUCGACGACAGGUUCAUUUGGAAGUGGACCGCGUCGGGCGACUACUCCAGUGCCUCUGCGUAUCGCGCCUUCUUUGCGGGAACGACCGAGCUACUUGGCGCACGCGAGCUGUGGAAGACACGCCCCCCCCCCCCCAAGGUCAAAUUUUUCUUCUGGCUGGGCCUCCAUGGUCGUCUCUGGACCUCGGAGCGGCGAGCGCGCCACGGACUACAGCAGUCCCCCACCUGUGUUCUUUGCGACCAGCUGGACGAGACGCACGAUCACCUGCUGGCUGCAUGCGUCUACACGCGCGAGGUGUGGCUGCGCAUCCUGUCUACGUUUGCCCUCGGUCACCUGACGCCCACCGCGGAUGACACGCUGCUGGACUGGUGGCUGCGGACGCGUGCGCGGUUCCACGACGUCCUACAGAAGGCGUUCGACGACGACCCAUCCCCUGCGACCACCCUGCUGGAUCGUGUCAAGGAGGAGGCCGAUUCCUGGAUCGCGGCGGGCUUCCGUAGCCUAGCGGCGUUCGCCUCCCUCGUGCCUUAGAUCACGCUCUCUACCCCCCAGCAGACCAUCCUGUUAGAAGUACAACUGUUCCCGCUCCACCGUUCUAGCCGGUGCUUUGUGUAGUGUGUGGGGCGUUCCGGAUAUGGCAUCUCGCCCUUCCCGGACGUUCAUGUAUUUAAGAACUCCUUUUUCCCUUAAAGAAGCACGUGCUUAGCACGCUUUCGAAAAAAAAAUGUAACGUUAAAAUUAUUUAGUUUAAUUUGGAAACAUGUAACAUAACAUACUAUAUAUGUGCAAUUUGUACUGAAAGAUGAUACUUGCAAAAAUUCAUGAAUUUGACGGAUUUUAGAAACGCACUCUAGGUUUUACUCAAUCCAUUCCAGAUUGUAAGUCGUUUGACUUUUUUAAUAUCAAGUUUGACCACUCGUCUUAUUCAAAGUUUUGUACAAAAUAUUACUUUUUUUUGUUGUAUAUUGGUUUAUUAAUAAAAAUUCUUCAAGAAUGAUUUAAAUUUAACUAUAUUUGCACAAAUUUUUUGAAUAAAACGAGUGGUCAAACUUGGGGUAAAAAAAGUCAAACGACUUACAAUUUGGGAUGGAGGGGAUGGAGGGAGUUGCCAAAGAUGUGCAUAAAAGAUCGUGCAAAAUUAAACGUGACAAAUAUUUUCGACGGGUUGUGAGUAACAGGAGUAAGCAACGAAGAACCCUUCCAUUUUUGCAACACAAACGGCACAAGGAAAUGAUCAAAACGAGCUCUAAAAAGCGUGUACAAACCCGAAGACCAUAGCUUACGAUGACAUGUUAAUAGAGAGGCCAAAAGCAUCUAUUUGUGGAUUGUCCAUAACUUCUAAUCAAGCAUUUGAUUUUUUCUAUGAACUUAAAUAAACACAAAAAAUGAUAUCAAAUGUUGAUAUUAAUUUCUAUAAAGUUAUAAACUUAAUUAUAAAGUUAUAAACUUAAUUAAACACCAAAAAACCGACUUACUCAAAUCUAGAAUUGCACUUUUUUGAGACUGACAUAGUAAUAUUCCCUCCAUUCUGUUUUAUAUAUUGUUUUGGCUUUUCUACAUACACAACUUUACAUAAAAAAUUCAAAAUAACCUAUAAUUUAGGAUAUAAGUUGGUAAUUAAACAACUUUGUUUUUGAAUCAAUAUGGCGGACUUUAUUCAUUGAGGAUAGUUAAAUCGUUUAUUACUAGAAAAUCAAGAAUAAAGCUAAGGGGCUUAUCGACCCCAAGUACAAUUUUGCUUAGAGUGCAACAACUGAAUUUGCUAAAAAUCAUCCAUUCUUUAUUGUCUCUACCAUCUCCGUGCAUUUUGAUCAUACGAUAAGCCGACUACACCCUAUACAUAAUUUUUAUUAUGUAUGUGGAUAUAUCAUAUAUCUAGAUGUAUAAUAAAGGCUAUAUACUUGGAAAAGUUAAAACGAUCUACAAUUUGAGACAGAUAGUGGUAACAAAUAAACAACUUGCUUACACGUAAGAAAGCGAGGGAAUGUUUUGUUCCAUGGAUAAAAAAACCCAUAAAUAUCUUUGUAUGUAUUCUUGACCUUCAUUUUUGUGGAAUCAAAUGAUUUUUUAGGGGAGCUUUGACCUUAUUCAAUCACCAGAGUAAGAAUUACAAACUUCACGAGGAAGCUCCAAAAACCACACAUGUCUACCUAUCGAUGAAUUUACAAAACUUCUACCAACUAAAUGCGUCGACAUUUGAUCUUCGCCCUUCGAAAAUGAACUCUGCUCUCAUGAAACUUCAUCUUCUGUCAUUGAUCUCUCAGACUAUGGGUCCAUAUACCGAAUUUAGAGCACGUUCAUGAAGCAUUAAAUAUAGAUAAAAAACAAUUAUAAUUAUAUAAUUUAUCUGUAAUUUAUAAGAUGAAUCUUUUAUAAUUAGGAAAUUGAUACUGUACCUAUUUUAUAUUUUUUUAAACUAGGCAAGGGAAUGAAAUUGUUGUGUGAUUGGGAUUUGUCAAGCACGAGUCGGCCCAAGCGCCCCGAAGCCCGAAGUCCAAAACCAGGAGCAUCGAUUUCAAAAGGCGGAAAGAAGGCAAGGCAAACGCAAAUGCCACAACCCGCCUGCCGACUCGCCGCCGCAGCCGCAUGACAACCGCCGUCGGUCGGCCAUCCCCUGCGGUCGCCACCCUCUUCGGCCGCUGCCGCACAGCCCGCCGCAUCAUCAGCCUCGGCGAUCACAACCAUCAAACCCUCCUACCCCGCUUCGCCGCCGCCUGCAAUGCCCGCGCGUCCCCGUUCCUCUCCGCCGCGGCGGCCGCCGCCGCCAGCCGGCCAUCCCCGGCGGUCGCCACCCUCCUCGGCCGCUGCCGCACCGCGCGCUGCCUCUCCCAGCUCCACGCCCGCAUCAUCCGCCUCGGCCUCCACAGCCACCACGCCCUCCUCGCCCGCUUCGCCGCUGCCUGCGAUGCCCUCGAGUGCCCCUCCGUCGCCGCCUCGUUGGUCGCCGCGCUUCCUGACCCCUACGCCGCCCCGCUCCGCCUCCGCAACGCCGUGCUCGCGUCGCUCGCCCGCCACGCCCCGCUCCACGCCGCGCUCACGGAGUUCAACCUCCUCCGACAGGCCGCGCUCCCGGACUCCUUCUCGUUCCCUUCCCUCCUCCGAGCGUGCGCCCGCGUAUCCUGCCUCCCCGCUGGACAAGCCCUGCACGCCGCCGCUAUCCGCCUCGGCGUGCACGCCGACCUCUUCAUUCGCACGGCGCUCAUCCAGCUCUACGGCAGGUGUGGCGUGGCUGGCUCGGCCCGGGCGCUAUUUGAUCAAAUCGACAUCCCCAGUGAGGUUUCCUGGACCGCCAUUAUCGUUGCCUAUGUCAACAAUGGUGACAUCGUGACAGCCAGAGAGCUGUUUGAAAGAAUGCCUCACCGGAACGCUGUGCACUGGAAUUUGAUGGUUGAUGGUUAUGUGAAGUGUGGGGACUUGGAGGGCGCAAAGAGGCUGUUUGAUGAAAUGCCUGAGAGAACUGCCACAGCAUGUACAUCUUUGAUUGGCGGAUAUGCAAAGACAGGGAACAUGGAAAUUGCGAGGUUGUUGUUUGAUAAGUUAGAGGACCGUGAUCUGUUCUCAUGGUCAGUGAUGAUAUCAGGUUAUGCACAGAAUGGUUACCCUGGGGAGGCUUUGAGGACUUUUGAUGAGUUCCAAGGGCAAGGCAUACACCCAGACGAACUUCUUGUUGUUGGCCUGAUGUCUGCAUGCUCCCAACUAGGUAACAUCAGGUUGGCAAGGUGGAUUGAAGAUUACGUCACAAAGUACUCUAUAGAUAUGAAAAAUGCUCAUGUGUUGGCUGGUCUUGUGAACAUGAAUGCAAAGUGUGGGAACUUGGAGAGGGCUACUGUUUUGUUUGAGUCUAUGCCAGUUCGAGAUGUGUUUUCAUAUUGUUCACUGAUGCAAGGUCACUGCCUCCAUGGUUCAGCUAAUAAGGCUGUUGAACUUUUCUCUCAGAUGCUUUUGGAGGGCCUCUCCCCCGAUAAUGCUGCGUUUACAGUUGUUUUAACAGCUUGCAGUCAUGCUGGUCUAGUAGAAGAAGCGAAGAAGUUCUUUGAUAUGAUGAAGAAUGUGUACUUGAUUGUGCCAUCUGGUGAGCACUAUGGUUGCCUUGUCAGUCUUCUUGGACGUUGUGGUAUGCUAGAAGAUGCAUAUCAGCUUAUCAUGUCAAUGCCUGGGAAACCUCAUCCUGGAGCAUGGGGUGCACUAUUGGGUGGAUGCAAGCUUCACUGUAAUAUUGAGCUUGGAAAAAUUGCAGCAAAGAAACUUUUCGAAAUUGAACCGGAUAAUGCUGGAAAUUAUGUCUCCCUGUCAAAUAUGUAUGCUAACAUUGACAGGUGGGGAGAUGUUUCUGAAGUUAGGGAUGAGAUGACUGGAAAGAGAAUAACCAAAAUAGCAGGCCGUACUGUAGUUCUGCCGUGAAGCAGUGUCGACCAGAAUGGUGUAUUUAUCUUGUAUCAUGUUACUGGCCCCCACUGAAAACUUGACGAGGCUGUGAAUGAAGAAAAAAGACCUCAUGACGGUUAUGAAAUAAACAGAAAACGAGAUAUCAUACUCAAUGCAUAUGGUUGAAGUUCAUCAUAUGAUGAUAUAGACUUGCUGGUGAACAGGCUGAGUUUAUACAUUGGAGAAACUUUUUUCUCCAAUACGCUGGGGAGCUACGUACCAUUGGAUUGAGAAGAACACCAGUGUACAAAAACCAAAAGACCACCACACCAACGCAGCCAUACCAAACACACACACAUACACUCAAACCCAACCUCAUUGGUGGGGGACAUCUGGACUGAGUUAAGAGACUUCUAUUAGCUUAGUGUUCACAUUGUCCGACUCGGAGCUGGAAGGAUGCUUUGAUUUUUUGGUGAGAUCAUUCACUGUUGCCAUUGCUGAUGAAAUGGUUUCUUGUGAGUGCUUCUUCCCACUUAGUCUUUCCUUUAGCUUUUUGUUGUUCAGACUGCAUCAAAUUAUUGCAUUUUAAUCCUAGCGUUUGUUUUUCAUGAUUAUUACUGGUUAACUCUGACUUACAGCAAAUAAACUGCUGUUGUUGAUACAAGGAAAUGGUUGCUGCCCUUGGUUUACUUAUAUAAGAAGUUUGGAUUAGCAUAGUCUGUUAGUUAGCUGAGGCUCUUUUGAAAUACAAAUACAAUUUUUUUCUUGCAACUUGAACUAUUUUAUAAUAGGUGCUUGCAUCCUAAUGUCCUAUGGUCUUGCAUUAGCUGAAUAUCUAUUGUUUUGAGAGCACCCUUUCAUCUUGUUAUAAUAUCAAAAUUUAACUUUGGACCACACUAUGUUAAAUUCUACCAAGUUAAUUUAGCUCUACUUGACCUUUUGUAAAAACUUAUAUCAGCUGUCAAACACCACCUCUCAAGUUAAAGAAAAACUUGUGCUCUUUUCGUCUAGGGGUAUAGGCAAGUGUCGAUACCAUGGUUUCAUUUGGGCCUUGAACUUCCAGUGCCUGGAAUAUUCUUUUGAUGAUUGUAUCGGUAAUUCAUUUCAGGUACUGUGAAAGAUCAGGGUGCUGCUGUACAAAUAUUGAAAUAUGGCCCUGAUUAAGGCGCAAAGUUUUGACAUUUGCUAUUAAGGUACUUCUAAUCUUGAUCCUUAAGAAUCAGAAGAAAAGUUGCAUGCCUAUUGGUAAUACUGUGCAGAACACACUUUCCUUAUGAUUAACUUGUCAAGAACAGGGAACACAAUUUCUCUGCCCUUUUGUCCAAUAUUCUUAGUGCUUCCAUGGUCUGCUGUUUGCUACUGUGAAUAUAUGUUUAAGUUAUACCUAGCAGGUGACACAUCGUUUGAAAAAAAAUAGUAGGUUGCAUUCGUUUUCAAGAGGUCCAAAGUAACUGACCAUAUAUAGAGUAAAUAGGAAGACCAAAUUUGAACCAUAAUGUCACACUGUUGAAUUUGAACAUAAUAUCUUCCUAUGACUCAGAAUGUUUGUGCCAAAAGUAUAAAGUUAUAUACAUUUCCAUUGGGUGUGAAUGUGCAAGCAUACUCGCAUCUAAAAUGUGAUGUGCACUCGAACAUGUUUGUGCCAGUAUGAUAACUGCACGACUGAGAUAUUGAUAGCCUAAGUUUUUUUCUUAAGCAGCUUUUGCCAGCUGCCUAGAGAAGGUUGGAGAAGUGGAGAUGAAACCAUUGUGUUUGGCAACCUGGCUUUUCUAUGGCUUUUUCAUGAAAAAACUCCUUUGGGACCCACAUGCCAUAGCCUGUACCAGAGGCGCCAUCCUGUCCACCGACUUGCCAGAGCAGCAGGGGCAGCAAGCCUGGUUUCUCUUUUUCUUACCGUUCUGCUACCGAUCCUCUCUGACUCAAUCUCCCUGCGCACCGCUGCCAGGCCAAAUCAAUGCCUACCUCAUGCCCUCUCCUGCACGCCCGACCGCGCAUCCGUGACCGCGGCCUCCCCUUCUUUGCCCCCAUGGAGGCAGAGCUUGGGCCGACGGGGCCUGCACCAGUCUAGAGGCUGCUCAGCUCCUGCCGCCACCAUGGAGGGGAUCUCAUCUUAGGAGAGCUGAGGGACACAGAAGGAGCAGUAGGUGGAGGUUGAGUGGGAGUGGAGGGAGGUGCGGCGAAGAAGCUGAGCCAUGGCCGGAAAAAGCUGCAUGCCCUGUGCUUUAGAGGAACACGGUUUGGCAGUAGAAAUUGGAGAAGUGCUGGGCCAUUGUCAAGUUCAUGGGUGAAAAAUUGAAAACUGUUAGUUCCUGUAAUCAUAGUGAGAGCCAAUAUUCAGGUGAAAUUUGUUUGAGUUUCUGUAGCAGUAAUACGCCAAUCCUUUCUGAUUACUGUCACGUUUGAAAAAUCUGAAGGCACACCUUAUAUUGUUAUCUGUCAGGUCUGAGACCAAUGGUGUGGUAGUUUCAGGCUUUCAGUUCUGGAGAAGGGCUUGAAAAUAUGACUUGUUGAUUUAUGGUUCAUAUACAGUUCUGUCAAAAGAUCUCAAUGAGCUCAGUUCAAACUCUUCAUAAGCUGAGCUCAUGCCUAGACCCAAGCUCGUGGGCCUCAUUAUAUUGAACUCGAUUAGUGUGGUUAAGGCUUGACUCAGUCCUUAGUUUCCCCCAAGACAUGAUGUAUCCAUCCCAAAAUUUUGAGCUGAGAAUGAGAUCAUUCUGCUAAAUCUUUGUCCAAGCUUGCAUACAACGCACUAUGUUAAAAUGUAGUUGCCCAGUUUUCAUGAGCUGAGCCUGAGCUUUGGCGAGCUUUCAUAGAAGAAUUUAUAUUGAAACAAGCUUGAGCCUCCAUGAGCUUUGGCCGAGCCUAGGGAGGUUCACUCCAUUAUACUCAUGUGCAGCCCUUGUGCGUGGCUGUUUGGUUGGAGCCCUGGUACCCGGCAACUUGGCCAGGCAUCAAUCUCCACCCCCAGGUCUCCAAAAUCCAACACUUGGGAUUGUUGGCUAGCCCAGGCAAACUUUGCCAGCUCCAAAAAACCAAACAGGAGCCUGUUUGGUGGCGCUCCAGCUCUGCCUGCAGCUCCUGCACUAGAGCAGGAGGAGCUGCACCAAACGGUGACGCGAGGAGAAGCGCUUUUGGAGGAGCCGGAGCCCUUUUUGUGUACGGAGAUGGAGCCAUGAUUUGCAGCUCCAGCUCCGGCAGCAGAGCCCGCGGAUGCAGAGGCGUUCCAAGCACACCCAUAGCUGUGUUCUCGUAACUUGAAAGUCCACCAGGCAGUGUUUUAGUCAUUACACUAACAUGUCAAGCUGCUGCCAUUAAUGCUCACAUGUUAUUUAUGUUCUGGUUUGAGGAAAGAUACUUUCAGAUGCUUCCAUUUGGGAUACCUCUGGUUAUGGCUGGUUGCAGAAUCGGUGCUAGAGUAAGUGAGUAGGCAACAUGCCACCUCUGUUAAAUUAUGCUCUCGUCCUAGUCUUAAAGAAAGUGAUUAGACUGGUUUCUAUAUGGAUUAAGUGGACCACCUUUCACAGUGCUUGCCUUUUUGGCUGCAUACCAGCAUACUCCCUCCGUCCCUGAAAGCUGCAACUUCUAGAGUUGUCUUAAGUCAAACUUUUGAAACUUUGACCAAAUUUAUAGAAAAAACGCUAAGAUUUAUAGUACCAAAUUAAUACCAUUAGAUUUAUCAUUGAAUAUAUUUUUAUAAGAUACUCAUUUUAUGUUAUACAUAUUGAUGCUUUUUCCUAUAAAGUUGGUCAAAGUUAAACAAGUUUGACUGGCACGGAUUCUAGGAAUUGAAGCUUUCAGAGACAGAGGGAGUACAAGAUAACUAAUAUGUGAUUUUGUAGUCUAGUAUUAUAUGUUUGAGAAAUGUCAGAGCUCAUAAUAGUUUUCAGACUUUAUAAGGCCAUGGUAUUAAGAGUAAUAGAUAUGGGGUGGUACAUGUUUGUAAUCAGUAACUAACUGAUUUCCUUGUGAGACACGUUUACUUGUAAAAUGGUAUGGAGCUGAUCUAACUAGAAAACGGGCAACUCAGCAUAUGUUUAGUAAUUAUUAGGCAGACCAUGAAUUGCUUUAUUAUAUUUGCUUUGCUAUGUGACAUUUUCUUUUUCAUUAUUAUGGCAAAAGCAAAAGUACGAUUUUGAGCUGGAGUUGAGCUUGAACAUAUGCAUGAAUGAAAUGUGGUGGGAUCAUAUCCAUGAUGUUCCUCAGCCUUUUCGGAUUAUAAAAGAGAGAUUAGUACAUCCGUAGAUACCAAAUAUCUGUGCAGCUGUUCUUGUAGGUUAGUGCUUACAUGUGCUAUCCUAGGUAUAUAAACCUCACCUAGUGGCUACCCACCUAGCCUGUUGGAGCCUCUUCCAUAGGUGGCGCACGACCUUUUCUUUUUUUGGUGUGUGGAUCUGUUACGGCCCGUUUAUGGCAGACAAACUUAUCUUCAUGUCGAAGGUGCUGCACCAAUACUGCUCUCCUAGGUCAAUGAUCUUGCUGCACUUGGCUUCAAACACUGACUUAUGAUAUUCAUAUUAGUAGUUCCGCAGCAGUAAUAAAAAUAAUUUGGCAGCACAUAAAAAAUAUUUAAACUCUCUGCUUAUCUGGUUGAUCCGUGUUAGAUUCUUAGUGGGAUGUGUGCCUGUGAGCACUGUCUUCUUGUGGGCAUGCACACGAGUGUAUGUGCAUGUCUUGGGCUCGUGGCACAUGUCUACCAUUAUGAUGCACGUACUGAAUCCUGUAAUAUUCCUCUUUGAAGGAGCCUCACUGCUCAGUGCUUGGCGCGAUGAGGAUGGGGUGUUAAAAUUUGUCCUGCUGGAUCUUUGUUAGGUGAUUGAGGUUGAUUGUUUGACUAAAAAAUUUAUGUGCGUAUGAGGCUUCUGAUAUAUUUAGGGGAAAUCUGAUGAAGAAGGGGUAUACGGAUUAUUAUAAUGAUGAGCCUCAUACAAUUCAUUUGUACGAAUGACUAAACCGUAUGAUAUACAUUUUUUGGCAGGUGGCUUGAAACUAUUCAACUUUUGAUUGAUAAAACUCUCUGCUUGGCUUAAUAAUUUCAUCAACUGUCCUGUCGUUUCAAUAAUAUCAUGUCACGUUACAGCAGUGCUUGAGAAUAUCUGCUACAAAAAUAUGCAAACAAAUAUAGAAUGACAAUUGAACUAUUUAGAGCAUAUAAGACAAAUGUAAGAUAGAACAGGACAUGAACCAAAAAAAAUAUUGAACAAGAUCUAGAGUGGUCAUAUGGGUUGACAUUAGGACUAUAGUUUGAACUAAUGACACUUAUGAUGGUAUUAUGGAGGUUCAAUUUUUUUUGUGUUGUUUAUUCAAGUUGGGCUAUGAUGUUCAUGGCAGUAUCUUCAAGCAACCGGGGUUAAUGCUUUGUUCCCUCUAACAACGUCAGUUUCUUGCAGUAGUCUACUCCUGGGUUCGUGCUAGCAUUAAAAGGAAUAUUAAUGUGAUGCCUGCACUCUUAGUCCACUAUCUUCAAACUAAUAGGUUAAACAAGUUCUUAAGCUUAAUGCUUCAUUAUUCUUUUAGUUUUUGAAGGAUGCUUCGGAUGCUUUAAUGCAUCGUUAGUUGGACGCGCUCGUGCGUGUGUGAUAAGAUUAGGUGUUUGACUCGCCCCUGCAACAUUAAUGCGCAGGAUCUUUUUCCUUUGUGAUUAGAAUAUGAUAUUUAGCCUUAACUCGCUUUUGAACCGCGAGUUACAGAGCACUGUGGCACUUAAACCCCACGGUGUCACGAGGCUAAGAUAUUGGUAAGAUGUUCCCUUCGUGGGUGGGAUGAUGUAUUUGUUUAUUCUUCCAACGCAACAAUAGGGGAAGUCAUGGAAAACUAAUGCCAACCGCCAAUAAGAAGAUUGCUCUUUGUUUUUUCUAUAUAUCUUUUCUUUUAUUGACAAAAAUGUUAGCAUCAGGUAAAUUGGAGAUUAAAUUAGUAUCAGGUAAAUUGGGAAUUGAAUUGUGAUUAUAUGAGUUUAGAAGUUCCUAGUACAAUAAUUUGUUAUAUGAUUCAUUUUUCUCCCUCUCUUUUCAGGAUGAGGGGAUUGCAGACAGUAUAUAAUAUGAGAUCUCAGAUUUACAAAUCAGUGUCACAUUUACAUAUCCUGGAUUAUGAUACACCUAAUUUCAAAUUCUUGAGAUCUUGGGGCAGCCACGACACACAUUACUUCAAAUUAUUGAGAUCUUUGGGCAAAUGUUUUACUGAUAAGUUUUUGGUUAAUGUUAUCAGUGUUAUGUGAUUAGCUGACCCAUAUCACCUCAUUGUAUCUAGAACAAUUGAGGAUGAGACAUCAAAGAUGUCCUUGCAAAUGCAGUAUUUAUUCCAUCUUGGUUAUUGGGCACCAGGCUGCUGCUGGCAAGGUAAAUUUUAGACCAAGAGGAUUGCUAGAUGACAUAGAUGCGGUGCUUAUAAGGGAUUAGAAAUGAUAUUUUGUAGAAGCAAGUAGGGUUAACCAUGGAAAUAUUUCAGAAGGCGAGAAAGCUUCAGGAAUGCAUGAUUUGAGAAGUAUCUAGAAAAUUCUAGAAAGUUAAGAAAAAAAACUAGGAUCUAAAAAUUUGUUAGUGGCACAUUUUUAAAUUACUGUAUGGUAAUUUACCAGAGAACCUUUUGUUGCUGUGGAAAAUAAAAUAGCAAAUAAUUACAAACCACAAUUGCAUGACCUAAAACGUGUGUUGCUAACUGGUGUGUUUUAUGCAGAACAGAAAUGUUUUUUUUAUUAUUAUUACCAGAGAACAGAAAUGUUUACGGCACUACGAGAGCAGUCCUCAGCUCGAUCGACUAUCCUAGCCACCUACGAGUCUAUGACUUGAGAAUGGAGUUUAAAUUGCACUCAAAUCACGGAAGGGUAGGUCAUCAACAGUUAACACCAUAUGGGCGUCAUUAUAUACUCAAGAUAAAUUACUACACGCAAAAAUGAAUUCAAAAGAAAAACUUGUUGUCCAUACACAUUUCCAUAAAUUGCUCCGCGAACUUCUCCAUGGACAAAGAAUAGUAUUGCCGGUUGCAACAGACGAACGGACGCACACGGCAUGACUAAAGCAUGGGGCUAAUUUUCGUUAACACCUUAGAUCGCGCCAUGAAUUUAAAGAAGGGCACAUGGGAUUGGUCCCAAAACACCGACUAAUCACAAAUUAUACAUGCAAAAUCAUUUUUAAACUAUAUCCUGUACUAAUACUAACCUAGUGCCACAGUUAUGAGCCCACACCACAUUCAGGUCAACCCCCCAUGUCUCUCCGUAGUUGGGCUGAAGUCGCAUUCAACUCCGAGCCUUCUCCUGCAAUGUUAAACACGUCAGCAUCGAAUCAUGGCGAAUGAUGGCAAAAUAAUAUGCGAUCGGGUAAAGCGAAAUUUCAAUCUUUGAACCCAAGGCGAUUACAAUUUGGCUCUGGAUCCCAAAACCAUUAAUUACUGCUUCUAUUUGCCCCAAAAAAGUGGCAUUAAUGCUGGGAUUAGCUCCAGCAAAGACACAAGAGAAAAGAAAUGGACAGAUGGCCUCUCUCUCUCUCUACCAUGUAGAUUAGCAGGCAGUACCAUUGACCAGACCCAAUGCAACACACAAACCAAAACAACUUUAAGUGAGUUGUGUGUCAUCAUCAUUAACCAAGGUGGGAUAUGGAAGCAAUCUUGGGGGAUUACAUUAGUGGGUUGCUACUAUGAUAUGACUUGAGGAACAAAUUUUCACCCUUUUCUUAAUCGAAAGGCGAUUAAGUCGCAAACCCGGGAUGCAAAUAUCUCCAGAAUACUAACAAGUCAACCAUCGAAUUUAAUAUAUACGCUGUCAGCAUUUAAACACUGCAAGCUGGAAACAAUCAAAAUCCCAGAGCUGCAAUUCAUAGGGUGGGAGGGAGAUGACAUUAGAGGAGGCUGCUCUUAUGUGCAUCAAACAAAGUGGCAUUAAUGAGUUUGCUUAUCUCUUAGCCAUUGUAUCAAGAUGCGCACCAGGCAAUGUAUGGGUGCACAGGACUUGCCUUGCGUCAUUCAAAGACCUAAAUACCUACUCCAUCUAUAUUCAAGAGCCUCAUUUAUUUAAAUAUCUAAACAAGAAAAAUGGCUCAACAUUCAAGCCCAUUUAGUGCUCAUUUAGCAAUACUGUGCAUUUGAAAUACUGUGCCCAAUAAACUCCAUUCAUGGCCACAUCAAGUUGUGAAAUCAAUUGGGAGCCAGUCAAAUUUCAACUGCACAAGCUUUAUAAAUAAUCAAUUGGAAGCCAGUCAAAUUUCAACUGUACAAGCUUUAUAAAUAAUCAAAAGGAAACGAAAUUGGUGGUUUCAACACUCAACUGCACAACAAAUAAUAAUUGUCAUAAUUAUCUGAUUGGCCCAACUAACUUUCCAGUGGCACAUAAGGUAUUUAUUCCUAAAAUCUGUGGGAUGUCAGUCAUUUUCAAAAAAUUGGAACAUGUUUUUAAAUAUAGAUAGUGAGUUUAACCUCUCACCCAAAUGCAAUAAAAAAAAUAAGCCUAAAUCUAGAAAAUGUUGUUGAGCAAGUGCAUUGCUAGCUGGCUAAAAAUACUGAUUAACAAUAAAAAUUUACUUGUUAAGCACCAGGUAAAAGUUUCCCAGGACUGGUUAAAGUUGUGUAAAAAGCAACAAAAACUCAACUGUAGUUAUGUGUCCCAGGUCCUGUUUUCCUCAUUCUGAUUUGUUGAUCUUUUGCAUAUGACCCAACAAGCCACCACAAAACCUCUCACCUAGCACUUCUCUUCCACCCAACGCAUAUUCAAUCCUUCCUUUGCCACUCCCCAACCAUGAAUAUGAUAGGCAAUAAAAUGCGUACAGUUGUACUAUUGCUACUACUAUGAGAUAGUAGAGAGUAAUAAUUAAAUGGGAGCGUAGCUCUUACUGUCACAUUAAAGAAAACCAAUUGACCUCCCAUCCUUCUUCCCCUAUAAAUACCAGCCAUUUCUUCUCCAACAACACCAAAGAAACACCUCUGAGCAUUCUAAAGCUCAUAGUCCUCUCCUUCCGGAGCAUUUCACAUCGCUCUCAUCUCCGGCUGCUUGCAUCCAGCGCCUCGUCACUCUGCAAAACAGUAAGUCCCCUAUCAUCUGUAUCUAGGCCUCUAAUCCUCGUAACAGUAGAGCAUCCAUUCUGAAGUGUAUCUCAAUCAGCUGAUUCAACGUUUGAUGGAUGCAGACAGCACAUACCUCCAAAGGAUGAGCCGCAGCAACAGGAAGAGCUCUAGGGGCCUUGACCUGAAACUGAACCUCUCGCUUCCUGCAACAGGGGGCUCCUCCAGGAGGGCGAUGGCUGAUGAGGAGUCAUCCCCAAGCUCCUGCCUGUCGUCAGAGAACGAGCAUGGCCUUCAGUGGUCCAACAGCCCUGAGGCCACAUCCAUGGUUCUUGCUGCCUGUCCUCGCUGCUUCAUCUACGUCAUGCUCCCACAAGAUGACCCUCGGUGCCCCCAGUGCAAGAGCCCUGUUCUCCUUGACUUCCUGCAGGACAACAACAGCAACAGUAAGAACAACAGUAAUAAUAGCAGCAGGAGGAGCAGGAGGGGAUGAGCAAUAUGGUUCCAUUAGGCCGCACAACAUCAAGAAAAAGAGCUAUAUGAAGUCCUAGGUCCAGUAGUUCUUUUUUGUCCAGUCAUUUCUUCAGUGUAACUGUGAUAUAUCCAUACUAAAAUUGCGAAGCUAGCACCCAUACGCUAGUAUCAAAGUUUUGAUAUAUCACAGAUACACUGACGAGGGCUAUAUCUUUCAUCCUUGUUUCCUUCCUUUGCGGCUCUAAAUGUAAUAGUUUUGUUUAGACAUAGGACCAGACUUCCUAUCUUUUCGUUUCAAGAUAAGAAAAGUUCACCCUGAUAGAGUGAAAUUGAGAAGUAACUUCAUUCUAUCAUACAUAGGAGCUUCAAAUCCAAGAUUUCCUCAUUAUUCUGAGUUGGACAAGGUAUUGACACCCGACAUAGGAAGAAGGGGAAAAAACAGAAAGAACAGUCAACCCCAAAAAUGGGAUGUUAGUAUCACAGGUUAGCUGGAUUGAUCAAUUGGCACUACUGCGUCCACGUUGCAACAAAAAGAUGUGUGCUUCAUGAACUCUAUCACCCAUGAAGACAUCAAGUAUUGAAAUGGUGAUGGAAUUUCAAAUUGGAAAGAGAUAUGUUUAAAAAAGGUUGAAAAAAUGUUGGUGUGACGCCAUGCAAUAAAUACUGAUUAAUUUCAGCAUGCGUCACUCUGUUUCCAUAGUGCAUCCAUCUGAAUAUGAGCAUUAUUACGCAACAACCUUACACAAUGCUGCUUUGGUCAACUAUGUCAAGCCAAUAUAUUUAAGUUCACUUGAUAAAGGCGCCUCAGGUUACUCCAAGUGGAUUUGAAUUAAAUCAAAAGGAGAAAGAUCAAAAGAUCAAAGAACAUGUGCCUAUAUAGGAUGUGCCCAUUAAUUCAUGUUGACUUGAAAUAGCAAGCUUGUCCCUUUCAUUUCAUUCAUUAACGAAAACAACAAAGUUUCAGGCUGUAAUAUGGUAGUUCAGUGACAAGACAACAGAAAAGGAAUGAGCUAUUAACAGGGAAAGGAAGAAAGAAACAUGAACAACAUAAGAAUGAAACAAGAAACAAAGAAAAAUCGAAUGUCAUGCUGAAGUGUAUUACAAUAUAUCUAUAUGACAGUAAAACACAAAAAAGUAGCUAAUUUAACAAUUACCAUGAAUUCAGCUGUUUUGUUUGGUGAACGUAAGGGCCUAUGUGUACUUGCCUUGUCAUAUACAACUAGCGAACACAUGGUCUCAACUCUCAAACAAUCAACCAAGUCAUCGAUUUAUAACACACUUAAAGCAGAAGAAAAUAGGCAAGUGCAAAAACCCGCGCGGAACCGAACCAGGGUAUGAUAGAACUGAUAAUCCAAAGAACAUAAGAACGUGAAACAACAAAUAAAGGAAUAUCGAGACAUUACUUAGUACUCCAUCUGUCCCAAACUGUAUUGUGUUUAUUUUUGUCCGAAGUCAAACUUCUCUAAAUUGAACAAGUUUAUAGAAAAAUGCACCAACAUAUACAACACCAAAUUAGUUUCAUUAAAUCCAUCAUAAACUAUGUCUUGAUAGUGUGUAUAUUUGGUAUUAUAGACGUUAAUAUAUUUUUCAACAAACUUGGUCAACCAAAGGUUAAAAAGUUUGACUUAUGAGGUAGGACAAAAAAAAACACCUUACAUUUUGGAAGCGAGGGACUAUUCAUUAAUGUGUGCUUCCAUUCUCACAAAUCAUAUUAUUUUUCAUAUAAAAAAUAAUUGCAAGAUAAUUUUAAUGAAACAAAGGCAAAACCAGGAGAUUCAGUGAAGAAAGAAAUUAACGAACAAGAGGAAUAAUGGAUCUUCCGAACCAUAGAGAAUAAUGAGCAAAAGGAACUGCACCUAAGGUCAACACCAGUGAAUAUAUCCAUAAGGACACAAUGGUGGAGUGUGUCACAAAAUGAAGCUCCAUGGGAGGCACGGAUAUUUUCAGGCUUUGGCUAAAUGUGUCUUCUAUCUCAUAAGCAUAAACAAUACAGAAUGCAGAAUCUUUUAAUUCCAGAUAUUAAAGAUAAAAUUUAAGAAGUUAAUCAAAUAAGCAAUUCAUUUGAAUUUAUUGUACAUAUAAAAAAGGAAAUAUAACAUUGCAACCUUGCAUGUUUCUUCAAACAUCACGAAAAGUACAGUGCACUAAAAAAGUACAGUGCAAAGUCCUUAAUUUCCAAUUUCCCUGACUGCUUGCAGUCAAUCAAAAGGGAAAAGGAAAUCAGAGAAAUCCUUGGCUGCAAAGUGCACUAAAAAAAUGGCUGAAGCCCUGAACUCCAAUUUCCCUGAAUGGUUGCAGUCGUCAAAAGGGAAAAGGAAAACAGAGAAAUCCUUGGCUGCAACUAUCCUGAUAUGUCCAAGUCCAAUGGGACAUAAGGGGCCUAAGCGCAACAUCUGAAGACGAAAGACAAAAACAUUCACCUAAUGCAGACCCCAUUCAUCCACCAAUUGGUCCCAAAUGCCGACAGGUUUCCGAAGCACGUCGCCGGCUAUGAUCCUGCAGAGAUCACAUCACGUCAUCUCACAUUAAAAUAUCUAAACGGGACUAGUACAAGAUACGGGAGGAGAAAAGCAAUCUCGGCCUGACAUUACAGUCAAACAGCGAUAUUGGAGACAUGCACGAGAGACAUAAAAUUGGAACCAAAGCACGAAUUGUAGCUCAAAACUAGGGUUGUAUGAACCGAAAGAAAUAUAUAUACAUUAGCUAAAAUGCCAAAAUACCCACAGAAAAAUCGACACCUCAACCGCCUCCGAUGCUGAGCAAAAGCGCAAACCGUGGAAACUGGCUCACCUAUAUUUGCGCACCUCGAUUUCAGAACCCCCUCCGCCCGUCCGCCGAGGACAAGGAGAAGCUUCGGCCUCCGGACGGCGUCACGGCGACGCGCCGACGAAAGCCGAGCACUGCCUGCCGCUUCGCGUCGCCUUCCGAAAGCGACGGUCACAACCGGCAACCGCUGGCUGAACAUGGGCUCGUUUGGCGUUGGACCAAGCAAUCUGACUCUGGCCCAACAUGGCCCAGAGGUUCGUCGGCCCGAACACGGAACACCCGUGGCUUGACCAGAGGAGACUGAUUUGGCUGGGCGCCUUUCUUUGUGGGCCAGCCCACAGGCCACAGAAUCACAGGCCCACGCCGCCUGUAUGGAUUAUCGAUCAUCAGAUUUGUAAUAGAAUUCCCUCAAAAAAAAAAUCAAAUGUAAUAGAAGUGCAAAACUAUAUUUCAAAUCCGGAGGUGGCAGAUAAGAUGCACAGUCAAGCUAGUCUGUAAAGCAACAAAAUUGAAAAAAAAACAAGUGAAAAGAAACUACAGAUAAACAACAGAGAAGGAAUCUGGGAGGAGGAUAAGCUAUGUUAGGCAAACGACCAGGUCACCUUGCCCGGUGAAUCUUUGCUGGUCCGACGACAUAGAUAGAAAACACAGCCUACGUGCUCCCUAUCAUUGGCAUGCCACAACAAAACAAAGAGGCUGCCUACCUACUACUACUACUACUACUCCUACUACCAUCAACCUCUCUGAUUUGUUUAGGCCACUCUUGUCGGACGGACCAAAGGCUCAUGUGCAUUUUUUUCACCAUGCCAUUUGCCAUUGCCAUAUAUAUGUAGGUCCUGCUAAUGCAGUUCCCAAUGCUGUAGUGUACACGAUCGGUUCAUCAAGCACUAAGAGUGGAAAACUAUGUGCACGCUUGGUGGUGCUGUUCGUUUCGAUCAUGCAUGGAUGCCAUGCAUGGAGGAGUCAUGGAAAUGGACAAGGAACAGCAGGCUCUCAAUUCCAGCCAGUGUGUCCCUCGAGCAAUUCAACAUGCUCGAAGCUGGUGAUCGGUGGGAAUCCCAGGGGGGGACACUUCUAUACCACAGCUUGAUGUGCUAGAGACAAGGAGCUAGUCAACUUUGCAUGUGCAGAUGACGGAGCAUCAUUAUCCUUGUGAACUCUUUUGCUAUGCGUACGUGUACGUAGUUAUUGACUCCGUUCCAUCAUUUACUCAAUUGGAUUGGAACUUGUUCUAUGAAGAUUUGCUGUGUAGAACGUUGAUGUUGUUAAUUAAUUAAUUCAGAUUGUCAGAGAUGUAGUACGUGUCUUCUUCUUCUCCCAUUCUAAUGGCAUAUAAAUCUGUUUCCCAUAAUUCGGCACUAUCAGAGGAACAGCCUAAUGACCUUCAUAAUUAGUUAACUAACUAACUAACACGAACACGAAGGUGAUUACGUGUGCAAUGAUAAGUUGAAGAGUCAUUUCUUUCAAAAGACGCUGAUCCAAUUAACUGUUGCGAGUCAGAGUUUGUUUGUUCAGACUUCAGUUCAGAGAUAUGCAUGCAUGCACUCUCUGAUCUUCCCGUGAUUUCUCACAUGCUGAUGAUAGUAUACAGACAAAAGCUACUUAUAUAUGAUGAACAAACUGAAUCCAUCUGAAACAGAUCAGCUGCAACACACUAAACAGCCAGCAGAUUAUACGGCUCUUAUUAAAUAAACUGCCAACACACUCAACAUUGUUGCUGUACUGAUCAGCUCGUACUAGUAGUUUUUUUUUUCAUUUAGUUUAAAACGCCUGCAACAACAGACAUAUAUGCGGCUUCUGCUCCACCCACACAACCUGAACAACAACAAAGCUUUCAGCAAGAAGAAACAUCAGCACAAGAGAACAAGAAGGUGGCAUCCAAAAACAUGGAGAAAAGCUCCUCCAAAGCUAAAUGGCCGUGCAUGUUGGCGUUUGUCUGCUUAUAAUUGCCUGUUCUUUUGCCAAGGGAACAGGCCUAGCAGCCAUGGAAAGAGCCAGCACUGCUGCCACGUUGGGUCAACCUUAGCCGUAGGAUCCAUCAGCUUUCUCUGUGGAGUAUAGGAACCAUACCAAUGCAAGUGGCCCGGUUGUAAUAUUCCAUUCCAACCUAGCUUUUCUUGUCCUGAGGAACAGGGAUGGAAAGCCUCUCAGCAGAGACAUCUAAGGGACCAUCUGCAUUACGAGGAUAUUCUUGGCCAUUUGCCCCUCAAAUCAAAUUUUGUACACACUGCAUUAUAUCCAUCUUUUGAAAGCUGCAUCUGCACUUCCAGGAUACAUACACUAGUGGCAGAAACACAAAGAUAUAGUCAAAGACAUGCAGAAAAAACUACUUAAUUAGCCAUGGUGUGCGACAAACACAAACUUAUAAGAUCGAAAACCGGUGGACCGUCGGUUGGUUGAUCCGACGGCGGCGCCGCGUACGUGCAUGCAUAACUCCCACUCGACGUAAAGAACAGCAGAACACUGGUGGCAAACAGUAGUAUACCUUUUAACCAUGCAUGACAAUGACACGAGCAGACAAAGCUCUUUUCCUCCUGAAAAGCAGCAAUGGCGGACCGGACUACGCAUAUAUAGUUAUUAAGCAAACGAUCGGACAUGGCCUUUUUCUCGCCUUGAGAACGACGACACGGACACGCCCGCGCGUGGAGGUGAAGCUCGUCUCGAGGGAGCUGCGUGCAGGCAUGGCCACUGCCCACUGUUGUGGCGUUGGGCCUAACGGCGAGAGCAGGAGUGGUGGCGAGUAUGCCUUGUUUAUAAUCUCUCUUGGAACUGGGAAGAAGAGGCCAAGGGAGAGAUUUUUUUCUAUGGGUAGUUUCAAAUUUUUGUCACAUUGCCCAACCCAACCAACCCUGUGAUUGUCUGUCAGGCAUGGAUCUAUCCAAUCUCCGUCUAUAUAAAACUUUCAGAGAGAUGUCCGAGAUGCUUUCAUCCAUGCAUGAUGCAUCAACAUCAUCACCUGAUGUACCUGAGCAUGGCUUCUUCAGAAGAUCAUCAGAUGGAUGGAUGGAUGUCCUGUUGCAAUGCAAGUUUUUAGGCCCUGUUUAGUUCCCCACCAAAAAAUUUUUCAUCCAUCCCAUCGAAUCUUUGGACACAUACAUAGAACAUUAAAUAUAGAUAAAAAAAUAAACUAAUUACACAGUUUAGCUGAGAAUCGCGAGACGAAUCUUUUAAGCCUAGUUACUCCAUGAUUAGCCUUAAGUGCUACAGUAACCCACAUAUGCUAAUGACAGAUUAAUUAUGCUUAAUAAAUUUGUCUUGCAGUUUCCUGACGAGCUAUGUAAUCUGUUUUUUUAUUAGUUUGUAAAAACCCCUCCCGACAUCCUUCCGACACAUUCGAUGUGACACCCAAAAAAUUUACAUCUCCAAUCUAAACAGGCCCUUACUACGGGACUUGCAGGACCAUAAAAAGUGCGAGAUGUACAGUAACAUCUUACACCUGCCACCUUGCAUUCAUUCAAUUGCUAGCAGAUCGUGCCAGGCAUCCUGUAGAUUUUUGCAUCUGUCUUUUUUUUUUACAAAUACACUAUUCAACAGUAUACUACAGUACUAGCAGUUCAGGAAAAUAUGAAUGUGGGAUUCAGGGAGUGCCAGCAUGCAUGAGGCAGAGAGAUGCACGGUGCACUGUAAAUGCUCUCAGGAGAUGGACAGCAAUCCACAGGUCAAAAUAGGACCAAUGCCCACAAAGACCUGUAGACAGCAUGACAUUAUUUGACCAGCACAGCUUUAGCUGUUUAGAUUUUGUGCUCUCUUCCUCAAAAAUAAAUAAAUACAUAAAUGACUGAAUUUCUUCUUCUUCUAGCAGGAAGCCAGAAAACAGCUGCUAGGCACAAGAAUACUAGUUUAUAAUAAUGCAGCUUGGGACAUAUAGAAAAUGCACUUAAAAAGUGCAAACAAAAGCUGUUGAUCAGAGCCCAGCUACGAACUACAAACAUGAUGAGCACACCCAAUCUUUGCAACAAACAUGUCAAUCUCAGAGAAAAAAAAGUCGAAAAAGUUCAGUAGAACAACACAUAACUUUCUGCCAAGAAUUAACUACUCUCUACUCUGGACCUCUGUCAAUCUGUCACAAAAACAGAAAGCUUCGACUGUUUAAAAAGUUCGCUAACUCCCUCGGUGGAUUAGGCAUUUUAACCCCUCGAUUACCUAGGAUUAGUUUUAUGUUUUUAUCCCUCAACAUCUCUUAAAUUUGCUACUGGUGACGGGUCAUGUGUUUGGGUUACCGACUGUAUAAUAAACCAAUUAGAACUCUAAUUUCUAAUUCAUCACGUAUGACUAGUUUUUAGUAAAAUCAGACAUGGUUGCACUAGCUCAACAGAGGUACAAAAGAACUCAGGAGAAAGUGAAAGACCGAAGGUCCUUCCUCUAUUCUUCUUUAGAUAUCUUCACUUAGGAUAAACGUUUAUAGGGUUUCAUUAUCUAAGCCAUGUCGUCUCAUGUUCAAUCUAUUGCUUAUAAGGUAUACCCUUUGUCUUAAAAAAAAUACCAUUCUAGUCAUAAAUCUGAACAACUAUUUAGAUUUAUAGCUAAUGGUAUAGGGUUUCAUGAUCUAAGUCAUGUCGUCUCACGCUCGAUCUAUUUGCUUAUAAGGUAUACCCUCUAUCAUAAAAAAAUUACCAUUCUAGCUAUGAAUCUAAACAAUUGUUUAGAUUUAUAGCUAAAAUGACAUUCUUUUUAGGACAAAUGGUGUAUACUUAUACAAUAUGUUUUAUUGUAUAUUAUUGCUGCAGUACUAGACGAGAAAGGCUCUUCCACUUCACUCGUUAUAUUCUUCUGGCAAAUAUUUAUAUCCCUCAUCCCGGCACUGGAUGGGCCCAUGUGAUCCAUGUAGAAACACAUGCUCCAUACAAAUUGGAAGUCAUUUUAACUUUUUUUAGAGAGCCAAAGUACCUUAUGUUUAAUUAAAUUUAUACAAUAAUAUAAUAACAUUUAUGAUACCAAAUCAAUAUUAUUAAAUUAUUCAUUAGUUAUAUUUUUAUAGAAUACCUAUUUGAUGUUAUAAAUCUUUGUAAUUUUUUCUAUAACUUUGGUCAAACUUGAGAUGCAUUGACUCUCCCCAAAAAAAUUAGAAUGUCUUAUAGUUUAGAAUUGAGGGAGUAUUAAUGUAGCUAUUUGACUUUUCUAACAUAUCAAAAUCAACUAGGCAUGUAUUUUUUUCACUCAACCUAAAGGCAAGGAUUUGUGAAGAAAAAUACAGAGGCUCAGGUGUAUUUGAGAGAAGACAUGUUAAUCAAAAAGUUAGGUGGUGAAAAAUACUAUUCCGUCUCUUUUUUGCUAAAAGAUUACCAUGUUACCAUAUAAGAAAAUUAGUAUUCGUUUAGUAAAAAAAAGAAAAUAGUGUGAGUUUCACUAACACGUGGACGCGCAUACAGAAAGCACUUUGCUAUCCCACUCCUUUCUCUACCUUAUCUUCUCCACUCAGCACUCCCCCCACUACCCCCACUCCGCCUAGCUCUAGCGGCACCCACAUUGCCUCCACCUCUGCCCCCACUAAAUCCAAGCUAGCACUGACGUGAGCUCUAGUGCCCCCGCCACCGUACCACCCCACCUAGGCAACACCUCCUUCUGUUGCCGUUAUCACUAAAUCGACUUCUUGUCUAGUCAACACCACUGCCACUCCAACUACUUGACUGACCUCUCUUAUCUCAUCGUCAAGCAGUGCCCUCCCCCCGAUCUCGUCGCCACUGUUAUCGCCGGUUCGACAUCCUCUCCCGUGACCCCCUCCUAAAUCAUAGAACUCUCCCCCCCCCCCCCACUCUCUCCUUCUCCGAAACCACAAACCCUAGCAUCAACAAACUUUUCUUCCCUGUUGGCUGAUUUGUUAUGAGAGAAAAACACUGUUGAAUAGUGGCAGAUUCGGCUGAUAAGCUCAAGCGAACAAGCCGGUCCCAUGAAUAUUGGCCGGUCCUGGUAAAGAAUUUCAGAACAAAGGAAAAAAAGAUUUGACGUGGUCUUUGUAUGUUUUACCAGUAGCCAUUCAAUGGGUGUAUUCAUUUUCUCACUGAAACCUCUCCAACCCCAACAGUAAAUGAGCAUGACGAUUGACCAAGACCUCCUCCCUCUCGUCUUCUUCUCCGCCCUUCUAUAAAACAUGGCAACAGAACAGAGCGGCAAGGCCAGCUCCCGCCCGGCCACUCGAGACUCGAGAGCGGCACAAUGCCUCCCUCCCUGCACCCUCCCCACCUCCACUUCCACAAGCUCAAGCGCCGCCGCCACCACCCCGCCGCCAUGGCCAAGAAGAGCCUGGCCGCCAUCCUCUACAAGUUCCGCGACGUGCACGCGCGCCCGCCCUCUGCGGCCUCGCCGCCGGCGCCGUCGACCCCGUCCGCGCACUACGCCCAGCGCUGCUACCCGCCGCCGCCGUCCGCGUGGCCCUGGCCGUCGUGCCGGCACCCGCGCACCAGCUCGUUCCGCGGGCCCAAGGACGACGACGCCGCGGUGUUCCGGACCCUGAACAGCGUCUACGACACGACCUCGGAGCAGUUCCUCCGGCGCUCAUCGUCCAUCGAUGUGGCGGCGUGCGUCGACCGGAGCCCCCUGUCGUUGCUCGGAGAGGCCGUUGCCGUCGCGGAGCAGGUGGACGAGGAGGACAAGGAGACGGAGCUGCGUGAGACGGCCGUCGUGCGCGGCAUGCGUUCGGAGAGGCUGUUCUUCGAGCCGGCCGGCGCAGAGUUCUUGCCCAAGAAGCAGGUAACGCAUUCUGCACGUCUUCUUGUCCCGUCCGUCGUCCGACGAGAAGGCACCAUUCGAGCCGGUCGGUUCUGAUUCUAACUCGACAGAGGUUUCAGGGAGUGACGCCGGCGAGAGGCAAGAACGAGGCGGCCACCGCGGCAGUGGCAGUGGCAGGCGUCAACAGCGAGGAACCAGCGACGACAGACGCGCCGCGCGACAGGGACGAGUCGGCGGCGGAGGCCGUCGCGGCGAAGGGCAGCAGCGCGGUGGUGGUGACAGUGGAGUCCAAGGACCCGUACGGCGACUUCAGGGCGUCCAUGGCGGAGAUGGUGGCGGCGCACGGGCUGCGCGACUGGGAGGCCCUGGAGGAGCUCCUGGCGUGGUACCUCAAGCUCAACGCCAAGGGCGUCCACGCUGCCAUCGUCGGCGCAUUCAUCGACCUUCUCGUGACCAUGCAGCCGCAGGCGUCGUCGCCGCCGUCGCUGCCGUCCCAGUCGCCCUCGUCGUCGUGCAUCACCUUCGAGGAGUACUCCUCGGCAACCUUUGACGAGGAAGACGGCAAGAGCUGAGCUGAGGCCGAGGUGUUCCGUGUUCGCUGUUUUUAAUCUUUUUUUUUCUUGUCUCAUUCAGAGACUGUAGUUUUUUUUUUUUUUGUGAAUUGUUUUGUGCACCUUAUGGAAGAAUGGAAGGUGAGGCCUGAAUGCAGCCAUGGUGGAUGUACAGUUGCUAAAACUAGUUGAUGCUGACCAUCAGAAUAGAUUAAUGCCUAGACAACUAAUUGACCAUAUUUUAUUUUCUCUACAUGUUUUCAAUUUGUCCUUUUGAUGCUUGUCUAUUGCGUGCGAACUAACAUAAUAACUUAUCUACUAACUCUGAAGCAUGUUCGUCUCUGUGCCUGUUGCUGUUAGCAGCUGAUUAGCUGUUUUCUCAACGAUAUCCAUGGCAUUUGAGCAGCUCAUUGUCGAGCCUGUUGUUUGAGCUUAUCUGCCGAAUCUGUCAGUAUUGCCAGUCAUUUAGUAGUAUGUUUCAUGGCUUACAAGCUGAAUAUCAAACAUUAAGCAGUGUUAGUGUUUUCCUCAGUUCUGUAUAAAUGCUUCACUAACAUGUCAUGAUUUUGAGAUUAUUGCAUCCCCUUCAUGUGUUAGGCCUUUUUAGAUACUCAUUUAUUCAUCUUAAUCAUAUGUGUUGGAGAGUAGGGGCGAAGGUAGGUUAUGUACAAGUGGUGCAUUUAAAUUCAAAAAUAGUGAAUUUGAUUAAACUUUUACCAUAUAUGCAUUACCUAUUAGAUUUGUUUAUGCACCUACAAAACAAAACAAGUACACCACUUUCUAAUUUGCUUUAGUUUCGCCACCGUUGGAAAGUUUAAAUUUCACUCCAAACAACUCUACGCACAUUUGGCUUACGCGCCAUUCUUCAAUCAACUUUGUUUAUCAUUCCGUUUCCUGUCUGUGGUCGAUGGUCGGUUCCGUUGGCAUGUUGGUAUUUUAAAUGACGCACUGAAACGGGGAAUGGUAAGAAACUCGUUGGAAAGCAAGACUGUUAAAAUAUACAUACAAAGAAUGGUAAAGAAUAAACUAUUUGGAACUCAAGAUCCUACAUGUACAAAUGAAAAAAAAAGUAGAACUGGAGUGAAGCGUCGUCUACGCAAUCAAAAUCUUACAUAAAUCUAUCGAUGGAAAUUUUUAGAAGGGUUUAAUUGCUACUCCCUCCAUCUCAAAUUAUAAAUCAUUCCAAGAAUUUUGGAGAUUCAAACCAUCUUAAGUUUGACCAAAUUUAUAUGAUAAUAUAAUAACAUUUAUGAUACCAACUAAGUAUCAUUAGGUUCUUCAUUAGUUAUAUUUUUAUAGUAAUAUCUAUUUGAUGUCAUAAAUCUUUCUAAUUUCUUUUAUAAUGUUGGUUAAACUUGAGAUGCUUUGACUCUCCAAGAUUCUUGCAAUGACUUAUAAAUUGGGAUGGAGGGAGUACUUGGAAAGAAUGCAGGAAGUCUAAUACACAAAGGAAAAAAAAAUAAGAUAUUAGACCUCAUGCUUAUUUCCCAAUAAUAUUUUUAUAUAAAAACUCAUUCCAUAAAAAUCUAAAGAAAUUCGUAUGAUUCAAUCACUUGUUUCUAAAGCUCUCAUAGGAAUAAUUCUAAAAAAUAAAAUAUCCAAAAUUCUUAUUUUUUUACCAAUUUUAAAUGGAGUUUAAUGCCUCGUUUAGUCGGGCUCAGGCUCUACAAAGACUCCAUGUUCAUUUAGGGUCUGUUUGGCAGAGUUACUCUAGCUUUAGUUUCUCCAGAGGAGCCUUAUAAAAUGUUUUUUUUGGAGGAGCCGUUUUUGAGUAAACAGAGGAGCCGAAGCUUUUUUGAUGAAGCCACAAUUUGUUCCAAAACGGCUUCGGCUCUUCUAAAGAAGCCUAUCAUGAGGAGUCGUGUCAAACAUCUCCUUAAUUUGAUGAGAGAGAGAAUGACUCUUGUGAAUAGUGUUGUUACAGUCUGAGUUGUAGGUGGAGCCCAAGCCAUAAUAAGCCCAACUAAACACAAACUUAAAUCUUGCUCAAGUGUUCCGAUUCUUCUUUCUAGUAGCGAGCUCCCUUCAAUCUCUCCGUCACAUCUAAAAUUUGUAAGACAUAGUAGAGCUUCGUUUAGUUCCUGAAAAAAUUUACAAUUUUUUUUGAAUUUUCCGUUCAUCGAAUCUUACGGCGGAUGUAUAGAACAUUAAAUACAGGCUAAAAAAUAACUAAUUAUAUAUUUUGUCUGUAAUUUGCGAGACGAUUUUUUUAAGCCUAGUUAAUCUAUUAUUGAACAAUAUUUAUCAAAUACAAAUGAAAGUGUUACGGUGUCUAUUUUGCAAAAAAAAAUCAUCUAAAUAAGACCUAGAUGUAGUCAUUAAACAUUUUCUAGAUAUAUUAAUAAGCCUUACUGAGGAAGUACUACUGCCUUGUCCCCACGUCCGUCACCGGCAGUCGGUCUCGUUUUGAAUGCGCGCAAGCAGGCGUACAGGGUGUCCACGAAUCUAUAGCUGUUCAUCACGAUUUGACAAUCUCACACAGGCAUGGCAGUGACAAUCCGAUUCCAAGCACAGCCGGGCAAUGCAAAAGUCUAAUGUUGACCGGGCUUCAACCCGUGUGAAAAUUUGCAUGGGGCCGUAGUACAAGUCACCGUAGAUGUAGAACAUGUCUUGCUGGCUGCUGCACUACGGUCUUGUUUAGCUUCCAAAGGAAAAAAUUUCGCGACACUGUAACACUUUUGUUUGUUUGUGGUAAUUAUUGUCUAACCAUGGACUAACUAGGCUCAAAAGAUUCGUCUCGUCAAUUCCGACUAAAUUGUGUAAUUAGUUUUUAUUUUUAUCUAUAUUUAAUACUCCAUGUAUGCAUCUAAAGAUUCGACGUAAUGGAGAAUAUUGAAAUUUUUUGGGUUUUUGAGUGAAAGUAAACAAGGCCUAACCUGGACUGCCAAGUUGAGCUGAAAAACGUUGCUUGAUCUGUUUUUAUCACACUACUACUACGGUAUAUUUUGCGGGGUUCAGAGCUCAGCUGGACUGCCAAUUAGAACACGUCUUGCUGGCUGAUGCACUAUUUUGAGAAAAAAAAACAGUAAAUUUUGCGGGGUCCAGAGUUCAAAGUUCUAGAAAAGAAUUCGUUUUUUUUCUUGUAUGAACUUCGGUUGCCAGAGCUAAAGAGACCACUCAAACAAACAAAGCGCGCCUGCGACCUAGGCAAGAGUUUUCUUUCAGUUGAGUUAGGCCUUGUUUAGUUCUCAAAAUAUUUUAGUUUUCAGUACUGUAGCACUUUCAUUUUUAUUUAAUAAUUAUUAUCUAAUUAUAAACUAACUAGGCUCAAAAAAUUUAUCUCACGAUUGACAGGUAACUAUGUAAUUAGGUGCCGCAAGAUUCAAUGUAACGAGAAAUUUUGAAUUUUUUUUUGGUUUUUUAGGUGAAUUAAACAAGGCAAGGGAGCCAAAGAUGUACGUAGAGAUGAAGCGAAACUCAAUGCCAAUUUCGAAGAAAAGCUUAACAUCGUCAAAAGUUCCAUAAGGCGCUCUCUCAUUGGCACUAUCUACAACUCCACACGAAUCUUUCUGAGGACUUGUUUAGUUCCGAAAACUGAAAAGUUUUCGAAACUGUAGCACUUUCGUUUGUUUGUGGUAAAUAUUGUCCAAUCAUAUACUAACUAGGUUCAAAAGAUUCGGCUCGUGAUUUACAGUCAAACUGUGUGAUUAGUUUUUGUUUUUGUCUAUAUUUAAUGCUUCAUGCAUGUGCCGCAAGAUUCGAUGUGACGGGAAAUCUUGAAAACUUUUUGGAUUUCGGGGUGAACUAAACAAGGCCCGAGUCCUGGCGGAGAGCUUUUUUUUUUUUAUUACCGCAUAAUAAACCCUCCUCCUGUGUGGCCCUGAAGAAACACAAGCUUCUAGCUUUUCUAGACUGCUGCAGCUACAGCGAUCGAUGCUUGCACGGUUGGAGCCACGGACUCUUCACAGGCCAAACAGGUGCCUGCACGGCUUGUUCACGCAACCUCUGCAACAGAUCAGAUCGGAACAUGGUCACCGCGGAGCACUGGUCACCUCUGCGCCUUCAUUGCACUGCACUGCACUGGUAGGGCGACGCGGCGGCGGCGGCGGCGGCAACAGCGAUCGCGCCGGCAUGGUUGUAGGACGAGGACCAGCAGCGCGCGUUCCGCCGCGUCGAAGAAAUCGCGCGGGCACCUAACGUAACCAACCAACCGUGUACCGCUCUGCCAGCCAGCCGUGUGCCGUUUGAUGCGUCAUGCGUGUGUGUGCGCGCCAUCGUCACGUACGCAUGGAUUAUGCUGCAGCUGAUCGUUGGGAUAUGAACAGGUACAGCUUGGACCCUGUUGUGGUGGUCGACACGACAAGUAUCAGGCCAGGCGCAAAGUGAAACAGCUGAGGUUUCAGGACAAACAGCAAAAAAAAACAGCUGAGCGUUACGAUAGAUUUAACCCACUGCCUUUUGUUACUUCCAAAAAAAAAAAAACUAAAAUAAUUCAUUCAGACAUUCAGUACCUUCAGAUCCAGCGCGCUGAAAAUGAAACAGUUUUAAACAUCUAGCUUGCGUUACUGAUUGUGAUGCAUUGGUGUUUCUGACCAGAGAAUCUCUGGAAGGCGGGCAUCUAUCAAUCAUCACAGAUGCACCAACCCUAGGACAAACUUGUCAUUUGUCAAAGUAGCUUACUGUUAACAAUUCGUCCGCCUCCCUUUACGGGGACUGUCAAACUUCAAUGCAAUUCGCAAUACUGUACCAUACUGCUGCAACGGACUGCUAUCGCAAAGCAAGGGCAAUAUACAAUUUGAAUCUAAAGUAAUAUAUGCUGUAAGCUCAAAUGUAAUAGUGCUCUUGAAAUAAAUUCGGCUAUGAAUCAGAAUGCAUCUGAACACUUCUCCCAAAGUAAAAGCGUCUCAAGACUUUAUAUGAACAGUUCAUUUCCAAUUGGAUUGGGUAGAGUGGGUCAGGACUACAAAGAGAAGAUACCAUCACUAAUCGACUCUCCUCGUUCCAUCAAUAGUUCUGACCUCACUUUCAGUUUUGGCGAGUUUUAUGUCACAUCACACCAAAUGCCACCAAAUUGUACGCCAAUAUAUAUAUAUAUAUAUAUAUAUAUAUAUAUAUAUAUAUAUAUAUAUAUAUAUAUAUAUAUAUAUAUAUAUUGCUAAACACCUUAGCCUGUUUUUUAAAACACCCCACACGAAUCUUCGUGAUCGAUAGCUUUUUUACCGUCCUCUGUCUCAUUGGAAGUGUCGUUUUUUUUUACUUUUAUAGAGUUCUUUUUUGACAAUUUGUCUCAUUCAAAAAAUUUUAUGUAAAUAAUAAAAUAAAUAAAAUUAUUAUUAAAUUAUCUCUAAUAAUAAAAUAAGUCAUAACAAAAUAAAUAAUAUUUAUAUAAAAAUUUGAAUAAGAUGAACGGUCAAAUAAAAAGUCUAAUAAAAAAUGACACUUUGAAUUGAACAGAGAGAGUACACCAUUUGCAACUGUCCUUCCAGUUACAUGUAAACCCUCCUCCUGUUUGGCCCGGGGGAACUCAGUUUCUGGCUUCUAGACUGCUGCAGCGAUGGUUGCUCGGUUGGAGCAUAUAGACUCACAGGCCAACAUGGCCAACAUAGCCAUAACAGAAAGUAAAUAGCUGAUAGAUUCGGCUGAUAAAAUUAAACCAACAUGCUUGCAACAGCACAACAAAGAGCCCGUCGGGGACACGCCUCCCGAUCAUUGCCGGCCGCAGCCCCAAACAGAACGCAGGACGGGCUAGCAAACUAGCAAGCUGCAGAGCACUCGUCAUGGUCACCUUACCUCCGUCCCACCGGGCUUCUGCGUCCAUUGCAUUUGCAUUGGUAGGGCGACGCGGCGGCGGCAACAGAGAUCGAUCGCGGCGCGCGCCAGCAGUGGAGGACUUGGACGAGGACCAGCGACGGAUAUAUAUGUUGUGCUGCCCUACAGCGACAUCUGAUUGAGAUGAACAAGUACAGGCAAGGCAGGCAGGACCAGAGGUGUGUUGGUCCAGUGCACGCAGCAUCCGUCGCAUGUAUCAGGCCAGCCGACAAGUGAAAGAUCGGGUGAUGAAGAAGUUAUCGAAACGUAGUUCUCACAAAUCUCGUGAAUGCACGUUUUCAAUUUGUUUGGUUACGCUGUCUUUGCACUAAGAAUGCUCAUCUCUCUGCCUCUCUGGGAGCUUUGCUUUCUGACUUGCUUAAAAGAGCACUAAUGAUAAAGGGAGUUAAGGUACAGGGAAGCCGCUAUGGUAGAGCUGGAUCGGAUUCGUCAGGACAAACUGCUAAAGACUCACCUACUGCUUUGUUUGUUUUUCUUCAGCUAGUGCUGCAUUUGUUCCUGGGGAAAAAAAAAUAUUUCAUUCAGUACCUUCAGAUCCACACCGCACUGAAAAAAUAAUAAUUUUAAACAUCUGAAGGUGGGCAUCAGUCAUUCAUCAUCAGAGAAUGCACCAACCUGACGACAAUUUCAGCGCCCAAGGCAGGCAUUACUGUACUUGUCAAAGUAGCUUAUUACUGCUAAUACUCUGUCUGCCUCCCGUUGCGGCGACUGUCAACCUUGCCCAUGCAAUUCGCAAUAUCUGCAACGAACUGCUACCGCAAGGUGUCCCAGCAUCAUCAAUAGUCCAAUAUAGCAAUCCAAACUACGGUACAAACUCAUGGAUAAGGAUUUAGAGGUGCAUAUAAACUUGGACCACAACCCAAACUUCAUGUCGCCUUGUUUAGUUCCAAAAUAUUUUGCAAAAUGGACACUGUAGCUCUUUCGUUUGUAUUUGACAAAUAUUGUCCAAUCAUGGACUAACUAGGCUCAAAAGAUUUGUCUCGUCAAUUCCGACCAAACUGUGCAAUUAGUUUUUAUUUUUGUCUAUAUUUAGUACUUCAUGCAUGUGUCUAAAGAUUCGAUGUGACGGGGAAUCUGAAAAAUUUUGCAAAAUUUUUUGAGAACUAAACAAGGCCGAGUGUAAAUUGUUACAAUAAACAAUUUAAAUUUUUAAUAAUAUAUGCUAUUAGGUCAAACGUAACGCUCUUGAAAUUAAUUCAGCUAUAAAUCAGAAAGCACCUGAACACUUCCUCGCAAAGCAAAACGUCUCAUGACUCCAAUAUGAACAGUUCAUUUCCAAUUGGGUUGGAUAGGGUGGGUCAUGGCUACAAGGAGAAGAUACUGUCACUAUAUAUAAUUGACUCUCCUUGCUCCAUCAAUCAAUAAUUCUGACCUCACUUUUCAGUUUUGGUGGGUUUUACGUCACAUCACACCAAACAGCCCCAAAUUAUGCCUAGAUUAUUCAGCUCCUUUUUUCCAAGUUCCUACUUUCCACACACACCCAAUUCAGCUUUCCCUUUAGUAUAUCCACAAAAUUCUCCCCUGAUCCACAACUCAUCAAAUCAUCAUCAUGUGUCCUUAAAUCCAAAGCCAGAAAAGCCCCCAGCUGAUGCCCCUCAAACCAUGGACCAUCAGGUGCAGCUGCGAGGGGCAAUUCCAUAAUUUCCCCACCACAAGAAGAGAUUCUGCCGGUGCCGGAGCAGCUGAGCUAACCACCUGCCGGGCUCUUGUCUCGUCGUCUGUAACUUGGCUGGUAAGCAAGUCGUCACCCGUCAGCCACCAGCAGCUAGGCUGUUUGCCCACCCGUCCAUCGUUUGCGUGACCAAGAAAUCAAGAACUCAGGCAGGGCUCGCCCUCUUCCUCCUCCUCCUCCUCCUCCUCCCGCCGUGAAUUCCACGCUGGUUCAGGGAUGUCGACCGAGCUCCUGACGAAAUUCCUCACGUAGGUGCCCGCCCCUUCCAUCCCUGUCCAGACCUUUCUUAGCCUGAAAUUUGGUGGGACUUUUACGGGCGAUUGUGUUUGGUCUCUGUUCCUGGAAGAAGGCUGUACGUGCUGGGCUCAUCUGUUGUUUGAUUUGAUUUGAUUGCAGGUUGCUGUUCGGGUAUGCCAUGCCAGCGCUGGAGUGCUUCAAGGCGAUCGAGCAGCGGCCAGGCCGGGCAGAUCAGCUCCGCUUCUGGUGCCAGUAUUGGUAAUGAUUCAGAAGCCUUUUUUUUUCUUUUUCUUUGGGUCAUUGAUGAUACGCUUUAGCUUCAUGCGAUUUUCAUUUCCUCAACUGGGUGUUGUUGGGUGGUGAUCCGAGUUCGAACUCGUACUAAUAGAGAGGGUUGGAUCUGUCGAACAUGGUGCUCGUCCACAAAAGGGGAUCGAUUUCUUCUAUCUAGUAGGUACAGUGUUGUUGCGCUUGAUGUGGAAUUAAGUAGCUAAUUAUUAUAAUUAUUAUUGUUUACCCCCUUCUAUGAAUCAUAGAAUUGUGUAAAACAAAUUCAGUAGCAAACCCCAUUCUCCUUGUAUGAUAUUAUUAAGGAUUAUAUGUAGCGAGUUCGUAGUUGUGAUGAAUAAGCACACCAUCUUCUAGCUCGUUGCUGGGUGUUUCUUUGUUUUUUUUUUUUUUUGGUGGUGGUUGACUUCAGACGAUAAACUGAAACUGAAAGUCUGCAGUGUCAUAACGUUCACUUUUGGGUCUUGGUCUUGCUAAGUUUGACUAGUUUCAGCAAUCCUGCAGGAUCAUCUUGGUCCUCCUUGUCAUGUUCGACGAAAUUGCUGGGGUUCUCAUUUCCAAGUAAUCACCAAAACACAAAUCUGAAACUCAUAUUCCUUCAGAAAAGUGACCGCGGUCUGACGAUUUCCCCUCUCCAUUCCUGUCACAGGAUUCCAAUGUACUACGAGCUCAAGCUAGCCUUCCUCGUCUACUUGUGGUACCCAAAGACAAGGGUAUGCAAUGCACCAAUAAAAAGAUGUAGCUGUGCAUAUACACAGAGGCAAGCUGCUGAUCAAAAUCUCUAAAAAACUGGAUGUUGUUGUGCUCUGAACCAGGGAACGGACAUCGUGUACGAGACCUUCCUCCAGCCGCUGGUGAUGCAGUACCAGCCCAACAUCGAGGCCAGGCUACAGUACCUUCGCGCCAACGCCGGUGACAUCCUCGUCUUCUACCUCAAGAACUUCACCGAGAGGGGCUACGACCUCUUCCUCCGGGUGCUCGACUACGUCCGGUCGCAGGCGUCCAAAGGGUCAAGAACACGGGUAUACACACCAGCUUCACCAAUUUGGCUAUAUAUAUGUUCCUUCUCAUCAGAGGUUAGUGCAAGUGUUGUGAUUGUUGUUUCCCGUGAUGCAGAGAUUCUUCUCGUUCCGAGGGGAACGGGCGGAGAGGCCAAGCUUCGCCGACGACGACUAUGCCACCGGCGGCGACCGGAGGGACGGGGGAAGGCACCGCCGGCCACGUAGUGGCUACUAGCAGACCAAGACACCAAGUAGUCAAUUGAUGUAUAGGAUGUGCACAGAGACAGAAACGAUUACUCGCGUAGGAUUAGGUAGGAUCAAAUCAAGCAAACCAUUGUGAACCAGAUUGAUUUGAACACAGAUGGCUUAUGGACAAAACUUGUAGGAUUCUAUCUUUUCAAAGGGUAGGAAACGUUUGAUUAUUUGAGCAAGUAUGUUUAUCAUCUGACAUUCUGAUCUCAAUGAGCUCACUGAUGGCAAUAAUGGCAUUAAACAAAUCAGAAUAUCUGUUAAUUGUAAUUUGUAACAUGCCAGAUUGAACGGAAGAAACUUUGGAAGUUCUGCACAAAAUUUCAAACACUGCAUCCACAAAGGGACUUGAGGGUACAAGCAAUCGUCAUUAAGGCAUAAGGUGAUGGAUGUACUGAACAGCAGAAUUGGUAAAGGGUCCACUGACGGGGAAUCGAGAUAGAAACCAAAUAUUCCUAGAAAAGUUCACUUUUCGAACUUAGUGAGCCCCAUCAUUGACAAAAGCACAAUUGUAAACAUGCCAACUCACUGAGUUAGGAAACUGUGUUAAUAAUAGCUGAACAUAGUGAAAUGAUAUGUUUCCUAUCUACAGUAAGUAUCCAAAAAAGCAAUAUAUUCCUAGGAACAGAAUGGUGAUCCUUCAAGACGGUCAUGACUGUCAACCACUUAAAAUUGAGCCCACAUCAACACCCUUCUUUGCUAAGAAUUCCUUUGCCUCCACAAUAUCCUGCAUAAUACGUCAAUCUCAGACACAAUUAAAUGAGGUAAAGUCAUACAACCAAAACAAAAAUCAUUUAGCAAUUAGCAUGGAUUUCUUUGUUAUGAUCUGUAUGAAGAUCCAUGAGAUGUACUGCAAAGACAGCUCAAGAAGUUUCCAAGGUUCCUCAGUUUAGUCAUGGAUAGAUCAAGAAAAGAAAUUUAGUACCUAGGACUAAAAUAAAAUAGCUAACCUGUUGCAGUAGUACAGCUUCUUGAGGACAACUUGGGAAGAGCAUAAGUCCAAAUCCAACCAUAAAAAGGCCGUAGCAUCCAAGAGCCACUACCAAGUAGAUGGGAAGCUGAAACAGCAACAAUCAAAUUCAUACACAAACUACUAAUCGUCUUGCACUAUUUUUUUAAAAGAUAUUUACUAGCAAAAAUCAGUGAUACUGACCAGCCAAGUAUAACUUCGAGGAACAGUUGAGGUUUCAAGUAGAGCAAUCCAGAUAGCUGAGAUUGCUAUCAGUAUUGCAGCAAUCUUGAAUAUGUGCUUCAUUUUGGGGUGAGGUGCUUUCCUAUGAUAAAAGGAAAAAAAAUAAAAGGAUGACAAACAAAAUAUACUCCCUCUGUCCUGUAAUACAGUGUGUUCUAAAAAUUUUAAGACAGCUUACGGGAACACUCAAAUGACGUAUGUACCCUAAAUUAUUCCAAUUAUAGAGUUUCUCUUCAAAUCAUGGCUUCCUUUUUAAUAAACCUUGCCAAAUCAAAUCAUAGUCAUUAUGUAGAACGCAUUGUAUCUCAAUAUACAUUUUAGAAGUCACAAUGAACUUUAUUUUAGGACGGAGAGAGUAGCUGAUAUGAUUACUUAUUCCUAACAGACAAGCCGUUAAUAGCUGAAUUAUGGCCUUGUUUAGUUCUAAAAUUUUUGUAGAUACAAUACACGAGUGGUGAUCCUAUGCACCUUUUCUUUGAGCAGCAGCUAAACAUGUGGAUCAUUGUGGAAACCUUCAUAAUUUCAUGAACAGAUCUAUCUAGGUCACUCAGCAGCAUCAACAUAAUAUGGGGGGUUUUGUGCCAUCAAUACUAAGCCAACUUCAUGGGAUCGGACAGAGGCCCAUUUACCAUAAACUCGAUAGACUUUGAAAGGGGUUUGAAUUUUAAUUACCUCGGAGACUCGGACAGUCGGACCUCGCAGCAGACAGCAGACAGCAGACAGCUGGAGCAGGCCGGCUCCUGCGGGAUCUCGCCCAGUGGGCGACGGCCGAACGCGCGGGCCGCGGGCGCGGGGCGGACCGGGGGCAGCGGGCGGCGGGCGGCACCGCGUGGCGCGGCUGAAGGUGUGGCGGCGCGGGCGGGCGGCCUGGCGGGUGGCGGCGGCGCGGAGCGAUUCCGCGUCCCGGCGUCCGUCAGAGACUCAAAGCUCGGAAGCUGCUGGAGGGGGCGAUGUGGGGGAGUGGGGAGUGGAAAGGCCAGAUGGGCUAUUGGGCCGUCCGGGCGGGUGUGGAUUGGGGAGGGGGAAACAUUGUGAACCAGAUUGAUUUGAGCACAGUUGGCUUAUGGAUGGAGUGAUGGACAAAACUUGUAGGAUCCACUGGAAACAUAAAUAGCUUCGUACAAAUUUUCUAUUUAUAUCUUAUUCAUAUUGUCAGCAGCCAUCUCAUCCCAUGCUUACUAAUAACCAUCCAAAUAAUAAUCGCAGUUGUAAAAUUGCUGUACUGUCGACUGUCUCUCAAGUAGUCCAUCUGGUGCUCUCACACACGGGUACUCGUUAGUCUCUGACUAAUAAAAAUUAAAUAUAUGAAAAUGCAUGUUUUUUUUAUCUUUGUUUGCUUUCUAGCACAGGCACAGUAGAUAUUGUAUAGUCUCUAUUCUUUAGCCUCGAUUUACUCCCUCCGUCCCCUUUUUUAACUACCGUUCUCGCUUUCAUUAACAUACUCAACUUUGACCUAAUAUGUACAAAAAAUAUUUAUAUUUAUGAUAUAUAAUUAGUAUUAUUAGAUAGAUCGUUGAAUUUAUUUUUAUAAUAAACUUAUUUAGAGAUACAGAUGUUGCUACCAUAUUCUACCAAUCUAGUCAAACUUAAGGAAGUUUGACCGACAAGAAUACCAUGGCGACACAAAAAAGGGAUAGAGGGAGUAGCUGUUAUAAAUUUAUCAAAUCCCGAUUUAUAUGUUUUUCAUUUGUAUUGAGAGUUGUCGUUGCAUGGUACCUAGUAUUUUCAAUAUACAUUUAGUUGAAAUCCUAGCUUAAGUAUGGUGACUCUUGUUGCAACCUAUAUCUUAUGGCUUAUGAAUAUAAAUUUUGAUGUUUAGAUCUUAAUUUUAUUAAUUGCUACAGUUUUUUAGCCUCAAGUUAUUUUAAAACUCUUGUGCUUAUUUUAUCUUUUAUAAACUCUUUUUUUGCACAUUUCACAAUAAGGAUUUUAGUUGUAGGCAACACUCUUAUUAUGUACUACGAUAGCAUAAAUCAUCAUUUAAAAGCUAUACACAUUGCCCAAAAUCAGUGCUAAAGCUUGAAGCGAGAUCUAGGGUAGAGCAGUGGUGCUAACCUCAAGAAAAAUAUUAAUAUUUAAGCCUAUAAAAUGCCCGUUUACUUAGAUGGAAUCUCAAAGGUUGAGAAGCUACCUUUGGUCUGCACUACCUUGUUCACAAAAUUUUGAAUUUUCUAAUCAAUGAAUUAUACGUGGAUAUUGAUUUUGUAUAAAUAUAAGUAACGUUACAAGAUAUAAACUGUAUGCCAUGAUUAACUAAUAUAAUUUUAAAUACUUUGAUAGUAUAAUUAGAUGUGUCUAAUGAUUCAUUAUGGAAAUAUUUUCCAUGGACGCUAAAACAUAACAUAUGUAUUUAUUGUUCAUGCAUGUAUACUUGAUCUGUAUAAAGACACAGCCUGACAUGUAUACCUACUUUAAUAAAAAAAUUAUAUAGUAGGAUUAAUAGAAUUGGGCAAUGUACAACAUAUAUAUAUGCUUUAUGUUUUGAAAUAAUUCUUUUGUAAUAUAAGAUGUUGAUAAUUUAGAUCUAGAUUUGAUAUAACAUUUUAGUUUUUUAAUAAUAACAGAAGCAAAAAUUUAGAUGUAAAUUUUAAUGAUGAUUUAGAUUAUCUACCAUAGUUGUAUGUGGGUAAUUAGAUGUAAAUUUAGGCCAAAGUGUACUCCAUUCCACGUUUCAAUAUGAUAGAUACAAUGUGUCGUGCAUCUGCUUCUGAAGACUUCAUUUACCAAUAUUCUGUCCCAGUCAGUCACCAUAAAUCAACUCAAUAAAAUGAGACCUUGUUUAAAAUUGUUUGCCUCUUAGGUUAACACCCAUUGGAAUUCCGGGGUUAGGGGUGCAAAGGGGUAAUCUUUAGGUGCACCUCCAAACCUCUUUAGUUCAAAUAUUUGUACUACUUCUUAAUUUUUUUAGAGAAGUAGUAUAAAUAUUUGAACUAAAGAGGUUUAGAGGUGCACCUAAUCAUCACUCAUUUGCACCCCUACCUGGGGUCCUCCAUCCAUAUACCUUGUGGAUUUUGCAUUACAUGAAAAUCUACCCAUAGCAGCCUUUAAGUCACUGGAAACUGUUAGAGCAUCUCCAAAGGCUUUGGCAAAUUGACUUGGCAUUUGUUGUUAUUUGCAAACUCCCAUAACAAAAUGCAAAGGAUAAAAAUAGGUCAUCUCCAAGGGAAUUGGCAUUUGGACUUGGCAAAUGAUAAAAAUGGAAGAUCUCCAGGCGCGCGCGCUUUUCUCGCGCGUGACUUUGCUCGCGUGAUUGGGUUUGCAAAGCCAUCCACAACUUGGCAUUUUUGCCAAGUUUGCUCCCUCAUUUGCCAAGUUGCCCAAAUUGCAAACUUCAAAUGCAAAACCGUUGGAUACCUCUUUUGGAGCUUUUUGGCAAAUUACUCAAAUGCAAACCUCAAAUGCAAAACCUUGCUGAUGCUCUUCGCAAACUCACGUAGCCUGUUCGUCAUGGGCCCUAUUUCCCGUCCGGCCCAUCUGGCUUGAGCACUGCUCUCCUUGGCGCGGCACACGCCUCACCUUGUGUGUCCACUGUUGUAGUGUUGUGCCCAUCAUGCAUGGCCCACAACCUAAUUCCUUCUGAUCCUGUUUUGCUACAAGUUUGGAGGUAUUAGAUACGGUUGUCACUUGUCAGUCUAUAUAUAAACAUGUAAUCUUUACCAAUCAAUAGAAAUGAUUUUUGCAUGAUUAUCUCCACUAUUAGAAACUCAACCAAAUCAUGCACAUUUCACUUUUUCACUGGGCCAUCCAGUGCACUGUGCACCCCAUCCAAGAAAUCCCUACAAAUAGGCAGUACCUCGGUUUAUGAACCCAACAUAGGUUCGACUAUACAAACAUGGAGGUUCCACUAACGUACUACUCAAUGCUAACUGUCUAUUAUCCCAACUUCCCAAGUGUUUUGCCAAGGUAACAGUUGUGUGCAAAUAUUCACUAAAUUCAAGGUGAGCGAUGAUGUGUCUAGGUACCCUUAAUGUUGCAAUUCAGUGGCUGGCUAAUUUCGUUUCAAAAAAAAAACGUUUCAAAAAGUGGCUGGCUAAUGACAUUUCCAGUUCAUUGUAACUUUAUCCUCUCUCCCAAAUCUAGCUUGUUCCUGUUUUGCAUCAGAUGUGAAGCAUUGUGAAUCCAAAUUUUUUUUUCGAGAAAUACAGGCCUUGUUUAGUUUAAUUUUUUUUAACAAAAUAGACACGGUAGUAUUUUCGUUUAUAUUUAACAUAAAUAUUGUCUAAUCAUGACCUAACUAGCAUUAAAAGAUUCGUCUCGUAAUUUUUUAAUUUAUAUUUAAUGCUUUAUGUAUAUGCGUAAGAUUCAAUAUGAUAGAGAAUCUAGAAAAAUUUUGUAAAAUUUUUUUAACUAACCAAGACGUAGAUAAGGACCGGCGUGAUCCUUGUUGGUUGCAGCAUCCAGCCAAAGCCGAACGGCUGAACCCGCACAACAAGGCGCAGUUAUGGUAGCUGGGCUCCCAAAGAUUCCCCCGCACCGCACGGGCCGCACGCCGAGACGCUGCAAAAGCUCCAGUCGAAUCGAUUGUAAAUAGUAGUAGUACGGCACCGCCGUGCGUUCCGGAAGCGAGAAAGCCUCCAUGGCCCCUCCCGCAGUGAGUGAGGCAGGGCCCAGCAGCACAAGAACUGAACUGGUGCCACUGGCGCCUGCACGGCACUAGGCCUUGUUUCGAAAAGUGAAAAGUUUUCGAUACUGUAGUACUUUCGUUUGUUUGUGACAAAUAUUAUCCAAUCAUGGACUAACUAGGAUUAAAAGAUUUGUCUCGUGAUUUACAGCUAAACUGUGUAAUUAGUUUUUGUUUUCGUCUAUAUUUAAUGUUUCAUGCAUAUGCCACAAGAUUCGAUGUGACGGGGAAUCUUGAAAACUUUUUGGUUUUUCAGAGUGCACUAAACAAGGCCCUAGUGUAGCGGGGGGCCAGCAGCACUUUGCACGGUGGGUGCAGCCAGGAGUGCCACGCUGUUGACACGACACGGGCCGCAGGUGAAUUCGAACCACCCUGACGGUAUCGGCGUAUCGCUCUCGCUCCCGGUCCCGGCCUCACGCGCGCGUACAAAUGCCACCGGGGUCCCCGGCUUCCCUCCUCCUCCUACUCCUAGGCCACCGGCCACCCCAGUUGUUCAGUCACGAGACGCGCGCGGCUGCCCGCGGCCAAAACCCUGCUUCGCUGUUCGCCCAGCCCGCCGCCGCCCCGCCUCGCGUCGCGAUUCCCCUGACCUCUCGCAAGUCGUCACGGACUCGCGCGCCUCCGUCUCCAGGCCGUUUUAAUCCGCGGGCCUCUUGCGACCGGAGUUGGUUACAUCCAUCCACAGUCCGUUCCGCUCCAGAAGAUCCAGCAGCAAUGAAGGGCAUGGGCCCGACGAUGGAGAUGGCGCCGACGCCGGGCAAGGCGGCGGCAGCAGGAGCAGCGUCUUCCUCGCACAUGUCGAUGAUGCACAUGUCCUUCUUCUGGGGCGACCGCGCGGUGGUGCUGUUCCCGGGGUGGCCCGGCGCGCGCGGCGCCGGGGCGUACCUGCUCUGCCUCCUCUUCGUGCUCGCGCUCGCCGCGCUCACCGAGGCGCUCGCCGCGGCCUCGCGCUGCGUCGCGCGCCGCGGCGCGGGCGCGGGCGCGGGCGGGCGCGGCGUCCCGGCGUCCUCGGCCGCGCUGCUCACGGCGGCGCACGCGGCCAGGAUGGGCACGGCGUACCUCGUCAUGCUGGCCGUCAUGUCCUUCAACGGCGGCGUGCUCCUCGCCGCCGUGGCCGGCCACGCGCUCGGCUUCCUCCUCGCGCGCAGCAGGGUGCACCCUGGGGGCGGGGGCGCCGCCGCCGCCAGUGGCCACGGGCUCGGUGGCGUGGGCGCUGUCCACCCUCCGGAUGGCUCCAAGGCCUAGACUGCAGGGGCAAAUGCACUUGGGUGGGUUAAACAAAUGACUGUCUCGUCUCGUGUUGUCUCUUGCUGUAGGCAUCUGAAAAUUCAGGAUUAUUACUGUGUCAUCUCCCUGCCUAUCGUGUUAUGGAUUACAAUUACUGUGUGUUGUAAAGAUGGUAUGGAUGUGCUAAAGUUUCCAAGUGAAUUGAUUAUAAACGUUGUAUUUGUACUGAAGAUCAAGAAUUUCUCUUUCUUUUACACUGCAAGCGCAUGAUAGCUCAAUCUGUGGCGGAAAUAAGAGUCUCCUCGAAACAGCCACCGUAGCGGCUUUUUUAACGAUUCGGGAGGCUCCUAUCAUCCUCUUCCUUCCACGAUUCUAGCUCUGGAUAGUGGCCAAGUAUUCCCUACUGUGGUUUUUCGGCACCAAAGAUAAAAAGAUGCUACGUGUUGGUUCUCCAAGAUUUUUUCAUAGUGAGAACACUGAAAAGCAAUUAGAAUCACAAUAAUAUCAAUAAUAUCAUAUUGCUAAAAAAAAUACCUAUGACAUUAUCUUUUAACGAUGGGAUAAAAUAUUAUCCUACCCUCUAUAUCCAAAAACGACACUGCUGAAAAAUGAUAAUGGUGCCCAUUUAUAGCCUGUUCGUUUGAGACACGGCACAUGAUCUUUGAUCUUCCUCUGUUUGCAAGAGUAUCCAAAACAGUGUCCAAUGUGUAGCCCUAAUCAAAUAGCAACUGCAUAAUGGAUCUGCAUUUUGUUUAUCACUAGCAUGUCCAUGUGUUGCAAUGGAAUAUAUAACUAUUACGUGGUCAUCUAUACGAUUUGUGUUGCGGUUUAGAGAUUUAUUAAAUAAUAAUGUAAUAUAUUCUAAUACAUCAUAAAUUAGACUCCAUACUAUUGCUAAAUGUGUGAAGUGUUCAGUUCUAUCUCACAUGAGUUUGGAUUCUUAGUCCGGGUCACAUAUGGGAUAUAAAGAAGUGCUAGGGUAUUGUGGGAAGUAAAAAAAUGAUUAGAAGAAUUCUCUCUCUCUCUCUCUCUCUCUCUAAUAUGUAUAGGUACAUAUACAUAGAUACAUAACAAAAAUAGAUAUAGAUAUAGAUAUACGAACAUGUUGAAAUUCUCAAAGGAUGAUUUAUCCACUAAUUAAACUUACAAGCACAACAAAGUUUGAUGGUAAAAUCCUUAUUUCUAAUAUAAAGCUAUGGUCAUGAGUUCCGUUCACUAUUUUUAUAUUUGAAUUUUCUAUUUUACCUUUAUUAUUCUUAUGUUACAAUAGACCGUAUAAUCAAUCCUUAAAUGCUAUGUCCAUGUGCAAGAAAAGAUUAACUCUACAUGAAAAAAUUAUUGUCUAUUGACUCAGCUUAAAUAGAUAGUUGUUGUGUGUAGCAUAAAUAGAUAGUUGUUGUGUGUAGCUAUUGUAAGAUUGAUAAAUAUAGAAGAUGAUCCAAGUGCUCGUGUGGUUUUGUAGCUUCAAAAGCGAGUAAAGUGGAAGAAUGAGUGACGAAACAUGAGAGGUUGAGAGUGAAGGUGUGACCAAUUAAAGGAGAGAAAUCUUCACUCUUUAAGAUUGAAAAUAUAAAUAUACAAUGUUGUUUCUACUAAGUCAUACUCCCUCCAUACAAAAAAGAAAGUCAUUUAGGACAACGGCGGUCUCCAAAGUCUAACAUUGACUCUUUAUUUUUAUAAAAAUAUUUUAUCAAAAUGUUGUAUAUGCAUAAUUUUAUGAAAGUAUUUUUCAAGACAAAUCUAUUCAUAUGAUUUUCACAUUUUCAAACUCAAUAACCUAAAAGUUAUUCAUGAUUUAUAUUCCUAAUGUUUGACUCAAACCUUGUCCAAAACGACUUUCUUUAUGGGUAUGGAGAGAGUAUUGAGAGCACCGACUUUCACCAAGAUUUAAUGCUUUGUAUUCUAGUCCGCUCAAUAUAACAAAAACAAAAAAUGUGUUGAUUACUAUUAUGUGGGUCACAAACAAAAAAAUACAAAUAAUUAUCAAAGAAACUUAGCACAUUAAUUGAUAGUAAAAAAAUAAAGAUGUUGAAUUGUCAUAUCACGGUUAUAAGGAAACAUCUCUUGCUGCAUGUCAUCUUUUAAUCAACUGCCAAUGGUAAAUAACCACCUACCAAAGAAAAUUCUUUAUUUUUAAAGAAACUACAGUGUCGAACAAAACGAAUGUAGUGAGCCCGCGACAUAAUCAAUUAAAGCACCCCCAAUGCACCACCGUAGCUAAUGGUCUUAAGUGCUAUUGUCCAAAGAAUGGUCAAUAUCGGAGUUUAAUGAACUUUAAAUAAACCAGUAAGGGCACUCACAACGCAGACUCUAUCAUAGAGUCUAAAGUUAUUUAUUACCUCGAACAAUGUGGACUUAGAAUCUAAAUAAGACUUGGAGUCUUAUUUUUUCUACCUCUUUCUUCAAUAAAUAUACUGCCACAUCAGCAAAAUACCAUAAAUAAUAUGUAAUCAAUUGUCUUAGACUCUAUGAUAGAGUCUUGCAUUGUGAGUGCCCUAAGGGCACUCAUAAUGCAAGAUUUUGUUCAGAGUCCAAGACAAUUAAUUAUAUAUUAUUUAUGGUAUUUUAUUGAUGCGACAACAUAUUUAUUGAAGAAAGAGGUAGAAAAAAUAAGACUCCAAGUCUUAUUUAGACUCCAAGUCCACAUUAUUCGAGGUAAUAAAUAAUUUUAGACUCUAUGAUAGAGUCUACAUUGUGAGUGCCCUAAGACAUAGUAUAAACUAAAAGAGAUAAUAAAAACUUUAUAGAAUAAAAUAAUGUUAUGCAUUGUUUUUAAUACAGUAUUGGAAACAGGGGACAUGAAACCACUACUGAGACUAACAUUAGGCUAUACUAGGUUAAUCGGUAAUGCUUUGACUCUGACGUCCGGCCGUUUCCGGACGGAGUGCCUGUUCACUCGGCUUUCUGUUGCUUCGUGUCUAUCCACAUGUGACUCUUCUCAUCCACUUAUUUCUGUCUGCAUGCAGCUCUUCUCAUCCACUCAUCUCAAAAUAUCUACCCCAUGGCUCUUCUUGCCCACUCUCUCUCCUGCUACCUGCUCCCUCAUUCACUUCUCUCUUCUCUCUCUCUCAGAAAUCCACCGCAGCCUUCCAUGGUCCCAACCUGGGAGACCUCAACUCAGUGCGGUGCCUUCCCCCAUCUCCCUCCUCAACCGAAGCUCGAGCACACAAUAGGGGGAUCUGUGGAGGCGGCGUCCUCUACCCAUCUCGAGCCUGAUGUGCGUCCUCCACCCUAGCGUGUCGUCCCCCACCUCGACGUCGGCCAUGGUGGCUUUCCCGUGGUGGAUCCAUGGAGUACUGGCCUUCCCAUGGUGGAUACAUGGAGCACGAUGCAGAUCCAGUAGCGUGGUGGUCUCCUCCACCCAAUAGGCGAUGGUGGCCCAUCCCCCAUCCUAUUUAUGGAGGCGGCUCAAUCUGCACCACGACGGCGCCCCCAACCCAUGUGCCUCUCCUCUUUCCCUUUAUCUCGCGGCUACAGUGGAUUUUGUGGUGUUGCAAUCGUCUAUCUGAGAUGUUUUAGUAGUCUAUUCGAUAUGUUUCAGUAGUAGUUCUUUUGUUGUUGCAAUAAUAUGUUUCUUACUGUUUCAACUUCUUCAUCCCAAUGUUGUUGUAGUAUUGCUUUAUUUGCGAUGUUGCAGUAUAUGUUUCAGUUGCUUCAAUCUCAUGUUGCAGAAGGUGUUUCAUGUUGUUGCAGCAGUUUGUUCGGUGUUGUUGCAAUAACACGUUCAUGGUGUUUCAACUGGUUCAACUUAUUUGUUGAAGCACUUUGUUCAGUGUUAUUGCAUAACACAUUUAUGGUGUUUCAACUGGUUCAACUUAUUUGUUGCAACAAUUUGUUCGGUGUUGUUGCAAUAACAUGUUCAUGUUGUUUCAGUCGUUGUUUCAUCAUAUUGUUAUAGCGCCAAGCAGGGGGGCUAGGGGUGGGCUGUGGGAGUGAGCUAGCGAUGGGUGGAGGUGUUGGGGACCGACGUGGUUGGGGGGGGGGGGGAUCUCGUGGGUGUGGAGAGCGGAGGCGGUUCCUUUCAUCUCCGUGCGGAGGCGGGUGCAGUCGGGUUCCCAUAUCUACUUUUUUUUUUAUUUUUUCCUUUCUCAAUGUGGAGCGGGUGGGGCGUGAUUUGUACAAAGGCUUGGCGUCCGGACGUUAACGCUCAGAUCGGACGUCCGGGCGCUAGCAGUACCGUAGGUUAAUGCCAGUACGUUGUUACGAGUUUUAAAAUUCACAUACUCUAUGUUUCUUCAUUGUUAUUUUAUUUUUUCUGUCUACAUUCUUCCUUUUUUUAUUUCUUUUCAGUUUUCGUUUUUUGAUUUUAUUUUAUUUCCUGUCCUUUCCUUAUUUUUUUCUUGUUUUAAUUUUACCUUUUAUUUUCUUUUUCUUUUGGUUUUAAUUUUAUUGUUCUUCCUUGCUUCUAUUUGUUUUUCUUUUUUCUUUUCAGAUUUUCUAUGUUUCUUCAUUCUUAUUUUAUAUUUAAUUCCUUUUAAUCUUCUUUUUAUCCUUAUUUAAAUUAUCUAUUUAUUUUAUUUGCUCUAUGCACUUUUUAUCAUUUGUUAAUUAUGUUUGUUUUUAUAUUUUUUUCUUAGUAAUUUUAUUUUUUAUUUUUAUUUUCUAUGUAUAUGUGAUAUUUAUGUACUAUAUAUUUAGUGUUCUAUAUUGUGUUAUGUCAUGUUUAGGGUUUAGGGUUUGCUAUAAGAAAUUUAAUGGUGCAAUCAAAAUUUAAUUUAUAUCUUCGGUUUAAGAGUUAUGAUUUUUUUAAUUCGUUAAAACAAUUUUGCAUGCAUGAGUGAGUGGAGCCUGAUGAGUUGAUGGGAUAACCUAUCAUGACAUAGUAAAAAGAGGAGUUGUGGCUUCACCAUAGAUGUGGUAGAUGGGUCCUCUCCAUAAUUUUUAGUUGUAGAUUGGACGUGCUCUUAAAGACAUGUACAGUGAUUGAACUCUUUCAUAUUUUUUGGCAUCAUGCAUCUACAAAUAGUCGUUAUGUAGAGAAAAUAUGCUUAAAUGUUUAUUUCCACAGUAUGAUGUGACAUUAAACAUGGUUUCUAAAUUUUCAAGUGUUAUUUCUACAUUGUAUUCAUUUUUUGGCAUGGUUUUAUUUUUUGGCAUCAUACAUCUAUAAAUAGUCUGAACAAGUUUGAGGCCGGCCAAUAACCUUUACUCUAGUCUCUCUUUUUUUAUGUAUUGUGGGAGUAGAGUUAGGGAUGAGAACCUUUUGUUGGGCUGAUCCGUGGCCAUAUUCAGUUGCUGCCGUGGGCUAGUACUUGGGCCAUAUGGAUAAUGGGCCAAGUUGGCAAUACAUUAGAUUGGAAAUAACACAGAGCUAAAAGGCCUGAACUGGAAUAAGUGGGGGUGAGGCUUCGGUGCACAUGCGCUGAAAACCAACAGCGGCGGCAUCUCCCAAUGCGGUUGUGCAAUUUGGGUGUGGGAGAGAAAGGGAAAAUGUAUGAGUUUCUCUCCUCUUACUUUAAGGGAAGGGCUGGUUUUUCUUCAUUGAAAAAAAAGUUAGGACUCGUUUGAAUCCUUAAAAUUAGAUUUAUUUUAAUAAUUAUAAUAUAGACCCAUAUUUAUUAAGCUAAUAUAUAUUAUGUGCUUUAUUUCUACCAUAGGGGAGUGAGUUAAAGAGCAUGUUAUAACUUGCAAACUAGAAACAUAGCAUAGUGAUCUAUGAAUUAAUAUUUGUCUCUCAUCCUAUGAAUUUGAGAUAAACUCAUAUAUGAACUAUAAAUUAAGUAGACUAGGAGGAUUCUCCGUGCGUUGCCAUGGGUACAAAGAAGAAAUAUAAAUAUGCCCUCGCUAUAGUCUAUCGAGUCAUCUAUAUAUAUAGCUUGAUUAUUAUUAGUCAGUUUUCAAAGAGGAAGAGAGAAAGUCACGUGAGAGAAUAAUGCUAGCAAUAUGUGUGUAUGGUCAUAUGUAGGUAUCUACUACUAAAAUUAUUUAUAAGUGAGCACUUGUAUGUGGGAGCAGGAGAAAUGGAUGAUGACUUGGCUUAAGAAUGUGCUAGAGAAUUAGGUUAGUGGGGUUUAUCUUUAUAGUUGUUAUAGAUUUUAAUUCCAUCACAGGAUCCAAACGACACCUAAAGGAAUUUAGAGCUCAUUUUUUUCUCAUCUAAACUUUAGCACUUUGCACAACGGUCUCCGACGAUAAAAAACAUGACCAAAUAUUUGGUCAUCAUGCAUCGGGUCAUCCACGUCUAACAUCAUAUAUUUGCUCAUGUUUGAACACUUGUCCAUGCUAAAGUUUAGCUUGGUUACAUUUUCAUGCACCAUGCACAUUCAAUAAUUCCUUAAACCAACCAAUGAUGGCAUCCACUGAAAUGGCCGUAUUUAGACAGUGCUUUCUAAAAUUUCCCAAGCCCGCAAAGCGCGGCGGCGCGUGCUGAUCGUGUCUCCGACGUGCCAUGCGCGCGCGGCGCCCAGUAUAAACAUGCCGUGGCGUUCAGACACUGUUCGUUUAGGGAAAUGGCCCGCCGCGACAGCUACCCACCAGCGCACUGAAGCCGGGCGAGCUAGCGCGCCGCUAGUGGACGACGGUGAGCUCCGUGCUGCCACGCCGCUGGACGGUGCGCGCUAGUGCUCGCUCCACCGAUCCUCUCCGGACUCCGGCCAUCAUGAGGUCGGACGCUGCUGCUCGCCACGCUUGCACGCGCUCCACGCCACUAUAUAAGCCGCAGCGCAGCGGCCAUGAAGCCACACACCAGUCACGCCGGAGAAGCAAACAGCACCUGCAUCACACGAGCAGCGAGCGUGUGUUGGAGAUGAGAGGACUCCUGGUGCUCGCCCUGCUGGUCGCGGCCGCCGCGUGCCUCGUGGCGGUGCGCGGCGCGGACGGCGCGGGCGAGUGCGGGGCGACGCCGCCGGACAGGAUGGCGCUGAAGCUGGCGCCGUGCGCGUCGGCGGCGCAGAACCCGAGCUCCGCGCCAUCCAGCUCCUGCUGCAGCGCGGUGCACAGCAUCGGGAAGCAGAGCCCCAAGUGCCUCUGCGCCGUCAUGCUGUCCAAGACCGCCAAGAGCGCCGGGAUCAAGGCCGAGGUCGCCAUCACCAUCCCCAAACGCUGCAACCUCGUCGACCGCCCCAUCGGCUACAAGUGCGGAGGUAAGCCAACAACAAUGUCUGCUCCAAUUGCUUCAUAUAUCAGAGAUUGUUGUCAGUGGUAUAAGCUAGCGGAAUAGAUUGAUUUGUGAGUGUGUGUGAUACUCCUAUUCUUUACAGAUUACACUCUGCCAUGAGCUUUGAGAGCUUACUUGAGCACCAGUGCAUGAUCCGUCGGAGUUAGCACGACGUCUGUGGGAAGUGACGGUGACUGUGUCAGUGUGUGUGUGUGUGUUGCCAGUAAACGAGACUUGUGAUUACCAUACAUGUGGAACUCCAGUAUGAUACGGGUGUCUCAGUCUCACUAGAUACGUGUGUACUUGUACUCUCUUGUAGUCAGAGUCAGGAUGUUCCAGAGAUGCUGUCCUGCAUCCUCCAAAUAAAACUUGUUGUCUUGGACAAAUUUGGUUAAGGGAGCUGCUUGUGUGCACUCAUUGUUUGGUUGAAAAAAAUUGCUGUUCGUCCAUUUAAUAAAUAAAUAAGAAUGAGCACGAAUUGAGUUAUUUUGGUGAAUCCUGCUUUUGAGUCUCCGACUCAAUUUCCACUCACGUUUCUAGUGGUAGUUUCUAGGCGUUUCUAGUGAUAAGGUAAAAAUCCUUCCUUAACUUUACAGAGCUCUUGUGUUUACCGUAUUUUAAGCAUGCUGAUUGCUGAUAGACAAUAAUGACAGGUACGGCAUGAUUGGUGCUUUGGACAAGUUAAUUCACCUAUAAUCCCUUAUAAUUUCGGAUAAACUUUGAGUGCUUCGAUACAUUAUAUUUUAGGAUGGAGGGAGUAGUAGGGAAAUGGUUUCCGUUGAGCCAGUUUUUUUCCACGGCAGUUCAUAACGAAUAGAGACAGGUAAAACUCGAAGUGUGGCCCCUUGCUUUGAACAGCCAGUGAAGAUACAUGUCCCACGGUUUUUCUAAGGUUACCUCCAGUACAAAUACCCAUCCGAGCACUGGAAAUAUAAUGAGAUAAUUUCUUGUGAUGUAUACUUUCUCCAUACCUGUUUUAGUUGAUGUUCUGGUAACUCAAAUGUUUUCAUAAAGUUUGACGUUCUGGUCACGCAGGGUUAGGUGCUGGACCUUUGUCCCUACCUUUUCGUUUCGCAUUCAAUGCAUGCUGCGCUCGCAUGCAAAAGCAAAAAAUGAGUGGUUACCAGGGAUCAAAUCCGAGACCCAAUGCUCUAGCCUCUACGCACUAGCCAAUUGAGCUGAUUUAUUUUCUUAUAUAGAGAGUACUCGUAGCCAUAUUUAUUAGGGGGAGAUAUGGAAAACUAACCCCUAAUUAAUCAUUCAUUGGUUACCACAAUCAUGACCUAAACAUCAACAAUGGGUAUGGAGAGAGUAUUUGUUACGUUGCUAUAAUUGGUUGUGACGACUAUAUAAAUUUGAAAUAUGAUCACAUUUUAAUACUAUAUGAUAGGAACAUUCAAAUUUGUCAAAUAUCUUUACAUCAUGUUAUUUAGCUGCCUCUGGAAGUUAAUUAACAGUAAAUCAUUUACACAUGCAGUUAGUUUAAGUCUGCCGUCGAUGUAAAUCAUUUUACACUAACAAUAAGAUGAAGCCUCCUUUUCUAAAAAAGAUGAAGCCAACCACCGGUAUAAAUUAAUUUGUAUUAACAAAUUGUGGUGGUGUGAGUUGGUGUGUGAGUUUUAGAUACUACAACUUGCAUUUGAAGAGUUGAGGCAUAAAAAAUGUAUUAACAAAUCUCAAACUGAUGCUAGUGAAAAUAAAAAAAAGUGGCGACCAGUAGAAACCUGUACUAGUGAAUUUCUUCACUCUUACUGAAUAAAAAAAUCACUCUUACAUCGCCGUAGCUACUUACCAAGUAACCAUUGAUUGGUGGAUCCUAAGGCACUCCACAACAUCGUAGGGGUGCCCAAAAGUCACCAAAUCUUUGCACCACAAUUGAAGGCUCACAGCGGAAGCAAACUCCAGGCAUCAGGACUCAACCAAAAAAGAAAAAAACCAAAUGCAUAAAAAACAGGCAGCACGGAUCAUAAACAACAUUUAAUGAACUGGCAUCGGUUCCUCUACUUGCUCCGCUCCUUAUUUUCUUAGCAUUAUUGAAAUUGGCAUCACUUGCUACAAUGGAGAGAGUGGUGCCAGAAUCAUCUCUCUUAUUUUGGGCAUCACUUAAGCAAAAUAUUAUGGAGGGCCUAAGAGGGUGUUUGGUUGAGUAAUUUACAAGACGAAUUUUUUAAGCCUAAUUAGUCUAUAAUUGAACAAUAAUUUUCAAAUACGACGAAAAUGCUAUGUUAAACUUUAACAAUCCCAACAAAACACCUCUAAUGUUCGAUCGACCCUACCGUUACAUUAGCAGGACCCCCGCCACCUAGCACGUGCCCAAUGCCACGCCCUCUGUCCACCACAAGUCAGGCCUUGUUUACUUUCAACCAAAAUCUCAAAAAUUUUCAAGAUUUCCCGUCACAUCCAAUCUUUAAACGUAUGUAUGGAGUAUUAAAUAUAGACAAAAAUAAAAACUAACUACACAUUUUGGUUGAAAUUUACAAAUGAAUCUUUUAAGCCUAGUUAGACCAUGAUUGGAAAAUAAUUACCAUAAACAAACGAAAAUGCUAUAGUGUCGCGAAAUCUUUUUGUCCACGAACUAAACACGGCCUCAGGCGUCAUGCCAUGUGUUGCUCCGUAGCGUUUUUUUCAUAUAAAGCAUUUUAAAAAUUUGUAGAAAUGAUUGGAUCCUGAUAAAAUCUUUUGAAAAUACAUAAUUAUUUCAUUUUGAACUCUAAACUUAUGAAACAUGUAUUGAAUGUUUUACUAAAAGUUGACCUUUGUAUCCAAAAAAUUAUUUUUCUAGUUCUUUUGUAUUUCUGGUGCUUCAAUACAUCAAUAUAUUCUUCUUCCCUUGUGUUAGAAACCUAUAUGAGCUCUCAGAGGAGGACCCUACUGAUCCAAUGUAUGUAGAAGACUUCGACAACUUGUAUAAGGUGUCAUAUCCCACCCACAUAUGUAGAAUCAUACUCUCUCCGUUCCAAUCUAUAAGACAUUUUAAUUUCUUUUAGAUUCAUUGCUUUUGCUAUGUAUCUACACAUGUAUAUCUAAGUAAAUAACAAAAACUAUAUAAACUAUGUACUUAUAAAAAAACCCAAAACGUCUUGUAAUGUGAAAUGAAGGAAGUAUGUAGGAUGCAAACUUAUGUGCUAGGGCUAGCUAUUUCUGUCUGAUGAUCUGAAACGUAUGCAAAAUGGUCCAAUAAGCGUAUAUACAUACUAGUAUUUUCUUCUUAUUUCUGAAUCAUUGUGUGUACAUCUGUACAGCUUGUCCCACCCUGCACUGCCCCUGGCACCACCGACACUUCAAGCACAGGCAGCUGAACAAACAACUGCAACUGCCCUUCUAUUUUUUUCUUUGCUAGAAUGAGCGCAGCCGCCGCACUUCGAGAGGCAACAUCAAAAAGUGGCGUCCACUGAAAAGAAUGCCCGCGCACGCCGAUCAGGUUACGCCGGCGGGCACGCCAUGGCGUUCAGCCGUUCACACCCUGUUCCUUCGGGCCCAAAGCUGCCUCACCACAUCGAACCACCGGGCCGCACUGAGCCGGCUGAGAUGUGUGUGGCCGAGCUUGCACGACGCCAAUGGCGGAGGCACGGCGUGCUGCCACGCGCCCACGCCGCGUGACGGUGCGCGGCUAGUGCUCGCCGCACCAAUCGUCGCCGGCCAUCAGCCCAUCACGAGGUCGGUUCAUGGUGGUCGCCACACCUACACGCUCGACGCCACUAUAUAAGAAGGGGGCCUUGGCAGCCAUGAAGGCGCCGGCUUACACAGCUACGCACAACUCACUAGGAGAAGCAAGAAAGGGGUGAGGUGACGAUGAGGAGUCUCUUUGUGGUCGCUCUGAUGAUCGUGGCCGCGGCCUGCAUCGCCGCGCCGCGGGGUGCCGACGGCGCGGGCGAGUGCGGGGCGACGCCGCCGGACAUGAUGGCGCUGAAGCUGGCGCCGUGCGCGUCGGCGGCGGAGGACCCCAGCUCCGCGCCGUCUAGCUCCUGCUGCGGCGCGGUGCACAGCAUCGGGAAGCAGAGCCCCAAGUGCCUCUGCGCCGUCAUGCUGUCCAACACUGCCAAGAGCGCCGGGAUCAAGGCUGAGGUCGCCAUCACCAUCCCCAAACGCUGCAACCUCGUCGACCGCCCCGUCGGCUACAAGUGCGGAGGUAAUUAAGGAAGCAACAAACUGAUGUGUGAUAUUAUUCUUCACUGUUUGCUCCGGUCGUUUAUUCUGUGAUUACCAUGUAUGCAUCAGCAGUAUCAGCAAGAUGCAGUAACACUGAAUGAGUGUCUGUCUGAGAUUCUUCUUUUAAUUCUUUAUUACAGAUUACACUCUGCCAUGAGCGGUGAGGAUUAUUCCAGGGAUUUGCUGCAUGACGUGCAUGUUCGAGUAUCACCAAAGCGCGAGCUCUUGUGGCGUGUGUUCGUGUGUGUCAGUCUCUGUGUGUUGCCCAUAAUAAACAAGACAUGCGAGUACCACACAUGUGGAACUCUAGUAGUAUGAUGAUGUGUGUAUCACUAGAUACGUGUACUUAGUUGUGUUCAGUGUCCACAGAUGUAGUCUUGCAUUGUCGAAUCAAUAAAUCCUGUCUUUCUGAUAAGAUCGAUUGAGAGAUAGUAGAUGUUGUGCAAUAUAAUUUAUGUCUCCACCGUUUGUCAACUGAAAAGCUUGAUGCUCGACUACAUAAGAUUUAUUAUUUUAGAUGAUGAUAAAUAAGAACAUGUGUAAUACGGACCUUGCAAAAGAAAAUCAAGGCAAGUACGUACUGUGUCUUGUUUUGAGCACGGUUGUUUUAGAGUGACGACUAAGAUGAGUUGUUGAUUUAGGCUUGAUGUAAUUUGCAUUUAUGAUAGAAAGUGAUUUGGGUAAUUCUCAAUACAUUACUGUGAUUAAUUGUCAUAUAUAUAUAUAUAUAUAUAUAUAUAUAUAUAGAGGCUAGUGGAUACAUAUUAGCCGGAUUACAUUCCAACACUCUCCCGCAGUCUAAACUGGGAGCACCGCGAACAUUGAGACUGGAUCUAAACUCCGUGAAGACGGAUGUCGGCAGACCUUUGGUGAAGAUAUUGGCGUACUGAGACGUAGUGGGAACGUGCAGGACGCGGACUUCACCGAGGGCGACUCGCUCUCCGACGAAGUGCAAAUCGAUCUCAAUAUGCUUGGUUCGCUGAUGCUGAACUGGGUUGGUGGAGAGAUAAACGGCACUGACAUUAUCACAAUAGACCACUGUAGCGCGACGAAGAGGGCAGCGAAGCUCUAUGAGGAGCUGGCGCAACCAGCAUGCUUCGGCGACUCCGUUCGCAACAGCUCGAUAUUCCGCCUCUGCACUGGACCGUGACACUGUAGGCUGACGCUUGGACGACCAAGAGAUGAGAUUAUCACCGAGAAACACCGCAUAACCCGAGGUGGAUUUGCGUGUGUCAGGACAACCCGCCUAAUCUGCAUCGGUGUAGACAGUGAGAUCAGCCGGAGAGGUUCGGUGAAGGUGCAAGCCAAGAUCCAAUGUACCCUGAAGGUACCGGAGAAUCCUCUUCAAAGCACUAAGAUGAGGCUCCCGGGGAUCAUGCAUAUAUAAGCAGAUCUGCUGAACAGCAUAUGCAAUAUCUGGUCUGGUAAAAGUGAGGUACUGAAGAGCUCCAGCAAGGCUACGGUACUGACUAGGAUCUGCAACGGAGGCGCCAUCUGCAGCAAGCUUAGAGUGAGUGUCCACAGGAGUACUGCAUGGCUUGCAGUGACUCAUACCAGCUCGCUCCAGAAUAUCCAACACUUACCGCCGCUGAGAGAGAAAUAAGGUGUCACCUUGGCGUUGAACACUGACACCCAAAAAAUGAUGAAGAGGCCCCAUGUCUGUCAUCGAAAAUUCCCGGCGAAGUGCAGCAAUGAUCCAAUGAAGAAAGCUCAUGGAGGAUGCGGUCCAAACAAUAUCAUCAACGUACAGUAAGAGAAAAGCCAUAUCAGCACCUCUGCAGUAGAUGAACAGCGACGUGUCGGAUCUAGCCUUAACAAACCCAAGGGAGGUGAUGUGGGAGGCAAACCGACUGUGCCAUGCACGGGGAGCUUGCUUCAGACCAUAGAGAGACUUGUUCAGACGACAGACAUGGUUGGACUUGGAGGGAUCGACAAACCCAGUCGGCUGGACGCAGUAGACUGUCUCGCUCAAAGUGCCAUGGAGAAACGCAUUCUUCACAUCGAGCUGAUGAAUCCGCCAGGAACAAGAUAGUGCCAGAGUGAGAACCAUCCUGAUGGUAGCUGGCUUGACAACUGGACUGAAAGUCUCAUCAUAGUCAAUGCCCGGUCGCUGGGUAAAACUGCGAAGUACCCAACGAGCCUUGUAGCGGUCAAGAGAGCCAUCGGACUUGAACUUAUGACGAAAAACCCACUUGCCGGUGACGAGGUUGAUGCCAGGGGGGCGAGGCACCAAUGUCCAGGUGUCGUUGCUCAGCAAAGCGUCGAACUCGGCCUGCAUGGCGAGGCGCCAGGCCGGGUCCAAGAGAGCAGCCCGGACAGACGUCGGCACUGGAGAGGUGACUGCAGACAUCAUGUGGAGAUUGAGGCGAUCCACAGGUUGCCGAAAACCAUCCUUGCCACGGGUGCGCAUGCCGUGCGCAUUGGUGACAGGGAUGAUCACCUCUGGAGCUGUAGCGGUGGUGCGGCCAAUGGUCCGUCCGACGCCGCUAGCAACAGCCUGGGGCACGUGGUCUGCAGGGGCAGCAGCACCGUCAGGACGGGGUGAUGGAGAGCCGCUAUUGUGGCCAUCGUGGCUAGCAGCAGGAGUGCCGCCCAGGCUGGUCUGGUCGUGGCCGGCUGCAUGGCCGGGGCCAAUGGCCGAAGCACAAGGGGGAGCAACUGGUGUCCCCGGGGCAGCGUCCAUGCCACCUGGAAGACGGGUACCUACAGUCACAGCUCUUGGCCAUAUAGGCGAAGAGGAAUCAUCAGCAACAUCCAAAAACGCGAGUGUGUUAGGGUCCGAUGGAGUGGAUGACAUCUCAGAGAAGGGAAACAACGUCUCAUCAAAUACGACAUGACGAGAGACGACGAUCCAAUUGGAGUGGAGGUCGAGACAUCGAUACCCCUUGUGAUCAGCCAAGUACCCUAAGAAGACACACAGGGUGGAGCGAGGUGAUAAUUUGUUGGGAGCUGUGGAGGUAAGGUUAGGGUAACAGGCACAACCGAAGACUCGAAGAUGGUCAUAAGAGGGUUGGGUGCCGUGGAGGGAAAAGAAGGGGGUGCGGCCGUCUAGAGUUUUAGUUGGGUGACGAUUAAGGAGAUAGGUGGCAGUGUGAAGUGAGUCAGCCCAAUAAACAGGAGGAAGACUGGCCUAGAACAGAAGAGACCGCACGAUGUUGUUCACAGUGCGAAGGGUGCGUUCAACGCCUCCAUUCUGUUGUGAGGUGUAUGGACACGACAUCCAAAAGACGACGCCAUGAGUGAGGAAGAACGUGCGGGCCGAGGAGUGAUCAAACUCGCGGCCGUUGUCGCACUGAACUGCCUUGAUGGUGGAGUUGAACUACGUGCGCACAUAGGAAAAAAAGUUAGAUAUGACGCCAAAGGUUUCAGAUUUCAGGCGUAAUGGAAACGUCCAUAUGUAGUGAGUGCAAUCAUCAAGAAUGACUAAAUAGUAUUUAUAGCCAGACACACUAACAACUGGGGACGUCCAAAGAUCACAAUGUAUUAAAUCAAAUGGAUGAGUAGCACGCGAGUAUGACACACUAAAGGGUAGGCGCACAUGGCGACCUAGCUGACAGGCAUGACAAACAUGAUCGAUAUUGUGCUUAUUAUUACAGGAAAUAGCAUUUGAACUAAUAAGCUUGGAUAAAGCCGUGUGUCCGAGAUGACCAAGGCGACGAUGCCAAAGGGAGGUGGACGACGUGGCAGUGGUGAGGGUGGCAGUGGUGCUGGAUGGUGCAGGGAAGAACGGGUAGAGGUCACCCGUGCUAUUGCACCUAGCGAUCACGCUCCGUGUCUGAAGGUCCUUCACAGAAAGUCCAAAUGGGUCAAACUCAAUAGAACAAUUAUUAUCAGUAGUGAAGCGACGGACUGAAAUCAAGUUCUUAAUAAUGUUAGGCGACACUAAAACAUUAGAAAGAACAAAAGGCCGAUGUGUGGUGUAAAAAGAGUGCGACCCAAUAGAUGUAACGGGAAGCGAAGCUUCGUUACCCACAAUGAUAGAUGAAGGACUGGAUGAUGAUGGAGGGUGAAGGCUAGAAAGUAUACCAGCGUUGUUGACCAUGUGAGCACCGGCACCAGAGUCAGCAUACCAUUCGCCCGAGGGCGGUCGGAUCCGAGGACAUACCCUGCAUGGGCAUGGACGGUUGCUGUUGCUGUUGUGGUGGCGGCGGUCCUCCGUGGCCGAAACCUGGAGGAGGCCCAAGGGUGUACGGCUGCUGCACGUACUGCUGCUGGACAGUGGUGUAUGGCUGCGGCACGUACUGCUGCUGGGCGGUGAAGGCCGACCGUGGAGGACGGAACGGUGUCCCGGAGGCGUUCGGUGGGCACUACCAGAACUGAACGUAGCCUGCCCACGGAUUGUAGUACUGCGCCUACGCCUGGGGUUGCGAGCCGACGUUGGUGUUGCCGGCCGACUGCUGCUGGUUGCGGCCGCGUCCGCCACGUCGGCGGCCGGUCCGCUGCUGGCCCUGGCCGCCCUGUCCGCCCUGGCCGGGCUGACCAUAGCCAGUUGUUCGGCCUUGGCCGUGGCCGCCCUGGCUGCCUUGCCCAUGGCCGCCGUAAGGCAGUCCGGCUGGGGGACGAGGUGCGGCAACGAGAGCGGUCGAUGCGGAGGAGGCCAGUGGAUCAGAGGCCCCAGCGGCCUCGCUGGCAGCGAUGUCAUCGAUGUCGAUCUCCUCAAGCAAGAGAAGCGUGCGAGCCUCCUCGAAGGUGGGGAAGGGUUGCCGCAUCUUGAGGUUGGAGACCAUGGGUCGGAACUUGCCGCUGAGGCCGCGGAGGAGGGUGAGGACCAGAGUGUGGUCCCCAGUCAGAUCGCUGUAGUCACCGAGGGUCGCCGCCAUGGUCUCGAGACGGCGGUAGAAGUCGGUGAUCGAGGACGAGCCCUGUUUCGCCGUGCGAAACUCCGCAGAGAGCAACAGGGCGCGCGAUUCGCGCUGGCCGAGAAACUCAUUCUCGAGGUAUGUCCAGGCGCAGCGAGCUUUGGGCUUGUUGUUCAUCGUCGACUGUUGGAGAUCAGCAUGGAUGGUGCAGUAGAUCCAAGUGAGCACGGUGCAGUUCAUCUGCACCCACGCCGGACGAUCGGCGUUUACGACGUCGGAGAGGACGUGAUCCGUGAGGGCAUAUUUGCCCAAGACUGUCAGGAACAUAGUGCGCCACCAGUUGUAGUUGUCUGCGGCGUGAUCCAAGACCAAGGGCACGAGGACGGCGAUGGCGGUGGCAUGGACAGCGGCGUACUUGGCUUCGUACGCGUCGAGGGCCGCGGCACGAUCGGCCUCCACCUGGCGGCGGCGCCCCUCCUCGGCGUCGCGUGCUCGACGUCGGUUUCAGCCAUCGGAGGACGCGACCCCGAGGGCAGCCGGACUGGAGCAGUAGACGAUCAGGCGACGCAAGGCAGUAGAGGAUGUGACCCGUGACGUAGUUGUACAGGAAGCAGCAACGUAGAUGUACGAGUGGAUGCUGAUCACGUGGUGUAGACGUACGUGACCUGAUCUGGCCUAGAGUCUGAUCCGUCACGGCCAUCGCGAUGGAGAAGUCAUGGUCUCGCCCGUCACGGAGUAGCGGACGUAAGUCGCGGACAUUGCGACGAGGGGCGCGUCACGCAGGCGCCGUGGGCGCGCGCGUUCGCGAGAUGAGGCCGGCGAUCGAGAUCGCAGCAGCGGCGGCGUGGCGCUCGUGAAGAGCAGCGGCGCGACGCUAAUUGCGGAAGCGAGAGGAACGGAGAUCGUUACCGUCUCGUGAUACCAUGAUAGAAUGAUAGAAAGUGAUUUGGGUAAUUCUCAACACAUUACUGUGAUUAAUUGUCAUACACAUAUAUAUAGGCUAGUGGACAUGCACACUUGCCAUAUUAGCCAGAUUACAUUCCAACAAUUUAAGACAAAAUGCAAUUCUAAAUCCUCCCUCGUGAAUGGUCUUUUUUUAAGAGUUUGUGAAUAAUGUUCAACAUUCUUUUGUGGGGUCUCUAGUUGCACAUUUGGUUGUGCAUUAAUUACUUAGUAGCCAUGGAUACACUUGCAAGAAUUAUGGACCGGUGACGCCUCAUUGAGAAGGUUGAACAAAGCUAGGACUUUCUUUUUUAAGAAGGGGUGGCAAAAGCUUUGCCACACACCACUUGGUCACACUGAGCCAACUUGGUCAAAAAAACGACAUAACUAGCAACUCCAUAGUGUAGGAUCUCUGGUAGUCUAGGAUGGCUUAGAGAGGGUGGGGGUGAAUAGGCCUGUCAACUUAAAAACUUUAACUUUAUCAGUUUCACCAGACAGGGUGGCACUGGGAGCAACAAAGAUAUAUUCAAAAAGUACUUUGGGAAAUUUGGAUCAGGUUAAGUUCUCAACUCUUUGCAAGUUAGUAUUCAUCAGAACAACCACUACAACCUGCAUAAGUAACACCACGAGGUAGAUCAGGCUCAAACCCUAAAACAACUCAACAACACAAAUAAGCAAAGAGUAUAUCAACACACAAGGAUUUAUCCCGUGGUUCAACGGUCGCCACACAAGGCUGCACUUACUUCACGUUGUUGAGGUGCCCACACUAGGACCGACUUGCCACGAAGUCUUGUCCUUCCCUCAUUCCAACAAGAGUGUUAUCUCUUGAGGGAGGGGUGAUUUCUUAGCUGCAAGAUGAACUUACAAACUUCCCUUGGCUACCACACAAGUUGGCAAGCUUUAGGGCGAUGCCUAGCCGGCUAGGAGCAAGCUCCAAGAGUAACAAACCCUAGGGCUAUCGGUUAAACAUGAACCAAAUGCUCUUAGACUUUGGGAAUUAGCGGAUCUACUCUCCAAUUGAAGUUUGCUGCCUUUUCUCUCAAGAAAUGAUGGUGGAAGUCAAGGAUUUGCUUGAGAGCUUGAGGAGCAACAAUGGAGGAGAAAGAGAGGUGAGCUUUGAUGUUGUAUAACGGUUGGGACGAAGGAAGAUGACGUGAGUGGCUCAGAUGACCGUUGUGGUCAAGUGGAAAGGGUAUUUAUACCCUGGUCUUCCAACGGCCGUAUCAAGGGCAGCACUGCCGCCCUAGCCAGAACUAGCCAAGGGUAACUAGAGAGAAACAUGCUGGUUUGGCUGAGGGUUAAGGAUAUAGAAGUACAUUUGAGAAUCUGGUUCAACAUUUGAUCAAUAGACCUAGAGUCCCUCUUAAUAGUACGGCUUUUCCUAUACUCGAAGUCAAACAAGAGCGAAAGUAAACCUUCAAGAACCUUUAGGAAAGCCUUCCUUUUACAUUGGGAACCCUCUGACCUGUUCAACAUCCUCCUUUCUUAAUUCCCUGCUUGUUAUCUCAUUAAAAAUCAUUAGUCCUCUAAUUCGGUGGUCAUCAACAUCAAAACCCACAAUGGGCUUGAUUGAACUUACAAUCUCCCCCUUUUUGGUGAUUGAUGACAACCUAAUUAGAGCUUACAAGAGAUAUAAAUAAAGCUGAGAUAACAUUAGCCGUGCACAUAGGAGCUCCCCCUAAAUGUAUGAAGAGAGUUUUGAAUACUCAUCUUGGUUUGAAAACCAAGUCUCAUCCUUUAGCUUUGUGCUGGGACCUCUCCCUAUGUUCAUGGCUACUAUGGAUGCAGCAAACUGUGUCACAGAGAUAUAUGUCAAUGCAUAUGAUAAAUUAUACAAAAUAGGGUUUGACUGCUGGAGCAGAGGGCGGCACUGCCGACCUUGCUUCGCCAGCCAGACAGAAACUAAGAACAACACUCAUCACAACUUACUUAACAACAGCUCACAAGCAAUCUAGUAUAGGGAAUGACAAGCUAAAGUCACACAACGAGUACAUAUUCAUAUCCAAAGCAAAUAAAGACGAAUAGGUACCAACUAUUACAAAAAAUAGAGUUUUGAGCGACUCUCAAAUUCUCAAGCUCACAAACUAAUAGCUAACAGCUACUCUCAACUCUUAAUGGAUCUGAACAUGAAGAACACCUUGAUCUUGAGAAUUGACUCCUCUAAUUUCUCUAAUUUUCUCCCCCUUUGGCAUCAAGUACCAAAAAGAGAAAAGAAGAGAGAAAGAGAGAGAGAGAGAGAGAGAUCAACUCACUCCUCAUCGUCAUCGGACUCUAUAACAACACGUCCUCCACGGUGAGUAGUAGGAGUGAAGCGAGUAGCACGAGUGGAACGACAUGGAGCAGCCUCAAAAGUACUAGCUCUCUGCUGCCUAGCCUCAUCUCUGUACUACUUGUAGAAGCUGCCAAGUAUCUCCUAAAGAUCUAGAUCAUCAUCAUAGGCCUGCUACCUCUCAUGGCUGCCUUCUUCCUCUUCAUCACUCUCGACGUCUGAAAGGAGAUGAAGAUUUGGUAACUAUGGAGGUGGAUCAAAAGGUGCAAGAGGAGGUAAACCCUGAACCUCCCUUGCUACAUUGAUUGCAUGCCUACUCUUCAUCCUAUCAUCAUACUGAUUCUGUGCCAUGUAUGAACAAGUGCCAAAAAUAGCUUUUAUCCAUUCUGCUAAUUUUUGGAAGCACUUCUUCUUCGUUCCACCUCUCCUCAAUGGCUCAUCGGCACCCUCCUGACUGUGAUAUGAGCCCUCUACUGUAGGAGGUGGGGCUGUUUUAUCACCUUUGGUUUUUUUGAUGUUGCAUACUAUGUGGUAGCAGUUCUUUGGCUAUCUAACACUUGUCACCCUCUCAAUCACAAACAUCAGGUAAGGAGCAUAGGGAAGUGCUCUCCUCCCAUCAUCCAUAGCAUAGGCCAGCUCUACCCACAUGAACCUUGGCACAUUGAACCUAUCACCAUCUGGAAAUCUGGAUAGUACAUUGGUGAUAUUCCCAUUGAGAUCAGUGGCAUUGUCCUUUGGGUUGAGUGUCAUCCUAAUGAGAUUGUUCAUGAUGUAAUAAAAGCUCUUCGACCCAGUCCUUCUAUUAUUUACUUAGGUUGGAUCCUCCCACAUGAAAGUCACUUCAUGGGGCUCAAACCUCCUCUCAUUGUGGAUGUGAGAGUAAGUCUUGUGAACAUGCUCAAAGACAAGUAUCCUGCAAAAGGUGACAAAAUCAAUCCUAUAGUGUGUGUCUGAAAGCCCUAGUUUGGUUUUGGAUAAUUGAUGAAACCCUAGUACUAACCUCUAUACUAAGUGUGUGUAGACUUAAUGAGGUUGGUACAUGCCAAGUGAUGGAGCAAAUGAUGAUCAUGGUGAUGGUGAUGACCACAAGGUGAUCAAGUGCUCAACUUGGAAAAGAAGAAAGAGAAAAACAAAACCCUAUGGAGUUCAAGGCAAAGGUAUUGCUUAGGGUUUUGAUUUUGGUGAUCAAGACACCAUAGAGGGUGUGAUCACAUUUAGGAUAGAUAGCCGUACUAUAAAGAGGGGAAUUCUUUGGCUAAGUGGUUAUCAAGUGCCACUAGGUGUCAUUGUUCAUGUGCAUGCAUUUAGAACCUAGUGAGCUAACUUAACUCCUUCGAAGAAAAUGAUUGUGAAAAUGCUAACACACGUGCACAUGUUGGUUUACACAUUGUGGUGUUGGCACACUUUGAGAAGGAGGUGGAGUUUGAAGAGUAGAGAGAGGAUGGGUUCCUCUCUCCCUUCCGCCGAGCUUGCGAGGCGGGUUUCGACGCUUUUUGAGAAAAUGAAGUGCAUAUUCUCUAUUGCGCCGGUGGGAAAUUUGGAGAAGUCGCGGGAGAAACACUCACCGGACGCUGGCUUCUGGAGCACCGGACGCUGAGUCUGAGCGUCCGGUGCAGACAGUGCCUGGCCCAGCUAGGGUAAGGCACCAGACGACAGGCACCGGACGCAGGCCUGUGCGUCCGGUGGUCCGUGUCCGGUGUGAGGUCCGUUUGCAGAGCUCUCUGAGUUUAAGUCCGGUGAGCACCAGACGCUUAGGGUGCGUCCGGUGGCUCGCGCCUGGUGACCCUGCGAGUUUGCGGAGCUCUCUGCGCACGGGUCCGUUGUGCACCGGACGCGUCCGGUGCCAACUUGCUCAGCGUCCGGUGCACUGCAGGUGACCGUUAGACUCUGACACAAGCGUUUCAAAAGGCGACAUGUGGCUGUUGUUGGAGCACCGGACGCAGGCGUUGAGCGUCCAGUGCCCCUUUGAGAGCGUCCGGUGACCUCGCAGUUUGCCCAGUGAAAGAGCUAACGGCUCUAUUUGUUUGAGGGGCUUAUAAAUAGUUGUUGGCCGGCUUAGGGCUCACUCUCUUGGCAUUCUAACAUACUUGACAUCCUUGUGAGCCUAAGCAAACUCCUCCCACUCAUCUCCUUCAUAGAUUAUUCAUCUUUGUGAGAUUGGGAGUGAUUCCAAGUGCAUUUGCUUGAGUGAUUGCAUCUAGUGGCACUUGGGGAUCGAUUUGGCUGUGGUUUUCUUGUUACUCUUGGUGGUUGCCGCCACCUAGACGGCUUGGAGCAGCGGAGGAGCAUUGGCACGAGUUGGUGAUUGUUUGUGGCCAUCUCCCGUGAUUGUGAGGGGUCUUGUACCUUCCCCGGCGGAGAGCUGAAAGGUAACUCUAGUGUAUUGCUCGUGUCAUUGAGCUACCUCACUUGUGGGUAGGUUCUUGUGGUGUCCUAGUGAGGACGAGGUUCGUGCUACACCUCUUAGCCACCGAACCACCAAGUGUUGGUCAACACAAUGGGGACGUAGCGUGCCGGCAAGCACGUGAACCUCGGGAGAAAAAUUGGUGUCUCCAUUGUGUUUGAUUGGCAUUCUCCCUAUGCUUGAUUGUUUAUAUUGGUGAUUGGUUCAUCCCCUACUUGGUGGUAUAAAUAUCUCAUCCUCUCUUUUACAUUCUCGCAAACUAGAGUAGCUUACUUACUUGUAUAGAAACUUUAGUUAGCUUUCUAGUGUAAGUAGUGACAUAGCUCUUGUGUGUCUAGUGAUUAUAUCAACUAGAAUUGUGGGAUAGGUGGCUUGCAAACACCCCUUUAGAGCUAGAGCAAAAAGCUUCGCUUUGUUUUUUACUAACCUUUUGCUCUAGUGUGUUUGUAGAAUUCACCCCCCUCUAGCCAUAUUAGGACCUUUCAGUGUCAUCUGUCAUCCAAUGCACCUCAUCAUUAUCUCUAUUCUAGAAAUAUGUAGCCUGAAACUGAGCAAGAAUAUCUCUAUUCCAGUUAUACUGAAAGGUCAUAAUACUAGAGAGCUCAAAUUUGUCACACACUUUGAUUGCCACAUCAAAAUCAGGUUCUUCUUUUGCUUGCAUAGCAUCAAAAUCAAUGAAGUGCAUCUCACAUAUCUUUCCUUUCCUAGCUGGUAGAAUAGCAGUGGCAUAGAGAUUUGAAUGAAAAACAUUCCAAAAGCGAUAAUCAACACCACUUAUCUUGCUGUGAGCGUAGGGAUCCAUCUCUCUUGCUUCCUCUACAGCUUUCCAGCUAGUUGCAUAAUUAACCAUUAGAUGGUCCAUAGUAUCAUGCGGGGCUUUUAGUUCGAACUCAUCAGUGUUGUCCCUCAUAUAACUAUCAUCAAACUCAACAAUAUGCAGAGGGGUGGUAGGACAACCUCUAGGAUGAAUGGUAUACCCAGCCUGCUGCAGCAUCUCCUCUUGCUGUAUGUACUGUUGUCUCGCUGCACGAUCAUUUCCAAAGAAAACUACUUCCAUUAUUUGGGUCUGACCCUCCCUAACUUACUACCACUUUCACUGAGAAACACUCACCAGACGCAGUGCGCAGAGGCACCGGACGCUGACAUUUAGGGUCCGGUGUGCUGUCAGUGCUUGGCCCUGUUAGGGUUGAGCACCGGACGCAGAGUGUUCCUUGUUCAUGCGUCCGGUGUGGACUGUCUUCAGUAGGGGGUUUCUGACUGAGAGCAACGGACGCUCAAGGUGCGUCCGGUGGUGUGAGUCCGGUGUGCAGGCGGUUUGCAACCCUCUCUGCGCAUGGGUCCGGUGAGCACUCUGAGUCCGGUGAGGUCGUGUGUUUGCAGAACUCUCUGCGCACGUGACCGGUGAGCCGGACGCGUCCGGUGCUCACUUGGUCACGUCCGAUGGUCUGCAGGUGACCGUUAGAGUUUGACGCGUGAGAUUUGAAGGUGGACACGUGGCUAACUCCAGAGCACCAGACGCAGGGGGUCGAGCGUCCGGUGGCUCUCUGCUAAGCGUCUGGUGCCCCCAAUUUCAGCCCAGUGACAGAGCCAACGACUCUAUCUCUUUGAGGGGCUUAUAAAUCGGAGGUGGCCGGCUUUAGGAGGUUGGCUCUUGUACAUUUGAUUACUUGAGACAUACAUUGAGCUAGAGAACACUCCCUCCACUCAUCUCCUUGCUUGAUUGCUAAUCCUAGUGAGAUUGAGUGAGAUUCAAGUGCAUUGCUUUGAGAGUUGCAUCUAGUGGAACUUGAUCUUUGAGUUUGCUGUGGAUUUCUUGUUACUCUUGGGUGUUUCUCGAUGCCCUAGACGGCUUGGAGCAGCGGUGGUGUUGAGCUCGUGAUUGGAGAUUGUUUCGAGCCUCACCAAAUAAUUUGUGAGGGGUUCUUGAGCCUUCCCAGCGGGAGAUCGCAAAUUGGUUACUCUAGUGGAUUGCUCGUGGCUUGGAGGAUUCCCAUCUUGUGAGUGGAUGUGCGGCACCCGCUGAGGGUUUGGCUUUAGAUUGCCAAUUAGCUCGUGAUCCAUCAAGUGGGUGUAUCACCACAACGUGGAGUAGCUUGCCGGGAAGCAAGUGAACCUCGGUAAAAAAUCUUGUGUCAUCUCUUGCCGAGGUCUCUCUUGUGAUUGUGUAUGUGAUUGAUUGGAUAUAUCUCUUUUCUACAACGUCGGUAUAACAAUCACUCUCUUCUCUUUACAUACUUGCCUACCUUGUUAGUUGUUUAGCUUGUGUAGCUUAGUCCUUGUUUAGAGUAGAGUUGUUGUGUAGCCUUCUCUAGUUGUUGUGGUUUAGUGUUUAGCCUUCUUGUUAGACUUGUGUAGGUGGCUUGCAUAAAUUAGUUGUGCUAGUGCUAAUAGCUUCGUCACUUAUUUUACUAACUCCCUUGUUUAGUAAAAUUUGUAGAAAAUUUAAAUAGGCUAUUCACCCCCUCCUCCUCCUCUUUAGCCAUUUGGACCUUUCAAGUAUGAUGUUGUUUUUCUAGAAGCUGUUGUUUUCACGUAGCACAAUUUUUACACAGUAUCUUAAAAAACCUAUUUUUUGGCUUUUAAUACAAUGAAACGCAAGUUUUUUACGUAGUUUUUCAAGAGAAAAAAAAAGAAGAUAUAUUGCUAGAAAGUUGUGCGCUAGAAAGUUGUGUUUGAUGUUCGAGAGCUUCCAGUUUUUCCAAGGACAAAGGAGCUCAUCCUUGUAUUGUACUAGAACAUCAGGCGCCCUUCGGGCACCCUACAAUGAUAUUAAAACAGAAGCUAUUAUCCAUGUCCAAUGACUAUUGCUUUUAUAAUUAGAUGGUAACACUAAAAUUCAAAUACAAUCAUUUUAUAUAUACAAUCAUUGCCAUCGGCAUCUAAUUAAGAUUUGGCAUAUGGAACCAAUCAAAGCAGAGUACAAAUUAUGAAGCAAUCACAUAUCUUCAAUGUACUGAUAGUGCAAAUAGCAUGGUUUGUAUGUCCAUAUCAGUCGCCCAUAUGUUUCUAUUUAGCCACACCAUUGAUUAAGAAUGCAACCGUCCUCUAUUGAUUUGGUAUCUUUGCCUGCUCUAUAAAUGGAAAAGGGUGUUAGAGACACACUCAAACACGAAGUGGAUCAGAGUACAACAUAACAAGGAAACUAUGACAUUCCCAUUUUAUUCAACCAUGUUAACCUUAGUUAAUUUAUCAGCUAAAGAUGCAUGGUAAAACAUCAACAAUGGACACAAAAGGACUUCAAGUCAUCAACCACAGCUAACUCAAUAUUGGUGCAGAAACAUCAAACUAAAAUCAACCAAUCAGAACUUUAUAUCAAAGUUGUGCAACUAAAUGGAGGUCAAUGCUAAUGUUUGUAACCAUACCUAUAUCCCAGCCAUUUUGCAACUUUUAAAGAAAAGGUGCUGCCAAAAAUAUACUCAAUAUCUAUUCCUUGAAAAACAAUACUAAUAUCAGUAUUCUUAAAACCUUGAUAAUAAUUAAGACAAAAUCAAAUAUAUUAGUUACAUUCACACACUGUUACUUUCAUGGAGACACUUACUCAAGACCAUCACUACUUGCUUUACUCUAAAUUUGGGAGUCCCUUGCAACUGGCAAGAAUUACCACUACCACCACCAUGGUGAUGGGUAAAAGUAAAACAUCGUGAAUUGGUAUUAACCUACUCUGAAUAUUCGAAUUUCUGAUAUAGCUGUAAAGAGUCUGUUUUAAAAUUACAUAACUCAACAGCUAAAGUAUCAGUGGGAAUUUACUGAAAGGACAUCAUGAGUGUGUUUGGUUUGUAGCCCCAGGUAGCCUGGAUAGCCCAAUGUAGCCAGGCCAGCCCUAACCUGCCCCCAGGUAGCCAGGACGGGGUUGUUUGGUUGCUAGGCUCUCACUGGCCUGGUUUGUAUGUUGAAGUGUUUGGUUUGAUGUAAUUCUACUUGGCUAGCCUAGUGUAGCCGACUUAUGGGUGUUUGGUUGCUGGCGAUCUUGUUUGGUGGCUUCACCCAAAGAGUGAACCGGUAGCCUUACCCCUUCCCUUGCUUCGCUGUAAUAAAAAGUCGACAUCACAAUAUUUAAGCUUGGAUCAGACUAAUCUGCGGAAUGCAGAUUUCCGAUAAACAAACACAAUGCAUUCAACUGGAUGGAUAUAAAUCUUCAUCAUGAAGACUCGUGAAAGCAAGCCUGUUCUCAAAGUUCUCUUUUCAGCGAACUGAAUAAUCUUCAGUCAUAUGCAGAUGGAAACCUUCCGGUGUUGAAAGCUUGAAGAGCACAAUGGGGGCAUAAAAUUAGAUACUCAUCGAUUGUUAACAGAGCUUAUUGAAGCUUAGUUCAGACUAGUCUGUGGACCGCAGAAUUCUAGCAAUCAAAUGCAGUGAAUUCAAAUGGAAUACAUCUUCCAUCAUAUACAGAUAUCAGAUGGAAACCUUCCAGUGUAAAUUCCAGUGUAAAUGCAGUAAAUUCAAAUGGAAUACGUCUUCCAUCAUAUCCUAUACUCCUGUCAAGUUUAUCACUCAUUAUAACUAAUUUGAUUAAAGUAGAGGAAGAAGGAAAGUGACAUGUAAAUUCCUACACUUGUUUCAUAGAGCUAUAUUAUGUGGAGCAACAUCACAAAGUGGCGAUAGCUACUUCAUGGAGCAAGUGCAUUAUGGACAUUGGUCCCAAAUCAUGGAGCAAGUUCAAGGACUAAAGAAUAAACUUACAUCAGCCAAUAAAAAAUAAAGCAAGUUUAGAAUGAGGGGGACAAAUGCGGCGUAACAAAUUUGUUUAACAAAACACACCAACAUUUGCUAGCCUAGGCAGAGGCAGCUAGCCUAGUGUGCAUGUCUCUGCAUUAUCAUGCACUUUGCCCUUUUAAUUCCACAAAGUAGCUUGGCAAAGGAAGGGUUGUCCUUAACUAUACUCCAGUUAGCAGCAGCACUCAUGGUUAGCGCCAUGCUAAGCCUGACACCCAAAAAAGUGCAGGAUAAAAAUAUGUUUCAUGUUAUAUUUACCUAUAGUAAUUUUUAUGUCACAAAUAUUAGUAUUUUUCCUAUAAAGUCCUCAAAAAAGUAUAGCAUAAAUAUAUUUCAUGUUAUAUCUAACUAUGUUAAUUGUGUCAUACAUAUUACUCUUUUUCCCCCUGUAUAGAACUUAAAAGAAAACUUAGUCUUUUUUCCCUGAAUAGAACUUAAAAGAAAACUUAGGGCAGCCGAUGGAGGGAGUCAUAGGAUAAAUACAUAUUUAGGCUUCACAGUCCACACACUAUCAACAUAAAUGAGAACUCCAGAUCUAAAUUAAUACUUUUACCAGCUGGAACAGGAGGCUGGACGGAGAGGCGGAGAGUUGGCGAACUAACCCAUGGCCUCCACCUGGAUUCCCAAACAAAACAAAAUUAGCGCUCGGAACACAGAAGUUAGAUCCCAACAGAAGCAGAUGACAUUACCAGCACGAUGGGCCCGUUCCACUGCACGAGUAGCUAGAUCUACAACAGACAUGGUUGGAUCUCCUGGAUCUGACUGCAGAGCGGUUGGGUCUGCUUUGAUCCAGUGAGGCGUGCAUCGUGGAAGAUACAACAUGUUGGAGCAGCCAUGGCCACCAUGCUCGCCUUGGAGGUGGAGGGGCCUGGAGUUCCUGGCCGCCGCCGCCGCUGCUCCCAACAUGGAGGCCUCAUGCGCUGCACCGCUGACUCCUAGUGACAUAGUGGAUGGAGGAGCCCACCGACCCCUCCCCUUGGAGCACUUUUCCAUGAGAUGAUGGGCUCCUUUCCUAGAAAUGGUGGCAGCUUGAGGGAGCGGUGACGAAAGGUGGAGACCUCGGAGGCAAGCUAGCGGACGACGAAUCUCGCACUUGCGUCGCCACUCGCCACCAAAGCACCGCUCGCCGCGUCAUGUGGGUGAACCAUUAUGGUGAGCACGGAAGUGCGGCGGAGGUGGGAGGAAGAGAGAGAGAGAGAGAGAGAGAGAGAGAGAGAGAGAGAGAGAGGAUUGGGGAGGGGCUUGGCGGCUGUGAGAAGAGAGAGGAAUGAGGGAGAGGGAUAGGGUUCAGGCCUUCAGGGCGAGUAGAGGGGGCUCUCUGUAAAGUGCCUUGAGGGGGUCGUUCGACAAAAAAGCCCCAAAUGUAGAUACUGCUUUGGUCUGAGGAAGUUGAGUGCGGGUUGGUUCUAAAGAAUUUGGAGGUUCUUUCUGCAAUAUGAGUUGAGACAGAUGUCGAGCCAAGAAGAGGACACCAAGGCUUCGAUUCAUCUGGUGCGAGCAAAAGGCAGCAGUCUUUAAUUAACCCCGAUUAUCCCUUCGGGGGGGGCCGUUUAUGCUGGUCCUCCCUACUCCAUGGCACAGCGGCAGGCAACUUGUCCCCUUGCUCCACCUCACGUUGCCACUCCUGGGCUUCUCACACAACAAGCCUCCAGGCCCGGAGACGCGGAGGCCCAGAAGCAUUUCAGCCGCCCAUCACAAGCACAACUCCACAGCAAGUCCGCUCUGCUGCUCCUCCUUUCUCCCCCUAUCUUGUCCGCUACCCCAGCGGUUGGGUCGUGCCGUGCGUGUCCCCACCUCGCCACCAUCGUUUCUGCUCCACCUUCAGCCAAUCCCAGCCGCGCCCAACCAUGGCGGCAACGGCUCUGCUCCUUCCCAGCCUCGCCGCGGCGGCGCCCACGCCCACGCAGCAGCUCCGGCUCCGGCUCCGGCGCGGCUCCCUCGCCUGUUGCUCUCGGUCCGUCCGGCCUCCGCGGCGGCGGCUCGCGGUGUCGGCCGUGCAAGAGACGAAGGACGGGGAGGCGAAGACGGCCGAGGAGAUCACCGAGAAGUACGGGCUCGAGUUCGGCCUCUGGAAAGUAAGCGGGGGACAGUACCGACGCAGGCGGCACUCACCCACCCCUUUCAUCAGGUUUCAUCCUCACCAGCCACAUGUGAGCUGAGCGAGCUGCGUCGUGUCGCGCUCUCUCCAUGGCUGCACUGCAGGUGUUCAGCUCCAAGGACGACGAGGAAGGAGGCGGCGAGCGGAAGAAGUCGCGGACGGACCAGGCCAAGGAGCUCCUGGCAAAGUACGGCGGCGCGUACCUGGCCACCUCCAUCUCCCUCUCCAUCGUCUCCUUCACCCUCUGCUACCUCCUCAUCAGCGCCGGCGUCGACGUGCAGGACCUGCUCGCCAAGGUGAGAGAGAGCUGCUUUGAUACCUCAAGCCACCACCCGAACUGUGCAAUCGCCUCGCCAGCGGUGUGUGCCCUCCGGCUGGCCAUGGAUGGUCAUUUGUGCGUUGCAUUGCAGGUCGGGAUCGUGACAGGGGAGACGGGAGGGAAGGUCGGGACCUUCGCGUUGGCCUACGCCGCGCACAAGGCCGCGUCGCCGAUCAGGUUCCCGCCGACGGUGGCGCUGACGCCGGUGGUGGCCAGCUGGAUUGGCAAGAUCAGGAAGGGCGGCGACUGAGCGAUGCGCACGCACCACCACUCAAAAGUACAGCUCUCACUGAUGAAUCAAUCAUGUAGUCUAUGCAAAUAGCUAUACAUAUAGGUGUUCUACUACUAGUAGGCGAUGCCAGUGAAUCUAUCUGGUGCUGCUUUUGCAAAAGCUGUUCAAUAACGAUUUUGAACUAGCAGUAAUAAUGAAUGACGAAUGGAGAGUUUUUAAACUAGAAGCUGACAAUGCACUUGCUUCAGAGUUUAGCGAUGAGGUUUACAGUUUUCAGCAUGGGAUUUGCUGAAGAUGCUUGACAUUACUUACUUGCUACACAUCUAGGCAGCCUAGGCAUAGUAUGUACACAAAAAUUGUGGCGCCGUCCAAAGGCAGAAUCAGGUGGGCAUAACACAUAAGCCUGACCCCCUACAAGUUGGAGGCAUGCACCUCUGUAACCAGCGGUUCAGUUUAUACGCCUGAUUGCCGCAUUGUUCUGCAUCCAUGCCACUGAUACACAUUUGCUGUAUAAGCCACCAAAUGUGUGACAGCAACCACAGCAAAAGGCCUAUCUCACCAGGCAUAGCUCAACGGCUGUAUCCUGCCUUCCACACGGAGAAAGGACGUGUGACGUGGUAGAAACCACCCCUCCCAGGAGUCUCAAAAGGAGCAUUGCCAUCCAAAAUGAGCUCAGUUCGUUCCAAAACAUCCAGCGUAGUAAUACCUUGGUUAGAGCCCACAGCUGUACGUACACCAAUUGCAGCUGGCUACUGCUCGAGUGUCUCUGGUGAGCUCACCACUUCAGCUAAGAAAUCAUUGGGGUCUAUCUCAUCCAACUGCAUUUCUGUUAUUUACCAUGUUAAGUAAUACUUCAAUUCAGGAACUGCAAGUACCUAUGGAUUUAUUGUAGAUGACAUUUAAACAAGACCUCAUUAAUACUAGUAUUAAAAAAAAAGGAUACCCUCUGUUCUCCACAUAUCAGUGAUGCUAACAUCAUAGUCUGUAAGCAGCAAGUAGUCUGCUCCACUCUGCAAAAGUGUAGUAGGAUCAUGAAUAGCUAAGUAUACUAUUUGCUUUGAUCUUUUCAAGCAGAAAAGAUACAGCAAGUAGGGGCAAACCCAAUGUAUUUUCACAAGUAAAAAAUGAUGCAAUUACAGGGAUAAAAAGAAAUCAAGAUGCAACUUACGAGUAAGUAUGCAAUGUACUAAUGUAGAACUGGAGUUCAGAAUUGUGUAAUUCUUCUAUAAGUCAUAAGGCUCGAUGUUCUUAGUUAACUGAUAUGAUUAUGGAAUGCAUCACCUUCACCUUGUAUAAAUAUUAUAUAUAGUAUAAAAAAGGGUAGACUUCAUAAGUUCAGAUCUAACUUACGUCAACAUCUGAAGGAUUAAUCCUCCUCAGCACUCCUUCAGAAUGACAUGGGGGAUUUAGAUCUGGAGUUUUCUGAGUCUUCUGAGCCUUAAGCGCCACCUCCUCCUUUCUACUCCUUUCCCAAGCUCUUUUUGCACUGGGGCGUUCUAUGGAGCCAUGCUUCGCCACAUCUGUGUGCCCUGCUGGUUCUGCAGCAUCACCCAGCUUUCCCUCCAUUUUUUCUUCAGUUUUACUAACAAUAUAGUAAGGAUGUAUGUCAGAUAACUUACUUUUUCAGGCACCAGCUUCAAGAGAAGAUUCAAGCAUUACCUAACCAAGUAAAGAUCAAUUGGACCCAUUGUACUCCGUAUUACUAGUCUAUAUCUCCUUUGAAGGCUAUCGCCAAUCAUCUUAUGAAAUAAAUGAGAUAAAGUUAUGAAACAGUUAAUGAUAACUAGACAUGCAGCACAUUGUAUAUGGAGUUAUGGACUGGUUAUUGUUUUCCUGGUUACUUACCACAUCAGGAUUGGGCACUUCCAAAGAAGACCCUUGAGGUGCUUUUAUUGCAAUUAGUGUUUGGUUCUGCAGAAUGAAAAAGGAUAUAUGAGUUCACAGCAGAAUUAACUAUGCUUAGUUAUGCUUGGUAUUAAGGAAUAAGGAUAGCCUGAAUAGUCAAACAUAAGAUGAAAUUUACUCUGAAUAGUCAGAAAUAACAAAUAAUAUGAAACAUUUCUUUUGAAAGGGAAUAAAUUAAUAUCCCAGCUUCUGCAUCGACUAAUGCAUAUGGCCGUUCAUUAUUACAAGCAAGCGUAAAAAAGCCCAGGGAAUCUCAAGAACAAAGUUUUGAGCCAUAAAGACAAUAAAGACGACAAAGUUUUCAGAAGGAAAAACUAAAGAGCGAUUCUGUUGCUAAAUCUCCAGACGUGUAAGGCAAUAACUCGGAAUUCUUUAAACAUGUAAGCGAACCUGAAAGCAGCGCACCCCCAUGAUGUCAUCUUCAGUAUGAAAUAGCCACCUAAACAGGAAUAAUAGACAUGAUUAAAAAGUAAAUCAGUGACUGUGGUAUGCAAGCAUCUUGACACAAAUUAAUAUGAUUACCCCUUGUUGCUUUCAUCUUCAGUUAAGUCCUUCAGCUUUUCCUGUAUUUUACUGCAAGGAGAAAUACUUUUAGACUGUAUCACCAUUCUCAUAUUGAGAACUGAGUCAAUAGUUUUGCAACCUCCAGCGGUUACCAACCUUAUAUGUUCAUCUAAUGCUUGCUCCUGUAGAUUAAGAUUUCCAAAAUCUGUCUGCAAGGAGAUUACAGCAAGUGGAACUUAGACUUGGCGUAUCAUGUCUAGGUACAGGGACAUUUACCAUGAGUUUGAUAAUAUGGACAUGAUUACAUGAAACAGAAAGAGCAAAAAUAAGUACCUUCAGAACUGAAAGAUCAUCAUCCAAGUUAGGUCCCAAUUUAUCCAAACCCCUGUAAAAUCAUAAGGUUAGCAUGUUGCACCAUAUAACCAUAACUUGUAAGCAUAGAAUACAAUGCUCACUUCCAACAGAUUCUGUUCUUCAACUUCUUUUCUAUCAGACCACUUCCUUCAAGGACAUUUGUAAUGUCAUAAAUGCGCCUCUUUUUAACCUGAGUUUUCAUAGUCACGCAGAAGCUUGCAUCAAGACUCAAGAGAAACAAAGAGAAAUGCCAGCUUAAAUGAGGAAAAGUUCCAUACACCUAACGUCUUUGCUGUGCUGUUCAAAUCUAAAAUUCCAUCUUCAGCCUCCUUGAGCAGAUUGAUGAACUUUUUUGUCAACAGUGCUGGAUAAAUAUCACAUGUUCACAUAAAUAGGUGUCAGCAAAAGAAUUUAUAUGAAACAAGACAAUAGUAAAAAUAAUUCAUAUGAAGCAAUGUAACCAGAAUGGAAUAUCUAAUGAACACCGUAUGGAGUAUUGUAAAAGUCAAUUUAUCAUAUGAGAGUGCUAAAAAUCACCUAAUGAACUGUCAUAGCGACAAGUACCAGCAGGAGUAGGUGGGUUGCCAGGUGAACCUGCUACAACACAAAGGUACUAUGCAUUUAACUAUCAGACAGACAGAACAAAUACAUAAGAGGAAGUUGAAAGAACAAACUAUGUUGAUGUAACCAGAACCAGAUCAACGAAUUUAUACUUGCCAGCAUUUAAUGUGGGUGUCUGAGGUCCAGCUUUGGUGUAUUCAGACUUUGAUGACUUGUAUUUCCUAGCAGUAUUUCCAGAAAUUGGGGUCAUUCGUGGACUGCCAACUCCUUGAAUGAACCCAGAACUGGCCAUACUCAAUCCGGUUGACUCAGCAGUAUCACAUUCUCCAUAGGGAGCUUUUCUUUUUAUCUGGACAUAAAAGGAGGAAAUGUAUUAGUGGCGACUUACAGUUGAUAUAUCCACAAGUGGUAGACUGCAGCAUGUGCUAAACCCUGAAAAAACUGCAAUAAAUGUAGAAGUGCCAUGACACAUAUUUGAGAUGCUAAUUAGAGGCUACAGAGAUCUUUUGUCUCAACCAUAAAGAUCUAUUAGAAAAUAAAAAUGCGGUACACAAUAUCACAAUAGAGUAUUCUGUAAUAAAAUUACAGUGCAGUCCCUGAUCCUAACGAAACUUUGCGUAAGUUAUAUCAGCAUCAGGAAUACAUGCUUAGAUUAUACAGACAGUAUCCUGACAGUGGCUACCCGCUGAUCCUAAGGUACAGAUCCUUCUCAGAAAUUUCAGAAUAUGUAUAAAUGCUAACAUGACUAUAUUUGUGGAGUUUCAACAUAAAAGUUCUGCUAAUCAUCCAAGAGCUGCACGUUCUACAUCAAUUCGGUACUAAAACCUUUAAUUAGAAACACGCAAAUGCUCCAAGGUGGCCUGCUCUGUUGCAUCAAAUAAAACUGGUGACACUACAAACCAGCAUCCAGGAUGUUUUUAGAUAAGAGAAUAAAUCAUAUAUUCAACUCUCUAAGUCUAAGAUGCACAUGAACAUAACCCAGUAUUCGAGAUGACAAGCUGAAGCUUUAGUUUGUCGAAUCCAGCACAAGGCAAUGCAGCUUGUAGAAACAAAAUAAGUGGAUAAACAGGAUAACAAAAUAGAAGCGGCUGAAUUGAGACCUUUCUUCCUGCGUCAUGCUUGCAACUAAGCUAAACAACAGUGAGCACAUAUCUGAAAUUAGCACGAAACGCAGUAAUCUAAACUGGUCCGACAGGCACCCAAUCCUGCUCUCAAAGCAGCUCUGAAGCAACUUGCAAUCAACCAUGUAGGAUUUGGUAACAUAGCGUGUAGUAUUAGCCAUGAAAACCAAAAAAACCCGAAACCUCAAAACUCACAGCAGACCAGGAAACCACAUUUUCUCACUGGCACCGGAUACCAGACGGCCGAUAGGCCAAGUGCUUCCCAUGCGUGAAAGCUUCACAGCCGCUGUAAUUCCAUUUGUUUUUCAACUUCUCACAAAUUGUUGGGCUACAAGCAGCGCACAAUUGGAUGCAUUUCCGGUAAAUAAAGGUCAAUCCCCCCGCAAAACCCCAAAAAAAUCCGGAACCAAGCCCCGAAAAAACAGCAAGCAAAUACGUACACUGAAGACUAAGCACCAACUCACCGGCGUCCUGAUGACGAUACCCUCAUCAAAUUCUUCGCGACCGCCGGGGGUCGCUGCCGCUGCCGCUGCAGCAGCAGGUGACGGCGACGGCCGGGGGAACUGGUGAUAGUCGCCGAGAGCAGCGCCGAAGGGCGGACGCUCCAGAGAGAGCCGUCCGCAUCGCUGUAGCGACUUCACGAUCUGCCGCGCGGCGGCCGCCGGCCGGGCGCCUUCCGACAUGGUCUCCUCCGGGCUCCGGCGGAGGGAGCGGCGGCGCGUGCAAAGGUACCGUGAAUACGUGACCACCUUGCGCGGAGAUGCGCCGGGUCACGAUCGUCCCGCCGGGGAUCGCCGGGAAAGCGUACGCCUGGCUUGAGGUAGGGUUCCGGCGAGGCGGCGGUGGAGGUGGGCAGUUCGGGGUGGGGAUGUGGGGUUGGCGGCGAAUGGAGAAGGGCGAGGGGUUAAUUAAAGGAGUGGGGGAAAAGCGCGAGGAGAGAAGACGGCGACGGAAAUUAACAGGGCCGUUUGCGUUUUCGCGGCUUCGGAUGGCGCGCAGGGGAUGGUUAGCGACGCUUUAAUUUGACUGAGGCGUCAUUAGAUGCGAAAGUCCCGGAAUUUUUUUUCAUUUUUAAUCUUUUAUUCAAUGUUUUCAUAAUAAUCGCUUCUGAAAAUAAUUUACAGAUCUAACCUUUUUGUCGCGUCAGUGACAUGACCAAAUAAUGUUGUCGAGCCACAGGUAUUGGCGAGGUAAUACAGUGUAUUAGACGACGUUUUCGAUGUAUAUUGUUCUUAUCGUUGUAUAUUGUUCUUAUCACGUCACCGAAAACACAAAACCUUUAAAAAUCAUAAAUUUUGAUAUGACGUUGAAUGAAUAUGAAAUUUAUAUAAAAUUAUAGCUCUUGAUGAGACAUCAACAUAUAACUCUGGAAUACCCUAUAUAUAUUGAUAAACUGAUUUUCAUACUCAUACUGUAGAUAGCUCUAAAUCUCAAAACCAAACUUGUAUGAUGUUUUGUAUGGAUGACCGCAUAAGUAAACACUCAGCAAAAGACCUAGGAAUGAUGCCCAACGAACAACGGCCAACAUUCAUGCAGACGAGUUGAGAAAAUUCUUCUUUUUGUGUCUUCCUUUUUCUUUCUGCCACAAAAAGUGAUGUGAAACUUAUUCUUCUCAGUCCUUCAUCAUAGUCAUAUUUAACCACAACAAAAUAGAUAAGAGAUAUGAGAAAAUUAUUCCAUGACAACAACAUCAUCUUCGCCUUGAUGUCACCGUCCGAAAGAAAAGUCUUCAUGUUACCAUAUCGGUGAAGUUGGUUACCCUAUAGUUACCGUCCUCGUCUUCAAAAGCAGCCACCACAGAGAUUAUGGAUAUGGAAACAUUCAUCGAGCAUGGAUGGUUGUAGUUAAAAAGGCUUAGCAUUUAAUCAAUUAUCCCUUUGUUUUGUUUCGCUUUUUUUAGAGCUAUAAAACAGCAAGAGGCUAGAACUAUAGUAGGAAUUGGUUUAUAAUGCAAAACUCUCACAGAGACCCAAAGAAAAUUAUGUUUAAGUUUCUAAGGAUUCAGAUCCGCACCUAUAUCUAACAAAGUUAUGGUAAAUCAUGACGUCCAGAUCAAAAUUCAUCUGUGUCUCAUCCAUUUCAACCUAUCUACCUGGUCAAAUCAUGGAUUCUACGCUGAGCUUCACGAAGAGAAGGGGCAUGUUUAGUUGCUAGCCUGGUAUCCAAAUGCUUACAAGGUAAUGAAUUCUGACUAUUGACACUCAAACCUUAGAUUGCUGCCUGACCAGAUCAACCAGCCUAGGCAAGCGACCAAAUAAGCCCUGGAUACAGGCAUGGGCUCUUGCAACCUUAUCCACAUUGGGCAGAUGAAAGCUCUGGCUAGCUUAGGACCAGGCCUAUCUCAAGCUAGUAACUGAAUGAGAAGUUCCUCAUGAGGAAAUUUUUUCUGACCUCCCUCAACUAUUUAUGGUCCAAUUUACCUCAUUGAACUAAGAAAGCCGGAUGUUUUGGCUCUCUCAACUAUUGACAAUUGUUGUUUUUUUCUCUUGGAUAGUUUUUAAGGCAGUUUAGUUUGAUAUGACACCACGUCACACAUCCUAUGUGACACCACAUCAACGACAAAGGAGGUACACCUGACUAUAUCGAUAGUUUAAGGGUGUCAAAUAGAAUUUUAAAGAAGUUGCAAAAAAUAAUCUUCAAUAUAAGGCAUUUAAAAUCCUAAAUUUUGAUUUAAUCUUAUAAAGUUCACAGAAAUUUAUUUUAGCUUAGAAAAAUAUGAAACUAUUUUUUUAGACAUUUUCUAAAACUAUGCUCUAUAUUAUGGUGCAUGGAUUAAAAUUAUUUGGAUCUUAUAUAGUCUUUUUUUAUUUAUAUGGGUGCGUUUAGUUUGAGAGUGAAGUUAGAUGGGAUAUGACGAUCCAUGGAUAUUGAAAUAAGGAUAUCCAUGAUGCAUAUUUGGUUGGAUGACCCGUUUUUCUGUUUGGUUGGAUUGAUGAAAGUGAAUGAGAUGAGAAUAUAUUAAUUGGCACCACUAAUAACCUACACAAAAUAUACACUAGUCAACUAUUAGCACUUAUCAAAACUAAUCAUACCAUGAUAAUUACUAAGUAAUAAUAUAACAUACUAAUAAUCAUUAAUCUAUACCUAAUGACAAAGAUUAGAACUCAUGGAUAUAAACUGGUUCACGAGAUUUUUAUUUACGAAUUCGGAAAUCCAACAUCUUGUGGUAUAUUCCCGAUCCAGGGAUUUCCUUAUCCCAAUGAUCCACCAAACUAAGCACUUCUAUUGAUAUCCAACCAACCAAACGCACCUAGGUUUAUAUCAGUGUAUUGUAGCGGAAAGAAAUAAGAUCAUGAUAAUUUAAGUUUGCACCCAUAAAAGGUUAUGAGUAAGAUUUUCGUAACAGUCUAUCCACAGGGAUCGAGUUUUAUUUGUAGCCAAUUAAUAUUUUCUACCUGGUUAAUUGAUUGGUUUGGGUAAAGCCCAAUUAGGUUCCCCCGUGGGCUGGUAGAGCCUGAUUAGGCACCCUUGCGUCCUUGGCCUUUCUACCCUUCUUUUUUUUCACGUUUUCUUUUUUUAAAAAAUCUCUAGACUCAUUAACUAGCAUUGUUACAACAUUUUCAUUACUUAGCAUUAUUUCUUACUGCUAUACAGGGUCGUUUGGUGUGGCAGAAGCAUUUUUUAUCACCUUCGAAAAAGCUCAGUGUAGUACUGACCUGUAACACCCUAGGUGUUAAGCAAGCACUUAGUCUCAUCAAAGUCAUGCAUAAGCACUCUCAUCAAUCAUAAGCAUCAUGAGCAUGUCAUUCUUCUAAGAAUAUGAUUUCAUGUGCGUCAUUUCAUAAGUUUUAAAUAUGUUAAAAAUGUGGUGCUUGCUUCAAAAAUUGUGAAAUAUUCAAACUAGGUUGGUUUAUGUGUAAGAAGAAUUAAGAACAUUUUUGUGCAAUUUUUGGAGCUAUGGAAAUUGAGAAAUGGAAUUUAUACAAAAUAUCCAAAAUAACUUCAUUUAAAAACCUAGAACUAAGUUUUAAUUUGUAAUUCAAAUUCUAUUUAGAAUUUGGUCUUACCUAUUAAAGCAAAGUUGUAGAGUUUUUAUUUUGGAACAACUUUGUUUUUGGGAGCAAGAGGUGAAAAUGCUUUUUGGCUGGUCCAAAUAAUUUUAGAAAGGAAUUUGGAAAAAAGAAUUUCAAAAAAAAAAAGAAAGGGGGAGCUGUUCACUGGUGGGCCGGCGCCAACCAACCGGCCCAGCCAGCGAAGCCAGCCCAGGCCGACCGCGCCGCGUCCGCCCCCUCCCCGCGCGCGCUCGGACACGGCCGCGCCGCGCGCGCCCGACCGCGUCAGGCCGACGGCGCCGCGUGGACGGCAUGCGCUGCUCGCCGGCGCCACGACCCCCCCCCCCUCCGCUGCGGACAGCGCCACCUCCCUCGCCAUUCUCUCCUCGACCCGGUGCGCGCCCCCUCGCUCUCUCUCGCGCUCUCCUGCCUCCUCUCCGCGCGCACCGUGCCGCCGCUCGCCAUUGGAGCUUCCCGAGCUCUGCUCGCCGUGUCCCCGGCACUCCGUCGCCUCUCAGCGCCUCCUUCCACCUCUCCGAGCUCCGCAUUCGUCUCCGCGUGCUCGGACGUAGUUUCUUCGCGCAGGUAAGCGGUUCUAGCGAGCCGAAUCGCUCGCCGGAGAGUCCGCGGCCUCGCCGGAGCUCUCCGCGGCGUCGGCAUCGCUGGUUUUCCCCCUCCCGAACCUCUCUUGCCUCGCUAGCGCGCGCAUUAUGGUCGUCGUGGCUCCCUGAGUCGCGAGAAGCCGCACUCGAGCGCUCUACCGGAGCAUGGUGGCCGGCACCGCUGCGGCAGCGCCGCCGGUCCGCCAUUGCCGGUGGCCAACUCGCUGUGCGGGGUUUCAGGGCGAGUAAAGGGGUGGGAUCGAGUCGCAAGAGGGAGGCGAACGUGUUGGUGCCGUUGGUUCCGGCCGAGAGGCAUCACCGGCGGCGAGCCGUCGUCGGGGAUCCUCUCCCCUCUCGGUGUCCUGGCCAGCGGGCCCGGCUGGCAGGCGGGUCCGCUCGUCAGCGGCCGCGGGUGCACUGGACCGGGUGCACCUAGCAGGUCUCGGGGUGGAUUUGUUUUGUUUUCAGAAAAAUAAUUUCCAGGAAAUGUUUUAAAUGUUCAAAAAUCCAUAUCUUGAUGAAUAUAGCUCCAAAAAUGGUGAAAUAAAUUUUGGUGUGUUCCUUACUUCCAGAUCUAUAGCCUAGUAUGAUUGCAUGUCAUGUUUGGAUAACUUUCCUGUAAGAAUAUAAUUAAUCCAUGUUUUUCCUAAACUUGGAAAAUGCAUAAUAAAUAAAAUAGGGUUCAGAAAAAUGUAAAACUUGUUUUGCUGGCUCUGCAUGUGUGUUUAAUCACUGAGAAAAUAUUGUUACAUAUUAUUUGGUGUAUAAAUGAAUUUAUGGUAAUUUAAAUGCUUGCAUGGCAGUGCUUUAUGAUUUUUAAUAAUUAAAUGGGUCAUGCAAUAAAUCUGGAAAAUUUUGUGGGUAUUUCUUAUGAUAUUAGAUAAAUUUUAAAAAUAUGAAAUCUGUUGUUUGACACCUAUGUCACAGUAGGGUGAUUAUACUUGCCUUAUCCAUUAAUAUUGUGAUUUUUAUGGCCCAAAAUGAGUAACCAAAAAUUAUGAAAAAUUUACAGUAGACUUUAUGAUUAACUAGUAGUCUCCUGUAAUUUUUUUCUGGAAUUUAUUGAUGAACAGAAUUGCAUGUGAUUUUUAAUGGGCUUAGAAAUGAAUAAAGAAAACUAUGAAUGGUUGUAUAUAUAGGUUGAAUGGAAUAAGUUGGGUUUGGUGUACCUUUGAAGCAUCAUGGAGGUUGCUGGUUGCAUUUGAAAAAUAAUUAUAGAAGAGAAUGUAAUAGAUGUUUGAUUCAAUUGUUUAUUCUUGGAUGAUGUUGACUACCUUGUAAUAAGCAUGACCAAGUGCAUUACCUAUGCAUCAUAACAUGACUCCUUUGGUACUCUCUCAUAUAAGCAUCCACUCGGGCAUCUCGCACUCCACUCAUGAGCAUAUAUGCAUCAUACAGGCUCGCAGGAGAACGAGGUGGGAACAGAGGAACCCGAGGAGCUUCAGGAGCAGGAACCUCCGGAAGCACAGGAACCCGGAGAGGAACUGCAGGAGUGUCCGGAUCACCGACCCAGCACGUUUGAGAAAGGCAAGCCCCGGAGCAUUCUAAGUCUCCCUAUUCUCGCUAACUUAUGUGAUGCACUAUACUUGUUCUACUACUGCAUUUAAGUGGUAGGAGUUGCCUGAUACCGUUGCUGCAUAUGUACUCCUUGUUAUCCCUACUCGUUUAUCUACCUUGUCCUAUGUAGAUAGGCGCGGAGUCUAUGCUUAGCUUGCUUAGUCCGGUAGAAGUCGGGUGAUGUCCUGUCACCUGCGAGAUAUAGGUGGAUACCUGCUUGAUUAAGCAGUGGUUGCUUGGGGAAAGAAAUAACCAAGUGUGGAAUGUAAUUGGAGACCGGGCAGGGUCUUAUGGUGGGUUGCCCAUAGUGCCCCUGCCUAUGUCGAUUAAGGACCGAUCGUUGACGGCCCUCUUGUCAUGUUGAACGCAUGCCCCACACUUAGCUGGAAGGAUAAGUCGUUCCGACCGCGAAGCCUGAACACUAUCCGGGCCGGGAAUCGAGCCGCCAUGCGCUGUAUUGGUGGUGGUUGAGGAGAACGACGAGGGCGCGGCGCGCAACCUUGGUAUACCUUGGAUACCUCGGUCGCCGGAACGGUCCUCGGGUACUGGCGGUGCCUGCCGAACCCGCGAAUUGGUCCUGGAUAGUGUAAUACGGUGAUCUGUAGCUCACUUGAUCAGUGAGUGUGGUUUGUGUGGGGAAUACCUCGCCAGCUGGUUAGAAAUCGAUUCGAAUCGCCAUCGCUCCUGGAUAGUGAGCACUUGACAUGAGCCCUGUCCUCGUAGUAAGGACUAUGGAACACUUGGGUUAUAAUGAAACGGGUUUAUGACUGCUAUGAUGAGGUACUAUCAUAGUCUCAUACUUGCUUGUAAUAGCACAGGAGCAAACCUAGAUAAUAGAUAAUGAUACUUUCAACUUGAGCAGAUUAAAAGAAGAAAAGAUUUAUGUAGGUUAGGGUAAUAAAACCUUGCGGUCUUUGCAAAAUGGUUGUCAGCUACCCCACUAAAUAGCCUUCAUGAUCCUUGAUGAGUCUUUAUUUUAAGUUUAUGACGGGUAAGUCUAGCUGAGUACCUUCUCGUACUCAGGGUUCUAUUCCCAUGUUGUUUUGCAGAUGGUCAAAUGUACUAUGGUUAUUGCAUCCUCUGUCUGUACCCAGCUAUGGGUGAUGACUAGACCAAGGGCGAUGGUCACUCCGUCUCUUCUUUUGCUUUUGUGGGAAUGACCGAACUAUGGCACUGUAUCAGACUUAUCGUGUGUGUUGUAAUUUCAAACUAUGAAGCUUCCGCUACUUGAAGAACUUGGUUUGUAAUAACUUUAAGCACUCCGAUGUAUUUUAUGAAUGUUGAAAUCUGGAUGUACUUGUGGAUGGCGACCGCUAAACUUAUUACGAUCUUGGCUGUUAUGCGAUGUGUGGUUUGAAAUCCUUCGAGAUUUCACGGACUACCGGGAUUAUAUGGGCUUAAGCGUGAUGGUUCGACUAUGCAAAUGGUCACUAUUAGGCUUAAUCUCUUAUAAUUUGGUCGGUUCUGUUACAGCUGGUAUCGGAGCAAGGUUUAGCGAGUUACUGUUCAUAAGUACGUUCUAAACAAAAGUCUAAACCAGUUUAAUGAAAGAUUUUAGUAAUUAAUAAAGAUCAAGGUGUUAAACUAAGUUUUGGAAAACUAUCUAGUGUGCCAUGGUCAUAUCCUUUAUGCCCAGUUAAGGACUCUAAGGUGGCUAGCUAAGUACUGACUUGGGGGUUAAUGCAUCAUAUUUUUAUUUCGUCGCUCAUACGGCGUGCAAUAGUAUGAGUGCCAUUCAUUUGAGUGGUAAUGUAUGGAUCAAUUCUUCCUCUACGCCAUGGUAAGUGGGAGUUGUGAGAGCAUGAUCGGAUACACUGCCGGUCUAGGGAAGUGUUGUCAGGUGCUGUGUCAUGCACACAUGUUGGUGUGUCUUGGGAACAGUACCGCAUGCUGGGAAUUCCGUCCUGAGAGGCGAUGCCGUCAAUAGGGCGAUGAUGUGAGUAGUGGCACGUCACAUGCAUGGACGGGUGUCUGUGUAUGUGAAGUGCAUGGUUUUAAAUUCUUGCUCUGCAUGAUCAUAUUGUGGGUGGGCUGAAAUGAGUUUUCUGCAGGUACACUAACCACGUUCUCGCUUAGAACGCUAGUUACGUUAUGAGAGAACGUUGUGUGCCACCGCAUAUACCGCUUAGUGUUAACCUUUGUUUCUAAGUUUGUGAGAUCGUAAGUUCGUGCAUGCAUCAUGUUCAUUUCAUAUCAUUGCUUACUUUCCCCCUUAAUUUAAUCUGUCCCAAUUCUAAAUAAAAUAAUUAAAGGUAAUCCUCGCUCUUACCCACGGUAUUCCAUUUGCAGCAGAUGGCACGCACUAGGCUCACCGCUCGCAAGUCCACUGGUAGGCGGGCCCCUCGCCAUCCGUUGGCAGCUAGGAGCUCGCGACAUAAGAGCAAGUUCCUAGAGGAGUUUGGGAUGCCCACUUUGCUUUGGAGGGUGCUCAGUUCGAUGGGGUAUCCCGAAGGAAGGGAGCCUCGCUACUAUUGGGAUAAGGAGCCGCUUGGUGACGAGACCCUGGUGGGGAUCGAGGCAGUUGUCCCUACCAGUGGUGGAGACCCUGCUUGGGGCGGCUGGGUGUACGAGUCCCGAGGUGUCACACCUUUCCACGGUGCUAGCAGGGCAGCUUUCGCAGUUCUGAGGGACCUUAUGGAGAGGUUUCCACAGGAGCUGGCCCACGCCUUCGCUGGGGUGUUUCCCCGGGGUGACCCUUACACUUCGGUGUGGGAUCAGUCCGAGGUGAAUGCUCUAGAGAGGAGUGCGGAUGAGGACCAGCACAGUGACAGUGCAGCUAUGAGUGCCAUGUACGCGUUGAUGAAGACCUAUGGAGGCCUGGAGCGUUGUUUGGGUCGCUUGUCCGUGUCUCUUCUCACCGUCCAGGAUGAGAAGCGUCAGUUGCAGCGUGAGUUUGACUCUGAGGUUGAGAGGCUACAGGCAGAGUUGGCUCGUGUGACCAGAGAGAGAGACCAGGCAAUCCAGAAGAAUAGUGAGCUGAGUCAGGACCUGCUUGCAGUGCGGGAGCAGAAGGACAGGGUGACUACUGCUCACAGGAACUGCGAGCGCAUGCUAGUCCAUAUGCUUGGACAGAGGAAUGAAGCCUGGCACGAGGAGGACACUUUGAGGGCCCGACAGCUAGAGCUAGAGCAGCAGCUAGCUAAUGCUGAGGAGUACAAUGAGAACUUGCAUGAGGAGAUCCACCAGCUGCAUAACCAGCUCCACCCUCACCACCUGCCUGGAGCAGCUGAGCUAGACUCUGAGGACGAGAUGGACGCGGAUCCCGAGAUAGGAGCAGCUGCUAGUGAGGAUGAGGAUGGCUCCGGCAUGGACAGUGACCAUAGCGAGUAGAUGCUAGGGUUCUAGAGCUAGUCCUUCUUCUUAUGUUGUUGUAUGUUGCAUGGCAUGUCGUGUACUUUUGGAUCUGGGCUGUGUAAGACUUUAUGAGUUGGUGCUGAAAGUCCAGUGUAUGUAUGCUGGCAAGUUGGAUGUACGCGAACCUUGUUGCGUGAAUGUUAAGUAAUCUGUUAGUGAUGUUGUGCGUGGAUGAUGAGUUGUUGUGCCUUUGUUUAUUGUGUGAAUUUAUUCCCUCAGUAAAUUCAGUAUGGCACGAUUUUACACAUUUUCUACCGGUUGAUGGCAACUCCUAACGAUUGCUUAUCAUUGGCGUAUGCAGAUGGUACAAACACGUGGCGGGGGUAACGGCAACCCGGGUCUUGGAACAGGUACAUCCGGAAAUGGGGCUCAACGGAAUGAGGACCGAGCGCCAACACCACCACCACCUCCCCCGUACACUGCGGAUGUGUUUUUCGCGCAGUUUCUGGGAAGCCAACGCAACAUGGAGCAGAUGCAGCGCAACAUGGAAGAAGCUUUGCGCAACAUAGCUGACAAUACCCGUCGGGGGGAUAAUCAGGGUGGCCGGGAGGUCAACCAGUACAGUUCGUUCAAGGACUUCAUGGAUACCAAGCCACCAAUCUUUAAGGAGGCCUUGGAACCGCUCGAAGCAGAUGAGUGGAUCAACACCAUGGAGCAGAAGUUUCGUCUUCUCCGAAUGACAGAAGAACUCAAGGCUGAAUAUGCGGCACAUCAGUUACAAGGACCCGCUGGGAUUUGGUGGUCCCAUCACCGUACCAGCUACCCAGAAGGGACCCCAAUCACUUGGAACCGCUUCACCACCGCUUUCCGGGGAAAUUACAUUCCUCCUGGUGUGGUUGAAAUGAAGGUUGGGGAGUUCAUGAGGCUGUCCCAAGGGACGAAGUCUGUGAAGGAGUAUCUACACGCUUUCAACAAUCUCGCUCGCUAUGCCCCUGAGUUUGUAAACACGGAGGCUAAGAAGAUUGCUAGUUUCCAGAGAGGUUUGAAUCCAAAGAUGCUGAAGACCAUGGGUACAGGGGCCAGGGCUACUUUCAAUGCCUAUAUCAGUGACUGUUUGACCCAAGAGAACAAUAACAACAACUACAGUGCGUCCAAGUCACGUAAAAGGGCUUUUGAAGCAGGAUCAUCCCAGUCCAGGGCACCAGUGGCAGGGCGACAGCAGUAUCGUCCUCCUGCCCUGGGUGCUAGGUUCCGACCACCGCAGAGAAGGAACACCGGGCAUCCAACGCCGCAGAAGCCGUACAAGGUGGCGAUAGCUCCUGCCAAGCCAAAGGCAAUUCAAGCCGCAGCACCUGCCGCCAACAAUGUGCCCAAGGGUCCGUGCUAUAACUGCCACAAGAUGGGGCACUUUGCUAAGGAAUGUCCCUACCCCAAAAGGCAGCAGCCAACCUAUCCAGCUCGUGUGCAUCAUACCUCGAUUGAGGAAAUUCCGGAAGGAGAACCGGUGACAGCGGGUAUGUUUUCUGUCAACCAACAUCUUGCAGUUGUUUUGUUUGAUUCUGGAUCGUCGCAUUCAUUCAUGAGCCAAGCAUUUGCACAAAAGCAUAAUCAACCAGUUACAGAUCUAGGCUAUGGCUACCGCAUCAGCUCAGCAGGGGCAGAUGUGUUGACCAAUAGAGUGGUCCGAGGGGCAACCCUGGAUGUAAGUGGCCGAGUUUUUCGGGUAAAUCUAGUGGUCAUGCCUGGGUUAGUUUUGGAUGUUAUCAUGGGCAUGAACUGGAUGAGAGAAUGGGAUGCUGUCAUAGAUACUGGAAAGAGGAUGUUAUCUCUCAGAGAACCACAGGACAGUAACUCUUUUCAAGUACCUCUGCCCCGUCGUCUUGACUUUGCUAGCAUCUCCUGUGCUACGCACGUGGUUCCUUUACCACAGAUCCCAGUCGUCUGUGAGUUCCCUGAUGUUUUUCCCGAGGAAUUGCCAGGACUUCCCCCAGAUAGGGAGGUAGAGUUUGCAAUCGAGUUGAUACCAGGUACAGCACCAAUAUCUAGAAGGCCGUACCGGAUGCCACCAAACGAACUCGCAGAGCUGAAGAAGCAACUGAAGGAGUUACUAGAAAAAGGGUUCAUCCGGCCAAGCUCGUCGGAAUGGGGUUGUCCAGCGUUGUUUGUGAAAAAGAAGGAUCAGUCGUUGCGCAUGUGCGUGGACUAUCGUCCACUCAAUGCAGUGACAAUCAAAAAUAAGUAUCCCUUGCCAAGGAUUGAUAUCCUGUUUGAUCAGUUAUCCAAGGCAAGAGUGUUUUCUAAGAUAGAUUUGAGAUCUGGGUAUCACCAAAUCAAGAUUCGUCCGCAAGAUAUCCUGAAGACUGCUUUUUCCACCCGAUAUGGGUUGUACGAGUAUCUUGUCAUGUCCUUUGGGUUGACAAAUGCUCCUGCAUACUUUAUGUAUCUGAUGAAUUCAGUCUUUAUGCCGGAAUUGGAUAAGUUUGUUGUGGUGUUUAUCGAUGAUAUCCUGGUGUAUUCAGAAAAUGAGCAAGAUCACGCCGAACAUC
rnacentral:lncRNA from 1 species